rnacentral:lncRNA from 1 species
UUUGAAGUUGUUAUGAUAAAGAAAGGAGAAAAAAGAGCAAGCCGCUGCAAUUGCAACAGUGGAGGAUUUGUAACAAAACUAUUACAGAGAUAAGAUUUAAUUGAUAAAAGAAAGAUUUAAUAGAAAGUAGUUAGAGAAACAACUAAUAAAAAUUAAUCAUAUUUAUUAUGGGUAUAUUAGGAAUAUUUGUGGCCUCACCUCUCAUCUUAUAAUAAAUUUUUAUGUUCCUACAGUAACCCUAAUAUAGUUUAAUAUUAAGGACAACGUAAUGAAAUAAUUGUUAUUCUUAUAUCCAUUAAAGAUAUAUUGUUAUCUUAUAGAUGCGAGAAUGCUCCAAUGCUCAAGUAAAAUUUUUAGUGAAACACAUAAGAAUUCUACGUGUAGAGAGAACUUCGUCAAGGUAUUUAAGAUGUAAUUAAUGCUCUUUGCUAGUGUACCACAUUUAAUAUUUGAAUCAUGACACGUGGCAUUGCAAAUAGUGGCUUUAUUUCAGGUCUUCGUAGGUGCUCCGGACAUAUGUUCGCUCCGGAGCUAGUAUUAGGUCAUCAUGUGCUUCUUUUAGUGAUCCACGUGAUUCCUUUUGAAUAACCAUGUCAAAUGCUCGUUUAUCAAGGACACGUGUCUUGUCAUCAGAACAUAUUAAAAACAUAACAUGCUAACCCAUGUGCAUUUAUGAAAAAUCAAAUGAGAAUAAUAAAUUAAAAAAGAAAAGGAUAAAAGUACAACAGCUAAUUAGUAAUAUUUGAGUUUCGGAUGAUGAAUAUUUAAUUUUAUGGGUGUAAAGAUAGGAAAGAAAAGUAGGUUUAAUGAGGACUAUUUUAGUAUUAAAAGAGUAUUCAAAAUAAAUUUUAUUUUAAAAAUUUUAUUCAAUAAGGUAUGGAGAUCAUUCCAAAUAUAUUUUAGGUACAAACUCGUCCGUUUGACGUAAUACUGUGUCUUAUAAUAAGACUAGCAAUAGUCAAAUUAGCUUAUUAUGAUAAGAUCUGUUAAAUUUAAUAUUUUAAAAAAAUUAUCGUCUCAUCAUAAAACACACUGCUCUACUAUUCGGUAGAGCAUGAGUGGUUGGCACAGACCAUGGAUUGCACAAAUAUUUCUAAAAUUUGAAUCCUCAAACCCUCCUGACAAUGCCACCAGUAGGGAUGGGCCAGAUUUUUCUAAGCUCGGCCCUAAGUCCAUGUUAUCCAUGCAUUUUUAAUUAUUAUUUUAAAUAUUACUGAAUUUGUAAUGAGUUAAUAAUCAAUAAGUUAUUAUAAUCAACAAUAAAUUAAAAAUGACUAUUUAAAAUAAAAUAAUAAAUAAAAAAUAAAGCAAAUAAAAGUUUACAUAUAUAUUUAAUUUCUUAGUAUUAAAUUCUCUAAUUUAAACAUUCUCUUAGUUAAUUAAGAUAUAAGAGAGAGUUUAGUGUCACAAUUUUAAAUUUUUUCAAUUACUAUUGAUUGAAUUAGGGAUUUAAGCUUUCUUUUUUUAAUUAUUUUUUUAUAUUUUGUAUUAAAAAAAUAGAGGACUUAACAUGUCCCGGACUUUUUUUCUUAAAGAAACCCUCAUGUAAAGGACUGGGGCUAAGCCCGCUGGGCCUGGGCCGGACCCUUUGAGGCCCAAGGCUAGCCACCAGUCUCUUUUGUCAAUCAUUGUUAAUGAACUAGCCUAGUUGAAUACUUUUAAAUUGAUGGGUCGUAAUUGCCAAUUUCCAAAUACAACAAAUUUUUAUAGGUGUAUUGGUAGACUGAACGACAGCUAACAACACGUGACAUAAUUAACUUACUUCCAAAGGAAUUUUUUUUAUUUAAAGAUACAGUGGAUGAACAUAGAAAUCUUGUGUCAAGUUUUAAAAUUUGUCAAUAAUGUGUAUACACAUAUGAAAUCUUCCAUUUUUCAUAUGUGUAUACACAUUAUCAUGAUUGAUUGAAACAUAUACAUGAUAAAGAUUAAUGAAUUAAAAAAAAACAGUGCUUUAGGAGAUAACACUCAAGAAUUUUUCCUACUUCAUCCAGUGGGAAUAUCUACCUCCACCUAAUUGUAUUCAAUAGGAGGAGGAAUUGUUGUGUCCCCUCUUGGGACUCAAACCAUUGUGUCUAUUACCACCCGUUUGUGUUUAAAAUUUGGUUGAAUUUAUAGAAUACUAUAAAUGGUAAAAGAUGCAACCAAAUAAUAUUUCGUGACUCUGUCUUUUCAGUUUUAGGAACAAUGGUGGAAUCAUUUUUGCCGCUUGAAAAACUUACGGAAAAAUUAGGAUCCCGUGCUUUCCAAGAACUUUUAGCACUCUACUGUGUCAAAAAUGACGCAGAAAAGCUAAAGGAGACCUUAACCACUGUCAAAAGUGUGGUUUUAGAUGCUGAGGAAAAGCAAGUCCAUAGCCACCAGUUAAGAGAUUGGCUGGAAAAGCUUAAGGAUGCUUGUGAUGAUGCAGAAGGUGUCUUGGAUGAAUUCGAGGUGGAAGAUCUGCGAAGGCAAGUCAUGAAGCAAAGAAGCAUCGGAAGAAAGUUACGUAACUUUUUUGGAAGCUCAAAUCCAGUAGCUUUUCGUUUUAGAAUGUGUCAACAAAUCAAGAAAGUCAGAGAGAGGUUUGAUGAGAUUGCAAACAUGAUGCAUAAGUUUGAUCUCACUGCACGACUUGAUGAUCGUAGUUGGCGAAUUGUGCAUGAAGAGAGGGAAUCUACUCACUCGUUUGUGAGUCCAUCAGAUAUUAUUGGAAGAGAUAAAGAUAGAGAAAAAGUUAUUGAAGCUCUAAUGCAAGCAAGUUCUGGCGAAAGUGAAACUGUGUCUGUUAUUCCUAUUGUGGGAAUUGGAGGUCUGGGCAAAACUGCUCUUGCACAGUUGGUGUUCAAUGACCAAAGGGUAGAAGAGCAUUUUGAGUUGAAAAUCUGGAUAUGUGUUUCUGAAGAUUUUGGUGAGAGACAAAUUAUGACAAAGAUUAUCAAGUCGAUAACUGGUCAAAACCACGGUGACUUGGAUAUAGAGCAAUUGCAACGAAUCUUGCGAGUUUGUUUGACUGGUAAGAGAUAUUUACUUGUUAUGGAUGAUGUAUGGAACGAAGAUCCCAAAGUAUGGGAUAAAUUGAAAAGCUUAUUGUCGGGGGGUGCAAAGGGAAGCAAAAUUCUGGUAACCACACGUAGCAAUAAGGUUGCUUCAAUCAUGGGCACGAGGGGAGGCACUACUGGCUACAACUUACAAGGUCUACCAUUCGAGGAUUGCUUGUCUUUGUUUAUGAAAUGUGCAUUUAAAGAAGAGCGAGAUAAACAUCCAAACCUUGUAAAAAUCGGGGAAGAAAUUGUGAAAAAAUGUGGAGGAAUUCCGCUGGCAGUCAGAACACUAGGAAGUCUAUUAUAUUGCUCAACGGAUGAACACGAUUGGGAAUAUGUGAGGGAUAAUGAGAUAUGGAAGUUAGAACAAAAGGCAAAUGACAUUUUACCUGUUCUGAGGUUCAGUUAUGAUCAACUACCGCCUCGCCUGAAACAAUGUGUUGCUUAUUGUUGUAUCUUUCCAAAGGAUUAUCAAUUUUCAAGUGUUUAUUUGGUUCAAUUUUGGAUGGCUCAAGGACUUCUCCAUCCACUUAAUGAAAAUGAUGAACUAGAUGACAUUGGCAUGCGGUCCUUGAAGCAACUAUGUUCAAGAUCUUUCUUCCACGAUUUGGUACGAGGAUUUGAGAUGUUCACUUUCAAAAUGCACGACCUCAUCCAUGAUCUUGCACAGCUAGUGGCCAAAGGUGAAUUCCUAAUAGUGAACUCUGACUGUCAAUCUAUUCCCAAAAGAGUCCGCCAUUUGUCAUUUGUGGGUGCUAAUGCAUCAAGAAAAGAUUUUUCAAGGUUUUUAUCUGAUUUAGGUCGUGUGAGAACCAUUUUCUUUUCAAUUAAUGAUGAGAAGGUAAGCCAAUCAUUUGUUAGAUCAUGCAUCUCAAAGUCACAGUUCUUGAGAGUGCUAAAUUUAAGUGGCUCUGCUAUUGAGGCUUUGCCAAGAGAGAUAGGUAAUUUGAAGCAUAUGAGAUAUCUUGACCUAUCAAGAAAUUAUAAAAUCAAGAAACUUCCAAAUGCCAUUUGCAAGCUGCAAAGUUUACAAACACUGAAUCUUGAAGAAUGUCUGGAGCUAGAAGAGUUGCCUAAAGACAUAAGGUACCUUGUUAGUCUCAGAGUGUUUGAGGUAACCACAAAGCAGAAGUCUUUGCAGGACAGUGGAAUAGGGUGCUUGGUUUCUCUUCGUUGUUUGAUAAUAUCUCAUUGCAGGAAUUUGGAAUAUUUGUUCGACGAUAUAGAUCAACUAAGGGUCCUUCGAUCAUUAUUAAUUGCUGGUUGUCCCCGUCUAAUCUCAUUGCCGCCUGCUAUGAAAUACCUCAGCUCAUUGGAGACUCUAAUGUUUGUUCAGUGUGAAAGCCUUAGUCUUAAUUUGAGCAUGCAAUUGGAAGGGGAAGGAAGUCAUCAAGCUCGCAAUACCACAAGGCCUCACCUUCGGAAGCUUUUGAUUGGGGAAGUAACACCGUUAUUGGAAUUGCCACAAUGGCUUCUUCAAGGUUCUACUGGAACUUUACAACACCUAUUUAUUGCAAAUUGUCCCAACUUCAUGGCACUACCAGAGUCACUGAGAAAUUUCGAAGCACUUGAGGGUCUUGUCAUCGGGAAUUGUCCAAAAUUGUCAUCGUUGCCUGAGGAUAUGCUUCACCUGAAAACAUUGAGGAUUAGAGGCUGUCCUGCACUGAGUGAUAGAUGCAAACCGCUAACAGGUGAAGAUUGGCACAAGAUUACCCAUGUCGCUCACAUUAAGCUUGAUGACGAGAUAAUUAAAUCAAGUGAUAUUUAGGUAUGGAUUAAUCUCUCCUUUUUUUCCCUCUUUUCAUUCAAGUUUUUACUUUUGAAUUUCUCAUCUACCUAUACCGUUUAUAGUUUAAUGUUUUGUUAUGUUUACCAAAUAGAAACUUGUUGAAUGUUUAGUUAGUUAGUUCAAAUUUGUACUAAUUUCUUUUCUUCUAAUAAAUGAUUAGUUUGUUAAUACAAACUCAAUUACUCAAGCAUAUUAUUUGGAAACCAAACCGUUCUUGGGGUUAUCUGUUUCUAAAUCCAAACGGUUCAGGAAUUUUAAGAACGGAAGUUAUAAAGGGAUUUUCUUAAUUAGCCAGUUAUAUGGAACCUUAUUCGCAUAAAAGAAGAGCUUCUGAAAUUUCAAUUUUUGUUAAUAUUUUAACUCGCGCUGAAGCAUCUAACAAUUUAUCCUCUAUUUUCUCUUCUUUUCUUUUCUUUUUCCCCAAAUAUUGCAGCUUUCUUCGGAGAGGUUCAGCGAAGCUAUAGAGACAAUGAAAUUAUUACUGUAAUGUUGUUUCGGAACAGAGGUUCAACCGUUUUAAUGUUGUGUUUAAAAUUGCAAGUAUUGUAUAUUCAUUACUUAUGAUAAGUACAUCGAGUGAUGUAUAUAUGCGUGCCUGUAUGACCAUGAUUGAUAACCUUAAAUAUAUAUGUGCAUGUGUUGUCAUGACUGAUAACCUUAAAUAUAAUACCAAUAAUGUUUGUAGAAUUUCUGAAAUUCUCAUGAUGCACAAUUUAUGUAAUUUACAGUAUGUUCUUUCUCCUCCUUCGGUAGUCAGUAAUAUAAUUUGCAUUGAUUGCGUUGCUUAGCUCUACAUAAUUUGCAUAUUUUUUUUUCAAAGAAUAUUGAUGUGUUGUGUAAUGGAAUGGUGGUGCCUGUAUUUUGUGCUUUGUGAUUGAUGACUUACAUUUUCCCCAAAAAAAAGGAAACGGAUAGGCUUCCUUUUGAAUGGUGACCUUUUAUGAUAUGAAUCGCAUGUUUCUUGAGGUUUUUUUAAAUUUUUUAUAAGACACUUGAAGAAGGAAAUUCAUGUUCUCUUUCUCAAUAUAAAAUGACUAAUUUGAAGAAUACUUAUUAUAAUAGAACGUAGAACUCGUAUGUAUUUUAGUAUAAAAAUUCUGUACAAUAAAAAGUUUUUUAUGUGAAGUCGAUCGACACUAUCACAUUAUCAUAUUACCAUUCAAUUCUUCAUUUUUAUCUAAUUAAAAUGAUAAAUUAAAGUUGAUACGAGAAUAUUAAAGAAGAUUGGACCUUGGAGGGCAAUGUGAAUUUUGAACCGGCGCCAUUUCAGCUCCACCUACUCUAUAAAUAAAUGAUUAUGAGUGAUAGAACAAGAUCAGCUGAUACAGAGAGAGACUCUCGACUCUUAAUAGUGAGCAAAAAAAUGGUGCGCAACUUCUUUUUGAUUAAAAUUUAAUGAUUUCUUCGUAUUAGGGUGCGUUUGGGAUUGAGGUGCUAUAGCUUUUAAGCUACAGCUGCUGUGAAAAAAAAAUUGUAAUUAUAAACAAAAGUUAAUAAUAUAUAAUAAAUAUAAAUUUUGAUAAAAUUAUUAAAGAUAUAAUAAAUUUUAUAUUAUACAAGUGAAAAAUCAUAUCAAUGUAGCUUAAAAACUACAACAGUUAGUGUUUACCAAACACUUUAAUACCGUAACUUUUAAGCUACAGCUGCCCAACCUCAAUCCCAAAAGCACCCUUAAUCAAAUUAAUCAUUAUUAUAUAUUUAUUUAUUUAUUUAUUUUUCAACUUCAGAAGAAUCUGUUUUGUUGUUCUCCUCCUCAAGUGCCUACUUUUCAGUGUGCAAGGAUGUAUGUUGAGGGCAGCGGAUGAAAUCGCUAAACUGUUGGGGGUAGAGGAGGCGGGAGAGGAGAUGGUUCCCAUUUCCGCCCUUGCUUUCCUCCGCUUGGCUGCAAAAGUUCAUCACAAAUCAACUCCGUUACAUUGUUACUGGUCUUUUGCUUAUUUAUUUUCAAUGUCUUAUUAUGUUUUUAAUUAUGAGUUCAUGAUUUGAGUUGAGUUUUGUUGUUCUCCGCCAGCAUUGUUUUAUUUUCAAUGUCUUAAAUUAAUUAUGAGUUCAAGGGCUGUCAAAUUGGACCAAGUCUCGUGGCAAGAAUUAAUUUUUCACCGUUUCUUUGAGAUUCUACCACCGUAAUUUAAUUUUCACUUGAUCGAUUUCAACAAAAUCUCUCAAAAUUGUUGUCCUGAGCUUGCGGCAGCUUUCAUCACCGGCGAAGGCUGAAGAUUCAAGCAAUAGAGCUGCUCAUGAUGAGGGGAAGGAGAAGAGGACCUAACGAGUUUGCAAGAGCGUGUAUAGAGGAAUAAAGCGGAUGCCAUGGGGGAAAUGGGAAGCUGAAAUUUGAGGCCCUUACAGGGGCGUCCGCUUUUGCCUCGGCACUUUCAACACCACCGAAGAAGCCGCAAGAGAUUAUGCUGAAGCCGCCAAGAGUAUUCGCGGCAACAAGGCCAAGCUCAGCUUUGUUCUGCCGCCGCCGCCAAUAACUCCACCUCCAGCUAAGAAACACUGCAUGUUAUCUCCUGAGUUGACUCUGCCGUGUUUUGAAGAUUACUUUUUUAUUGGUUUAUGCAUUUGAGUUUACAAAGAAAUGGUAUUCUUUGUCCCCAUAUUGUGAACACUUGGGCUUUUAUUGUUGAAAAUUACCUUUUUUGCGCUGCUCUUAUCUAUGAGGUUGUGCUUUCCUUUGGAUGCUCUUUAAUAAACAGCUUUCCUAAUGACAACUGAAGUGAAAAGUCAUUUAUCAAAUGAUUUGGUGAAAUAUCAGGUACUUUCAUCUUGGUUUUUGCAGUUAAUAGGAAUAGGUUGGUGUUGGGAUGUGCUACAUGUAUCAAGUUCUUAUCGCUAGUGGAUGUGCCAUCAUUUACUCUCACUGAAUGUAUUAUUAGUUUAUUUAUUGAACACUCCCAAAUCAGUAAAGAAUCCUCAAUUUUCUCUGUUUCCUUUAGAUCCUAGUAGUGUUUUCGCAUGCAUCAACUAGUGUUUAUGCAUGUGUCGGCAAGUGUUUAGACAAUAAAUUUAAAGGUUACGGUGACAUAAGUUGACAGCAAAGGAAGGAUGUAUGCUGCAUUUGAAGGAAGGUGAAAGUUUUCCAUUUUUGUAAAUGAGUUUAAAGCAGGAUAUGUUUAGUUUCAUGAAAUGCUUUCUUAUUUUUCGAUGACGAAGUAAUGUGAGUCAAUAUUCUCUUUAAAUAAUGUUCCCCAGUUCUUGAACGUUCUGCCAAUCUUUAUUUGUUAUUUGAAUUUAAAGAAACUUUCUAAGUGCAUACAUCCAUAUAAAGUUGAAGAUCUUCUAGAAAAGCUGGCAUCCAUCAAGAUCAAGAAAUUUUACUGCUUAGUACGUGUUAUAUUUAUAGAUUGGCUAUUGAAGAAGUAGUAUUUGUACCGAUGCAGAUGCAGGAACUAUACACAUCUAAAGUUUAUGAGAUAUUUUUGUCUUUUUGACUCAGUUAGAUAACUAUCAGUCAGUUAACCAAUUUAUGUUACUCUUGUUUGGCUAGCCAAUUAACAAUUUAUAUUUGCUGGAUUGUAAAGCCGACAUCUGCAAGCCAUAUGUGAUUUUAUUUGAAGGCAAUUUGCUCUAGACUAUAUGCGGAUUUCUAUCAUGAUUUCUAUAAGCUUGAAGGAGAUUUCCUUUUUUGUUUCUUUAAAUGCCUGUGAGCUUGAAAAUUAUACCCGUACAUGUUGAAACCAUUAGAUACCUGCUAAGAAUCAAGCAUAAUCGUGUCCAGUUGAAACCAUAAGUUGGGUCCUGUUUUAUGAGAAAAUUAUGUGUAAUUUGGGUGCAGUAAACCUAGGUUGAAUACCGGGACACAGUAUAAAAGCGAAACCACAUAUUGAAUCUUGCAUAAAGACCUUAAAGAUGUAAUUUUGAAUUGUACAUGAGAUGUUGUCUGGACCAAAUUUCAGCGGCUUUGGUUAGGAUUCAGAAAAGAGAAUUGUAACCGCAGAGAAUGCUCUGUGGGAUGGUUAUAUCCAGGUAUGUAAUGGCCUUAUUUUGAUUCUGGGCUGUUUGAGUUUUGUGCUGCUGUUGAUACUGGUUUUAGCUAUUUUCUGCUACUGUCUUAUUUGCUUUUUUGUUUUUUAAUACUACUUUUGCUGCUGAAUUUUGCUGGUUUCUGCUGUUUCACUCGCUGAUAGCUGCUGUUUAUUACUAUUGUUUGAUACCUUUUGAUUUGCUCCUUUUUUGCUGCUGAUUUUUGCUGUUUCCUUCCGCUGUUUUUGCUGCUUUUGCUGCUUUUGUUGCUGUAUUUUACUGCUUUUACUGUUGAUUUUUGCUGUUUUGUACUCACUGGUUGCUGUAUGUUUAUUAAUAUUGUUUGCUGCUGUUUUAUUUGCUGUUUUUUUGCUUCUAAUUUUUGCUGUUCUCUGCCAUUAUUUGCUGCUGCUGUUGUUUUACUCGCCAGUUGAUGCUGUUUUGUGGUUCGCCUCCUCAAGUGCCUGCAUUUUUCAACGUGCAAGCUUAUAUAUUGAGACUGGCGGAUGAAAUCUCUAAACUGUUAUAACAUCCGAGGCUCCCCUAGAGAAGGAUUUGGUCUUAAUUUGGGGAAGGGGGUUUUUCUGGUUUGUACACAAGUGUAUGCAUUCCUUCAAUCACGUAGCUUUGUGCCCAUGAUUAAGCAUAAAUAAUCAUAUAGACCCGUUUUGUGAUGAUAAUGACAAUUUUAUGAUUCAGACACGUUGUUAGGAACACUGUAUUGGUUUUUCUUUCGCUGUUUGUACCCAUGAUUAAGCAUGUAAUGGCUUUUAAUAAAAAAUAAUAAUAAGAAAUAGUGCUAUAUCAAGAUUAUAAUUUAAACAAAAAAAAAAGAACUUUAUAAUAAGGAUGAGGAUUCAUUUCCAGUUAGAUGAGAUAUAAGAUAUAACAUAGGAAAAAGCCACCUACAUUCUCAAGAUAUAUUUAAAUGGUUAUAUAGAUCCUUUUAGUUUCAUAAAUAAUCAUAUAGACCCGUUUUGUUUAAUAUUAAAAUAAUUAUAUCUUUUAAUUACAACAACCCAAUAAUUGAUUUUGAAUAAAUUUUUUAUAAUAAAUAUAAAGUGGAACUGAAAUAAUAUUACAUAUAAAAUAAGUUAAAAUUUAUAAAUUAUUUUGAAUAAUAAUAUUAAAAUGAUUUUACCCAACCCUCACAUUAAUUUAUAAAAUUUAUAUUAUUUUUCUUACUAUUUUUUUUAAUUACAUCUACAUCGUAUAAAUCUUAAAGUAAAUCUUUAGUUUAAUAGAAUUUAGUAUUAAUAAAAAACCAUUGGGAUAGACUAAUAAUAGCUUAAUAUUAAAAAUAAUUUUCAUUAUAUAUGUUAUUUUAUUAAAUAUAGUUGUUGUAAUAUUUUAUUUGUAUCAUAUGCUAUUUAUUUAUUAUUUUUAUCUUAUUACUAUAUUUAUAUUUAUUUGUAUUGUUAUAAUCAAAGAAUAUUAUCGUCGAAAAGGGAUUUAUGUGAUUAUUUAUGAAACCAAAAGGGUCUACGUAAUCAUUUAAGUAAACCUUAAAAGCGUGAGUGGCUUUUUGCCAUAUAGCAUAUGAUCCGAUAGCCAAGGAAUCAAUUAUGUAUUUCUUGUUUAUGAAAAAAUGAAUAAUCCUUUAACGAGGGUUAUCAUCAAUUGCAAGUUUCUAGUUUGGUUGCUUGGUUCGAGGACUAUGAAUAUUACAUUAUCAUAAUUAGGGGAAAGAAUAUAUGCUUUAGUCUUUAGCUGGUCUACUUUUUUCUUUUUGAUUAACCUCUUGCGGGGAAAGAAUAUUGUAUACACAGCACACUAUAAUACUCUAAUUACCAAUUCUUUUUGUUAUAUUAAAGUUCAUAGUGAUUAAUUUGUCCUUCUUCAACGCAAAACAAUCCCAUUUCAGCACAUCUACAUUCUACAAGGGCCCUCAUUUCUUUUUGCUCCAGCCAAUUGAUAGCAGAAUCAUCGCAGACACCUUGAGCUCCGUCGAAUCAUCAUAGACAAUUGGUGAUUGGUGGGAGCAUUACAAGAAAGGUACGACUCCUUCAAACUGAUAGAUUUGUUUAUAUGAUUCAGCGAUAGUUUUAUAUAUGGUUAAGUUAUAGCAAUAAUGAAGAGAUAAUCAUGUACAUCAUCAGUUAGACGAAUGCACAUACUAAUUUAUUCCUUUACUUGCCAGAAUCAUACAUGUAAAAUGAGAUAACUUUUAAGGUUUAAAACUUUGCAAUUCAUUUAAAAUCUAGUGGGCUAUUAAUUGGUAAAAUCACUCAGUGGUAGUACAAGAGGUUUGUGAAUUGUGAUUCCACCAGUUUAUGUGGGUGGAGCGAGAAUUAUUUUUUUAAUAAAUAAUUAAUAAAAAGUAAUAAUAAUAUUAAUAAAAAGACAUAAAUUUCAAGGUUUAACACUUUACAAUUCAUUAGAAUGUAGAGAAAUAUAUUGCUUAAAAUUUUUUUAUCUAAUUAAUUUACAGGCGGGGAUAUAUAUAUAUAUAUAUAUAGUGAGGCUAUUUGCACAAUCUUGGGCUUUGAACACAUAUUAGGAUGAUGAUAUUUGAACCAACUAAAAUACACUCUGCAUUCAUUUCUCAAUAAAAAAAUUUAUUACAAGAUUUUCUUAAUUAAAUUUUUAUUUUUGCCAAAUAUUAUGUUCGUUUCUCUCCCAAAAGUUUUUUUUCCACCAUUUUUUCUCUUUUCUCUCUCUCUCCUCUCCCCAGAUGUCUUCCAGUCCUUUGUGAUUCUUAUAUUUUGAAGCUUCCGUUGGAGUAAAAUCUCUUUAAAAUUUUCUUAUAAAAAAAAGGCCUUUUAAAAUUUGGCUUAAUCUUAUAUGUAUAUGAUCUCGAUGAAACUUUAGUAAAUGAGUUUCUACUAGAGAUGGCAAAAUUCUCCAUGGGUUUGGGGCCCCAUAGAAUUCCACCCCAAAUUAGGUGAAUUUUGAAUACUUUUUGGGGAAUGCCAUGGGGAAUGAGGGAAAAAUAAUCCCAAAAUUCUUAAUGGGGUGAAGUUUGGUUUUGUACUCUCUACCCCAUCCCCACCCCAAUCCCCAUUAUAUAUAAAUAUUUUUUAAUUUUUAUUUAAUAAUUUUUGUUUCAUCAGUUACAAUGUAUGUUAAUAAUUUUUUUUUUAUUUUUACUUGACAUAAAUGAGCUAUAACUAAAAGAAAACCUUACAAUAUAAUUUUUAUUCAAUCUAAAACAUUGUUAUGUGUUCUCUUCUGUCUUAAGAUACUGCUCUCUUCAAACAUUUUUCAAUUUUGAUAUCAUUUCAAGAUAUUAUUUCAAACAUUUGGAGAUUUUUUUAAAAUAAUUUAAAUACUUUAUAAUAUGGUAAUGAUUUUCUUUUUAACUGAUAUUGUUUUCUCUUCAGUAUCAGUUACAAUGUAUGUUAAUAAAUUUUCUUUUUAUUUUUACUUGACAUAAAUGGGAUAUAACUAAAAGAAAACCCUACAAUAUAAUUUUUAUUCAACCUAAAACAUUGUUAUGUUUUCUCUUUUGUCUUAAGAUACUGCUCUCUUCAAACAUUUUUCAAUUUUGAUAUCAUUUUAAGAUAUUAUUUCAAACAUUUGGAGAUUUUUUAAAAUAAUUUAAAUAUUUUAUAAUAUGGUAAUAAUUUUAUUUAAGCCUUUAGUUUUUAAUUUAUUGAAAUCAUGUAUUUAUGUCUACUAUAAAAUAAAUAAAUGGGGAACGGGGUGGGGAUGAGGAAAUCAUUCCCCACGUGGGGAUUCACAAUGUCCACCCCACUAAAUUUAUUGGGGAAUGGGGUGAGGAAUGGAGACAAAAUUUUUAAUGGGGUGGGGAAUGUGGUAGGCCUCCUCACCCCCACCCCACCCCACUCCAUUGCCAUCCCUAGUUUCCACUAGAAAUGAAAAGAUCACAAAACAAAUAUCAAAAGAUCACCAACUUAAUUAUAUUGGUAGUAAUUAAUAUAAAUAAAAGACUUAUUAUUUCUGCUUGAAGUUGAUAUGAUAAAAAAAAAAAAGAGUAAGCCACUGCAAUUGCAACAAUGGAGGAUUUGUUAAUAAGACUAUUGCAGAGAUAAGUUUUAAUUGAUAAAGAAGAUUUAAUAGAAAGUAGUGAGAAAAACAACUUAUAAAAAUUAAUGAUAUUUAUUAUGGGUAUAUUAUGAAUAUUUGUGGCCUCGUCCAUCUUAUUAUGAUAAUUUUUUUAUUACUACCAUAACCCUAGUAUAGUUUACUGUUAAGGGCAACGUCAUGAAAAUUUUGUUACUCUUAUACUUAUUGAAGAUACAUUAUUAUUUUGGACAUGCGAGAAUCCAAUGUCCAAGUAAAAUAUUUAGUAGAAUCUAUGAGAACUCUAAGGGUAGGGAGAAUUUUGUCAAGGUAUUUCAGUUGUAUUUAAUGCUCUUUGCUAGUGUAAACUAUUAUGCCACGUGUAAUUUUUUAUCAUGACACGUGGCAUUGUAAAUAAUGACUCUUAUUCCAGGUCUUCGUAGGUACUCCGGAGGUACGUUCGCUCUAAAGUUAGUAUUAGGUUAUCAUGUGCUUCUUUUAAUGAUAAUGCAGAAAAAUAAAAGAUUAAUAGAUAAGAGAAAUUAGGUUUUUGAAUUAUGAAAAUUUUAUUAAAAAAUUCUAAAUGAACAAAACUAUGGUUUUGUGCCCUUUUUUUAUACUAAACCUUAAUAUCACAAAUUUACUAAAAUAACCAAAUCUAAAAUAUUAUUUUAUAAUAAAAUUCUAAUAAUCCAAAUAAGGAGAACAAAAAAAAUUGUGUCCAAAUUCGAUAUUUAAAUAUAAAAUGAAAAUCCUAAAAGUAAUAGGAAAAAUAACUUAAAACUGUGAAAUAACUAGGGCAAAAUAACAUGUGCAGUUUUGGUUUGAUUUGUCUUAUCGUAAGUUUCGAAAGGGUAUAUUAUAUACCUACAAUGAAUACUUGUAUUCCAAGUUAUGACCUUCGAAAAGUACCUUGCUUACCCUACACAACCAUCUUACAUCAAUCCCCCUCACUUGGAAAAGAACUCAUCCUCGAGUUAGGCUAGUACAACUACUCAUCAUUUGGAUGAUAUACAAACAAAUCAGCCAUGUCAAAAGUGUGGGAGAUAUUCUAAUUGUAUGGCAGCUAGAGCAUAUAAGAUUAUCGUUAAUCUUUUUAGCCACACAAAAUGGACUAUACUUCCACUUCUCUAAUUUCGUGCAAAUGCCAGGAAAAUGAGUAUGUUACAGAUGUGCCAUCACCAAAUCACCUUCCUAAAACACUUUCUUGCGUUUGUGCUUGUCUGCAUCAGCCUUGUACUCAACAUUGACAGUCUUUAAAUGACCUCACACAUCAACAUGAAUCUGCAGAGUCUUUUCUGUCACAUUAUCCACUGCUUUACUACCUCUAGCUACUGUUGGUAUAGUAGUUAGAUCAUAGACAUGACUUGGGGAACAAGUGUAGACAACCUCAAAAGCAGCCUUGCUAGCAGAUCAUUCGUCGUGCUAUUGUAAGAAAACUCAACUUAAGGCAACACGAUUUCCCAGUUUUGUUGUUUAUCGCCAUAAACAUAGCACAACAUAUUAGCCAAAGUUUGAUUGACCACUUUUGUUUGUACAUCUCUGUGGGGAUGGGAAGCACUACUAAACUACAACUAUGUCCCGAACAUAUCUCACAGAUAAAGCUAAGACUUGCUAAUGAACUUUGCAUCCAUGUCAGAAGUAAUAGUCUUUGGAAUACCAUGCAAAUGCAUCACUUUUUGAAAGAAAAUAUGUGCCACAAAAAAAGCAUCUUUAGUCUUCUUGCAAUUAAUAAAAUGCGUUAUCUUUGACAAUCUGUCAACAAUAACUAGUAUAGAGUCUCAACCAAUUCUUGUACAAGGCAACCUCAACAUAAAGUUCAUGGAUAAAUCUAACCAAAUAUUCUCUGAAACAUGUAAUGUGUGUUUAAUCUCCUAUUCUGCAAUUGUCCCUUGCCUUCUUGACAAAUCUGACACCUCUGCACAAUCCUGUGAACAUGUUUAUUCAAUUGCAACCAAUAAUAUCACUUUUCGACAAGCACUUUAUGCAGCUCAUGGAUAAUGUGCUCCCUCAAAGAACUACAAGGCACACACAAUUCUUUAUCAUUAAACAAAUAUCCAUCUUGAAUGAGAAAAGUCUUUCAUAUUUUAAUGAUUGAUGUACCAAUCCCAAAUAUGCGAAACAGUAACUUCAUUGACGAGUGUUGCUAGUAAAGUUGCUCGCCUACUUAGAGCAUUCACAACUUUAUUCUGCUACUUAGAUUUGUGUUUCAAAACAAAAAGAAACUUAUACUUAUAGCUCAUCCAUCUCGCAUGCAUCUGGCUCAUAUUUUUUUGGCUGUUAAAGUACUUUAAUGCUUGAUGGUUAGUGUAAAGCACGAACUCCUUUUGAAUAAAGUAAUGCUCAAAUGACUUCAAUAUUUUACAGACUACAAAAAUUCAUGGUCAUACAUAGAUCACUUCUAUUGUGCUUCAUUCAACUUCUCACUCAAAUAAUUAAUUGUUUAGCCUUUCUGAGAAAGGACAGUAGAGGUUGCAAAAAAACCCGCUCGGCCCGGAUAUGGACCGGAUUCGGCUCAUACGGUCCGGGUUUUACUCGGCCCACAUUAAUGAAGAAACCGGUCCCGGAUUUUGAAAAUCAAUACCCGGAUAAUUUUGGACACGGAUUCGGGCAUAACCAUAAAAACCCAGAACCCGGAUCAGUGCCCGGUUAAAAUUUUUUAAUUUUAAAAAAUAAAAUAAUAUAUAUAUAUAUAUAUAUAUAUAUAUAUAUAUAUAAUAAUAAUAAUAAUAAUAAUAAUAAUAAUAAUAAUAAUAUAUGUAUAAUAAGCGUAUUCGUAUAUCCCCCAGAGAUGAUGAUAAGAGUGUAAUAAGUGUGAUGUGAUAUAAAAUAGGUAAUGAGUUGUAAAGUAGAUUCCUUAGUGAUAAGGAUCAAUAAUGCAAAUAAUGUGUAAUAGUGGAUCCUUUGAGCUUAUAAAAGGGAACCCUUUGGUUUAUGUCUAGGCAUCGAGUCUUGGAGUGCAAUCUUGUAUUUGUAAAUCUCUCAUUCCUCUUAAUAGAAGUAAUCUUCGAUUGUUGGUUAUAAUUAAAUUGGUAUCAGAGCCAAAUUUCCCAAAAGGAAACCCCUGGGUGUGCAACAAUAUUAUGCUCUGUGGUUGCCGAAAUACUUCGGAUCCUCCACAUCAGAAAGUUGUUGGAUAGCUACCUGUCCAAAAAAAAAAAAUUUCCAUUCUAAAACACUACAGAGUGAAUUCUGUAAGGUGUGGCGCCCUCUUGAAAAGACUAGGAUUGUUGUAUGUUUAGGGCUUAUGGAUCUGAAGCUGAUUAGGCCCUUUAAGUCUCAUUGGGCCAGCCCAUCAUUUUAUGUCAGCAAGCAUUCAGAACAAAUGAGUGGGAAAAAACGAUUGGUGAUAGACUACAAGAAGCUGAAUGAUUGCUUGCAAGACAUAAGGUACCCCAUUCCACGGAGGAAACACCUUUUAAAGCGCAUAGCUGGAGCAAAGGUAUUUUCAAAGUUUGACAUGAAGUCAGGCUUUUGGCAGAUUGGAAUCAAGGAAGAAGACAGACAUAAAACAACAUUUGUGGUCCCCCAUGGGCAUUAUGAAUGGAACGUGAUGCCUUUCGGUCUAAAGAAUGCACCGUCAGAAUUCUAGAAUAGAAUGGAUGAGGUGUAUAAAUCCAUCUCAGGAUUCUGCCUUAUCUAUAUUGACGAUGCCCUUAUCUUCAACAACAGUGAAAAAAAACAUGUUAAAUAUCUAUCUCAAUUCAAAGCCCUAACCUAUAAGCAUGGGUUAGCUCUGUCAGAAUAAAAAAUGAAGAUAGGUUUUAAUGAGGUAGGAUUUUUUGGGACUACACAUCAAACAGGGAUACAUCAUUCUUCAGCCACACAUGGCUGAGAAAAUAUCCCAAUUCCCAGACCGGCCGUCAACAAGAAAGCAGAUCCAGCAAUUUCUCGGGAUAAUCAACUAUGCAAUAGACCAUGUGCAGAACCUGUCAAAGAUGACGAGUUAGAUAUCCAAGCACUUAAAGAAAUGUGCCCCACAGUGGUCGGAAGAAGCGACAAAAGCCGUGAUAGACUUAAAGGAAAAGUGCCAGUCACUUCCACCAUUAAAGAUACCUGACAAUGGACAACUCAUCUUGCAGACAAAUGCUAGUGACUAUUAUUGGGGAGCACUGCUGAUAGAAGAAUCCGAGGGAAAUAGGAAAGUAUGUGGCUAUAAAUCUGGCCAGUUCAAUGAUGCUCAGAGUCACUGCCCUUUAUCAAAGAAAGAGGUCUUAGCAGUCGUCAAAGGGAUUAAGAAAUUCUAAUUCUUUCUUUCAUUAACCCCCUUUGUAAUUGAAACAGAUUACAAGUACCUCCAAGGAUUACUAAGGAGAAAAGAAGGAGAAAUCCCAGAUCCACAACUUGCAAGGUGGUCUGAGUCUCUCUUGAGAUUCAAAUUCGAAGUAAGACACAUCAAAGGAGAAUCCAACACUGUUGCGGAUUUCCUUUCCAGACCAAUCAACAUGAUCAAAAGAAGAAGCCUUCCAAAGAGGUGGGAAAAAGGCAGCUUUAGUGCUCAUGAGACUAGAGCACACUUUCUCAAAAAUCUCAACAGUUUCAUUGCGUGGCUUCCUUAGGAAGUACAAGAAGAAAUCUUUGAGAAAGUUAUCAAUCACAGGAGAGAUCCAGAAGAUCAAGCUCUAACAUGGCGGGUAUGGCAGCUCAUGGCCAUGCAAGAACAUAGACUUGCUCACAACAAGAAAUGUCAAAGAGCUUUUAAUCCACAUCAUAAUCCUCACUAGAUGCAUGAAACAAUUUUCAAAAUAGGUUGUACAUUCCAUUAUGUAAUAGAUGAGAACUCCAACUGGGGACAUUAUGUUAUUUGUGACAUAACCCCUCAGGCUUAUUACAUAACCUACUGGUAUUGGCUGAACAUCUACCCUGUGGCAAUACUGUUCGAGCCAAAUCUUAUUCACACCAGUCGGAGAUACGAAAAGGGAAGGUGGUUUGACCGGAUGUUUGCCCCAAUCUUUGAAGAUAUCUUCACAUUCAAAUUGAUUAAUGGAUAUCACAUCACUUAUACUACAAUAGUGAUUGUGAAGCUAACAGAUAUCUGGGGAAGAUACAAAUAGCCUAUGGUACAGGUAGUACAACAUGACCACUCCCAAGAAGACAUCGACUCCAUAUGGACAGGCUGCUGGACUGCAAGAAAAGCUCUCGCAGAAGUAUAUGGGACUAUUCCCAUGUAUAUUACGCACAGUCCUAUUUCCCCACAAGUCUGUAGUACUCUAGAUCUUUACUACAGGGAAGAGAUCAGAAACCUCAAACUUCAUAACGACGAAGAACAAGCAGCAGACAUACAACAAAGGUACAACGACUACUUUAUCAGGCAUGGCAGGCCAAUAGAAGUCAAUUAUCUGGAUACUCCAGAUAUUGACAGAUGGAGGAACGAGUGUGAAGAAAUGGCUGAUUUGCUAGACCUUCAAGAAUGACACCAACAAGAACUUAACCCAUAAUCAGAUAAUGUAGUCGAACCGGAUUGGCAGCAACUGGCAGUUGACAUGGAAGCAGCAUCCAAAGAAAGGUGGAAUCGUAGGUCAAGAAUGAGUACGCUGACAAGUGGUAACUUUGGGUUGUAGCGGAAGCUUAGCGGACCCUGCAGUAGAAGCAGUGGUGAUAAUAAUAUAUGUAUAAUAAGCGUAUUUGUAUAUCCCUCAGAGAUGAGGAUAAGAGUGUAAUAAGUGUGAUGUGAUAUAAAGUAAGUAAUGAGUUGUAAAGUAGAUUCCUUAGUGAUAAGGAUCAAUAAUACAAAUAAUGUGUAAUAGUGGAUCCCUUGAGCCUAUAAAAGGGAACCCUUGGUUUAUGUCUAUGCAUCGAGUCUUGGAGUGCAAUCUUGUAUUUGUAAAUCUCUGAUUCCUUUUAAUAGAAGUAACCUUCGAUUGUUGGUUAUAAUUAAAUUGGUAUCAGAGCCAAAUUUCCCAAAAGGAAACCCCUGGGUGUGCAACAAUAUUAUGCUAUGUGGUUGCCGAAAUACUUCGGAUCCUCCACAUCAAAAAGUUAUUGGAUACUGAGUUACCUGUCCAAAAAAAAAAACACUUAUUUUAUUAUAACCAACAAUCGAAGGUUACUUCUAUUAAGAAGAAUGAGAGAUUUACAAAUACAAGAUUGCACUCCAAGACUCGAUUCCUAGACAUAAACCAAAUGUUCCCUUUUAUAGGCUCAAGGGAUCCAUUAUUACACACUAUUUUCAUUAUUGAUCCUUAUCACUAAAGAAUCUACUUUACAACUCAUUACUUACUUUAUAUCACAUCACACUUAUUACACUCUUAUCCUCAUCUCUAAGGGAUAUACAAAUACACUUAUUAUACAUAUAUUAUUAUCACCACUGCUUCCACUGUAGGGUCCACUAAGCUUCCGCUACAACCCAGAGUUACCACUUGUCGGCGUACUCAUUCUUGACCUACGGUUCCACUUUUCUUCGGAUCCUGCUUCCAUGUCAACUGUCAGUUGCUGCCAAUCUGGUUCGACUACAUUAUCUGGUUGUGGGUUAAGUUCUGGUUGGGGUCAUUCUUAAAGAUCUAGCCAACCAGCCAUUUCUUCAAGGUCGUUCCUCCAUCUAUCAAUAUCUGGAGUAUAAUUGACUUCUCUUGGCCUGUCAUGCCUGAUAAGGAAGUCGUUGUACCUCUGCUGUAUGUCUGCUGCUUGUUCUUCGUCGUGAUGAAGCUUGAGGUUUCUGAUCUCUUCCCUGUAGUAAAGAUCUGGAGUACUACAGACUUGUGGGGAAAUAGAACUGUGAGUAAUAUACAUGAGAAUAGUCCCAUAUACUUCUGCGAGAGCUUUUCUUACAGUCCAGUAGCCUGUCCACAUGGAGUCGAUGUCUUCUUGGGAGUGAUCAUACUGUACUAUAUAUACUAUAGGCUGUUUGUAUCUUCCCCAGAUAUCCGUUAGCUUCACAAUCACUAUUGUAGUAUGAGUGAUGUGAUAUCCUUUAAUCAAUUUGAGUGUCAGGAUAUCUUCAAAGAUUGGGGCGAACAUCCAGUCAAACCACCUUCUCUUUUCGUAUCUCCGACUGGUGUGAAUAAGAUUUGGCUCGAACAAUAUUGCCACAGGAUAGAUGUUUAGCCAAUACCAGGUUAUGUAAUUGGCCUGAGGGGUUAUGUCACAAAUAAUAUAAUGUCCCCAGUUGGAGUUCUCAUCAAUUACAUAACGGAAUGUAUAACUUUUUUUGAAGACUAUUUCGUGCAUCUAGUCAGGAUUAUGAUGUGGAUCAAAAGCUCUUUGACAUUUCUUGUUGUGAGCAGGUCUAUGUUCUUGCAUGACCAUGAGCUGCCAUACCCGCCAUGUUAGAGCUUGAUCUUCUGGAUCUCUCCUGUAAUUGAUGACUUUCUCAAAGAUUUCUUUUUGUACUUUUGAAGAAAGCCACGCAAUGAAAGUGUUGAGAUCUUUGAGAAAGUGUGCUCUAGUCUCAUGAGCACUAGAGCUGCAUUCUUCCCACCUCUUUGGAAGGCUUUUUCUUUUGAUCAUGUUGAUUGGUCUGGAAAGGAAAUCUGCAACAGUGUUGGAUUUUCCUUUGAUGUGUCUUACUUCGAAUUUGAAUCUCGAGAGAGACUCAGACCACCUUGCAAGCUGUGGAUAUGGGAUUUCUCAUUCUUUUCUUCUUAGUAAUCCCUAGAGGUACUUGUAAUCUGUUUCAAUUACAAAAGGGGUUAAUGAAAGAAAGAAUUGGAACUUCUUAAUCCCUUUGAUGACUACUAAGACCUCUUUCUUUGAUGAAGGGUAGUGACUCUGAGCAUUAUUGAACUGGCCAGAUUUAUAGCCACAUACUUUCCUGUUUAUGUCGGAUUCUUCUAUCAGCAGUUCUCCCCAAUAAUGGUCACUAGCAUCUAUCUGUAAGAUGAGCUGUCCAUUGUCAGGUAUCUUUAAUGGUGGAAGUGACUGGCACUUUUGCUUUAAGUCCAUCACGGCUUUUGUCACUUCUUUCGACCACUGUGGGGCACCUUUCUUUAAGUGCUUGGCUAUCUGACUCGUCAUCUUUGACAGGUUCUGCACAUAGUCUGUUGCAUAGUUGAUUAUCCCGAGAAAUUGCUGGAUCUGUUUUCUUGUUGAUAACUGGUCUGGGAAUUGGGAUAUUUUCUUAGCAAUGUGUGGCUAAGGAAUGAUGUAUCCCUGUUUGAUGUGUAGUCCCAAAAAAUCUACCUCAUUAAGACCUAUCUUCAUUUUUUAUUCUGACAGAGCUAACUUAUGCUUAUAGGUUAGGGCUUUGAAUUGAGAUAGAUGUUUAACAUGUUCUUCUUCUAUGUUGCUGAAGAUAAGGGGAUCGUCAAUAUAGAUAAGGCAGAAUCCUGAGAUGAAUUUAUACACUUCUUUAAUUCUAUUCUGGAAUUCUGACGAUGCAUUCUUUAGACCGAAAGGCAUCACGUUCCAUUCAUAAUGCCCAUGGGGGACCACAAAUGAUGUUUUAUAUCUGUCUUCUUCCUUGAUUCCAAUCUGCCAAAAGCCUGACUUCAUGUUAAACUUUGAAAAUACAUUUGCUCUAGCUAUGCGCUUCAAAAUGUGUUUCCUCCGUGAAAUGGGGUACCUUAUGUCUUGCAAGCAAUCAUUUAGCUUCCUGUAGUCUAUCACCAAUCACUUUUUCCCACGCAUUUGUUCUGAAUGCUUGUUGACAUAAAAUGCUGGGUUGGGCCAAUGAGACUUAGAGGGCCUAAUCAGCUUCAGAUCCAUAAGGGCUUGGAUAUCUGUUUUGCAUAGUUCUUCAUUAUAGGCAUGCCUGUAUGAGAGGCUGUCUGGUGAGGCAUGAUCCAUCCAUAUUUGUAAGGUAGAGACACAAAAUGUUGUUCUCUAGCCCAGAACUGAUUAGGAACUUCUGCACAACAUUCUAAGAGCUCUUUGAUCUGGAUUUCAUAUUUAUGGAUAGGGUAAUUUUUUAUCUUUCUACCCUCUCCAAAAUAGAGUAUUUUUCGACCCAAGGAACUUGGAAAACAUGAGUGUUACCAUCCAUAGGAUUAUGGACCGUGUAAGAGAAUCAUUCUGGAAAGAAUGCAAAAGGGGCAACAAGACUUAAAAAGUCUGUUCCCAAUAAGAUAUCUUCUCUAAAAUAAUCAAAGGCAAAAAAUCCAUGCCUAAUCAUGAAGGGUUGGAUCUCUAUUGGUCGUGUGAUCUUUUUGCUGUAGAAGUCCCUGCUGCUUGCUGAUCCAAAAGAAACUCUUGUAAGAAUAUAAAAUUCUUUAGGAACACAAGCCUCUUUGAUGAACGAGCACAUUGCUCCAGUAUCAAUUAGAGCAGUAAGUGCUACCUGGGUAUCUUCUGUUGGUUUGAGGAUGAUUUUAAUGUGUGGUCUGAAGAGAGAUGUUGGUUGCAUAGCUAGAUCUACUUGUAAAGGUUCUUUGACUACCAGUACAGAGUCUUCUUCUUCCGAACUGCUUUAGUUACUGGUAGUGGUCUCUUCUCCGCCAAUGUCUGAAAGUGGGUUUCCAUUUAAGGUAUAGACAGCUCCAAGCAGACUAUCUGACCAAGUGUAGAUUUCGUCAUCAAAAUCUUCCUGCUGAAUCAUUUGGAGGAGUUUUACUGGAAGUCGCUUCUUGGAUUUGCAUUGCUUUGCAUAGUGACCUUUCUUGCCACAGAUGAAACACCUGCCAGAGCCCUUAUUCUAUUUUUGCCUUUUAAUGAAGCGGUACUUCUUUCCUUUGUAGGGUUUCCAGGGCCUUUUCUCUUUUCUCUGUUUGCCAGUACUGCAAGAACACAUUUUAUCUGUAUGUUGGCAACCAAAUUUAUUUGGUUCCUCAUUGCAAAAUUUCUGCAAAGAUGAUUUUUCAAUGUGCUUCAUGUGCUUCCUUAGAUCUUGUGAUCUGCAAUGGCUCUGGAUUAAUUCCAUCGCCAUCUGAUAGGGUUGGGCUAUGCUGAGCACUGAUAAAUCAACAAUUGCAUCAGCUUUUAGAUUUGCCUCCAUCAUUUCUGCAACUGGUCCUGGCAUGUUCAGCACGAACGUUCUGUGGAUGGUGUUCGAGUUUUUGUGAAAGGUAUAGUAUAGCCUUUCCUGUUCUAGGUAGUAUUCUUCCAUCUUUCUGACAUCACAGUACUUGUUUUGGAGAAAUUGCUUUUCUGCAACCUCUUCUUCUCUUGUGAAUUGCCCUAAGAAAUCUAAGGAUAGAUUUUCUAGAAGGCUUCCAUAAGGGUAAUCCAUGUUCAGUAUGUGCUGUCUUUCUUCUCUUAUGAGUUUUCUUCCCCACUAUCUUCUCAACGAGCUUAUGAAUCCUGCUACAAGCCUCAUAGCAGCUGCUCUCCUGCUUAGCUGAGGGGCUCUUUGACAUUCGCCUUCGUACCAAGCCACCAUUUUCUCAAAAUAAGCCAAUCUUUUUUUUGGCUUCAUUCCGUCAAUGUUCCAGAACAUUUUCCCAGUUGUUGAGUGCCCAAGUUGUACUCUGGUGUCUCAUUCUUCUCCUUAUGACACUUCUUCCAUAGUUGGUACUUGUUCAGCUGGAUUGGAAGAUUCUACUCCAGAUGCUGCUGGUUGAGCAGUAAAUUCUGGGGCAGUAAACUGCGUUGUUCCUGACGGAUUCUGGGUUGGUACUUGUCUGCUAGGAUCAGAAGUUUGACCAUGUUCAUGUGUUGAGGCAGUAAAUCUUACUCUAGUAUCCGUGUAGAACGGCGUUGCAGGAUUGGUUCUUUGCAUAAGAAUAGGUAUAAAAGGGAACUGGUUUUCUGAAGUAUCAUAUGAAGAGAUACUUAUUUCUUUUUCAUGAUCCCCUUUCUUCUUCCCAUCAUGUGCCCUUUUGGGGCCAUGGGUAUUGGGGAGGAGGAGCAUAGCUUCUCCAAAAGGCUUUCUGACAGUUGCCAGAUGUAUUUUCUUCCCAAAUAUGACAUGGCUUUGUAGACUUGCUUUUCCAGUGCCUAGAUACCUUCUUGGUAUAGCACUCUUUUGUUUUCUCUAUUUCAUCUUUAUUUGCAGCACCUGUCAUCACUAUCAUAUUAACAGGUCUGCUAUUUUCAUGGAGUUGUGAAAACUGCUGGGUAGUUAUCUUGUGAGUUUUUCUAGUCUUUUUUAGCUGUUUUCUUAUGGCAGCUAAGUCAACAAGUAUUUGCUGUUGGGUGACCAUGAUGUCUCCUAGCGCCUGAUUUUGCUCCACAGUAUUGAUGUUUGACCAGUUGAGUGCUUUUUCAAUUGGACCAAACUCAGUUGGGUUGCUCUUCUGUAUUACCCACUUAGUUGAGUAUACACCACCAGGAAUAUCCCUGACAAAUUCAUUAUCAAGGUCUGGGGUACUGAUCAUGGUUACUGGACUCAUGAUUCUGCAAGAGGUUGUUCUCUUUGGAUGUGUGUGCACAAGGAGGGAUGUUUUCCUUUAAGUUGACAUUUUUCACAUGGGUAGAAGGCUUUAGUCUCUGUUGGGAAAGAGACUGAUACCCUUCCUUCUUGCAACCUGCUAAUCUUUGGAGCCUCAUGGAUCUACUGAGGCCUGUUGUUUCUUUUGUACUCAUUGAUCCAUUGUGGUGGAAAAAUGAGUUGAUUUUGCCUAUAAGUCCUGGGCUGAAAGACUCUGCCAUCACCAGCAAGGAAUCUGGUAAUAGGUUUUCCAGAGCUGCUCAUAGAGAACAUAUGGGUUUGGACUUUAUAGGUCAUGGAGUGGUGAAUUGCCAAGGCAGAUUCAUCAGGUUUUAUGGUUAAUCCAUUUACCUGGAUUAAUACCUUAAUGACAUCUGUGAGGAAAGGCUUGUGUAUAUCAAGGGUGAAGUUUGGUUCAACUUGGAGAACAACAUGACUUUGGUUGAGUCCUGCUUCAACAACAGUAAUCAAGGCUUUCUCAAAAGUUUGCCAUCUAGUAUCUAGAAUGGCAAUGAAACAUGUGAUGUCUUUCCAGCUAAGAACAAUAGUUGUAUUCCUAUAUGGAUGGCUCCAAGGUGCAGUCCCUUGUAUCCCUGCAUCUUGUACCUUGUAACCUCAUUGGUAGAGAUUAUAGGUAGGUACGUUUCUUUUGAACUAGAGGAGAUGGACUGGACAAUGAUUUCUGAGGAUUUGUAGAUGGUUUUUAGUUUGGGCUGUCUAAUGGGGAUUAUGGCUCUAAGAUGGUUUAGAGUAUGGCUAAUAUGGUAAUAUCUAUAAGGAUCUAACGGAUCAAGUCUAAAGGACUGAACCGCUCUCUCACUGCUUUCAUCCUCUUGGGUUUUAUAAUUGAAGUUUAUGGAGGGUGAGCUAUCAGUUGGGACUCUGAUGGCCGAGGUGGAUGGUUGGUCAGAAAUUGGUUGGUUUCCUGUCUAUUACUGUUUUGGUUUUCCAUAGCUAAAAGAAAUCAAAGAGUUUUCUUUGGGGUUAUAAGCCCUAAACACAUGGUAAUCCUAGCCUUUUCAAGAGGGCGCCACACCUUACAGAAUUCACUCUGUAGUGUUUUAGAAUGGAAUUUUUUUUUUUUUUUGGAUAGGUAGCUCAGUAUCCAACAAUUUUCUAAUGUGGAGGAUCUAAAGUAUUUCGGCAACCACAGAGCAUAAUAUUGUUGCACACCCAGGGGUUUCCUUUUAGGAAAUUUGACUCUGAUACCAAUUUAAUUAUAACCAACAAUUGAAGGUUACUUCUAUUAAGAGGAAUGAGAGAUUUACAAAUACAAGAUUGCACUCCAAGACUCGAUGCUUAGACAUAAACCAAGGGUUCCCUUUUAUAGGCUCAAGGGAUCCACUAUUACACACUAUUUGCAUUAUUGAUCCUUAUCACUAAGAAAUCUACUUUACAACUCAUUACCUACUUUAUAUCACAUCACACUUAUUACACUCUUAUGCUCAUCUCUGAGGGAUAUACGAAUACGUUUAUUAUACAUUUAUUAUGUGCUGUUAAGGCAAGACUCAACCAAGGUCAUCUUGUUCUCCAAGUUGAACCAUACUUCACCCUUGAUAUACACAAGCCAUCCAUCACAGAUGCCAUUAAGGUAUUAAUCUAGGUAAAUAGAUUAACCAUAAAACCUGAUGAAUCUGCCUUGGCAAUUCACCACUCCAUGACCUAUAAAGUCCAAACCCAUAUGUUCUCUAUGAGCAGCUCUGGAAAACCUAUUACCAGAUUCCUUGCUGGUGAUGGCAGAGUCUUUCAGCCCAGGACUUAUAGGCAAAAUCAACUCAUUUUUCCACUACAACAGAUCAAUGAGUAUGAAAGAAACAACAGGCCUCAGACGAAAUAAGUCCUGGGCUGAAAGACUCUGUCAUCAGUAACAAGGAAUCAUAUGUAUAUGUAUAUCACAUUACAUUUACAAACCCUAAAUCUCUCAUAAACUUGCACUCACAAAGCUGCCGCUCCCACGCCUUCAACACUCUAAGUCAACUCCCUCAUCUUCAACUCUCCAAGCCAAGUAGCCAACCCCCAGCAGCAACAACCCUCACCCCUCCUCUUCAAACACACAAAGAAACCUUAAAUCUCAAUCCAAGAAUAAAUUAAUAGAAAUUAUUUCUUAUUCUUAUUCUUCCUUUUUUUCUCUCUCUUUUCCCACUUCUUAGAUCUUCCCUGUAACUCACCGUGCACAACACCUCCACAUCACAUCCAUGUUUGUGCAGCAACUGUCUUGUUAGUUUGUUCUUAGUUGUUUGAUAUUUUGAAAUUUUCAUAUAUUAUAUUGAUAAUUGAUAUUUUAUUUGUCAAUUGUAAUUAUUAUGCUACUUAAUUUAAGUUUUUGAUGGAGAAUGAAAUGAAUGAAUUUAGGAAGAGAUUGAAUGAAAUGAAUGAAUUUUAUUUAUUUAAAUUUUACAAAGUAGGUUGAAAUAAUUAAGAUGUUGUAACAAUUUAUUACAAGAUUUUUCCCCUUUUAAUUCAAUUUAUGCGGGCAGAGGAAACCUGAAUAAAAAACCCGUGCCCAGAUAGUGCUGGGCUACGCCCUGCUCGCAUAUGAAAAAUCCAGGCAUGGUCUGGGUCCGGACAACUAUGUGUAUCAUGCGGGCCGGUCCCGGGCAGCCCCAAACCCGGACCCGACCUGGACUUUUGCCAACCCUAAAAGAUAGUCCUUAUACCCUUACUAGAAGCAUUACACUCAACUUUAAAUAACUUGUUAAAGUUUGAUACGGUCACCACAAGAGCAGUAUACAACUUCUCCUUUAAUAAAAAAAAAAAACUCGCCUCUUGCUCUUCCCCUUAUUUGAACUUUCUUUCUUCAAGCACUUUGUAAUUGGUGCAGCUUUGGUGUUAAAAAUGUGAAUGAAUCUCCUAUAAGAUAUCACCAGCCCAUAAAAACUCCUAACUUUACCCAUGGUUUUAGGUAUAGGCCAUCCUAUAAUAGCUUGUAUCUUCGACUCAAUAGCUCUAAGUCAUUUUAUACCAACUAUGAAUCCUAAAAACUCCACAUUAAUUUGAAGAAAGCUACAUUUGUUCUGGUUAAUGUAAAGUUUAUUCUUCCACAAGAACUCUAUAAGGAUUCUCACAUAUGUGUCCUAACAUUAAUAGAAUAAAUCAAAUAUUAUUAAAAUAUAUCACAAUAAAUUUACAGGAAAAAUGUUUGAAAAUUCUUGGCGCAUUCGAUAACUUGAAUUGCAUCACGAACUACUUAUACAAUCCUUCUUUUAUUUUCAGCAUUAUUUUUUGUUCAUCUCCAAGCCUAAUCCUUAUCUGAUGAUACAUGUUGCGUAAAUUUAUCUUUGAGAAAAUCCAGGCAUCAUCUAACUAAUCUAGUAAAUCUUAAAACACUGAAAUAGAAAAUCUAUACUUUAUAGUAAUCUGGUUGAUCUGCUUGCUAUUCACAUACAUGCGCCAGCUCCCAUAGAACCAACAAAGUCGGUACAACAUAUGGACUCAUACUUUCAUAAAUGAAUCUUUUUUGCAACAACUUAUUAACCCGUGCUUGUAAGAUUGCGUGCUUGUGAGGACUCAUAUGAUAGUGAGGCAAGUUAGGUAUACUUGUACCAAAAACUAGGUCCAUAUGAUGGUAUAUAUCUCAUAAAGGCGAUAAGCCAUUUGACAUUUCAGAGGGUGUGAUAUUAGUAAACUCGGUUAAUAAAGGUUGCACUUUGUCAUGAAUAGUCUUUACCUUAAAUUCUUCCUCUUUUUUCCAACUUCUGGUAACUAUCACAAUCAUCCUCCAAAGGACUCUUUACAAUGGCUAGAAAGUUCUUCUCUUCAGCCUUAGAAUUCUUCUUCUAGUUCUUUUAAAGGUCCUUAACAAACCUUUUUGCUAUUUUACUAAAAUUCAUAUAUAUUAUCCCUUCUUCUAUGAAUUACAUCAACAUUAAACUGCCAAGGUCUACCAAGUAAAAGAUAACAAGCAUCUACAUCCACCAUGUCACACCACAUCAUUUUUUAUAAAUCUUCCCAAUAAAGAAUAAAACACGACAAACCUCUAUUACUUGUGUUUCUGUCUUUUUCUUUAUCUAACUUAUGUUGUUAAGUACUAGAUGUUUUUCUGUUAAAAGUUCUAUCAUGUCAACCAGUGCCUUUAAACUAUGUUCUCGCUAUUGUCACUAUCGAUUAUCAUUUCGUACACGUUAUCACUAAUGGUGCCAUGUUCCUAAAAAUCUUAUUACGUUGGUUAUAUUUAUCAAGCUUCGUUGCUAAUAAAAUCUUAUGCACAAUAUAAUUCAACAUCUCUCCUUCAUCUAUACUUAACUCUUACUGUUUCUUUGUCAUCUCUAUUCUUAAUAGUGUUUGUCUCUAUCUUGUUGGCUUUAGCUUUUACCAAAUUCAAAACUUUACUAUGACAUUCAUUUGAUCGAUGCCCUGGUGCCCUAUAUCUCAAACACCUGUUUAGCAUAGGCUUUGCAUAUAGAUCAUUCUGAGACUAUUGUUGGUACUGCUACUGUUAGGAUGGAUACUACUGUUUAGGUAGCUGCUACCUUGUUUGUUACUGUUGUGGUGGUUGUUGUGAUUGACUACUUCCAGCCAUGACUUUUGCUUGUUCUCAACCCCACCAUUAAUCGACUUAUUUUGCAGACCAUGGACUUAAUGAUGCUGAGUUUCAAAAACAGCAAACUGUUUUCAUUCUUCUUAUUUCUUUGCCCUUGCGACCAUCAUGCCUAUAUUCUAGAGUGGCUUUAUGAUCUCAUCUUGAAGCUUUUAUUCCAAUCCGCGAAUAUACUUUGCAAUUGUUCUAAAUAUCGACUCAUUUAUAUUAUUUUUGGCAUUUGUACUAUGCUGGCAAGAAAUACUCUUCCAUUAUCCUCUGCAUUUUAGCCCACGAUAUGAUCAUUAGCUUUCUUGCAAUUCUUAUUCAAUUCUCUAUAUGUUGCUACCAAGCGAAUGCCAACCCACUUCUAUUAAGCGAUCUGCAUAUACAUGAAGAAAUUCUAUACUUAUGUUUUCCAAUCUAAAAAUUCUUCAAUAUGCAUCCACCAUAGAAAUCUAGAGGAUCUACAUUGAUCUUAUAAUCUGAAUUCUUUCCGCACCUUCUUUCAUAAUCGACAAACUCGUCUUCCUCCGAAGCGCUUACUACGGCCUCAUGAAUGCACGGGUAUUCAUCUUACAAGACCUAAAUAUUGAGGCAUUACACUGCAAUUGGUGCCCUAAGGCAUUAUUUCAUGAUUAUAUCCUUGCGGUAUCUUCCCAUGGUUAGAAUUUUGAGAUUGUUCUUCACUCUUGACUCCUUAAAGUAUUUCUUUGCUAUUAUCUCUAAGAUGUUGAUCUCUCUUCCUACUUAUAUCGUCAAUAGAAAGCCCAAGACCUUUAAUUGCUACCUUUAUCACCUUUNNNNNNNNNNNNNNNNNNNNNNNNNNNNNNNNNNNNNNNNNNNNNNNNNNNNNNNNNNNNNNNNNNNNNNNNNNNNNNNNNNNNNNNNNNNNNNNNNNNNNNNNNNNNNNNNNNNNNNNNCUUUGAUAAGUUACAUUAUAUGCCCAAAACGAACACCUGUAGUUCAAGUUAUAACCUUCAAUGUGUAUCCAGCUCAUCCUAAGCAACCAUCCUACAUCGUUAAUAACAUUUGAGUUUGAGAUGUUGAAUAUUUAAUCUUAUAGGAGUAAAGAUAGGAAAGAAAAGUAGGCUUAAUUCAUGCUAUUUUAGUAUUAAAUGACAAUUUAAAAUAAAUUAUGUUUUAAAAUUUUAUUACAUAAAGGUAUGGAAAUUGUUCAAAAUAUGUUUUAAGCAUAAACUCCUCCGUUUGAAGUAAUAGUGUCUGACUAGAAAUAGUUAAAUCAACUUAUUACGAUGAGACCCAUCAAAUUUAAUAUUUAAAAAACUUGUCAUCUCAUCAUAGAACACACAACUCUCCAUUUACUAGAGUAUGAGUGGUUGGCAGACACCAUGGCUUACACAAAUAUUUCUAAUAUUUGAAUCCUCAAACCCUUCUAACAAUGCCACCAGUGUCUUUUGUAAGUCAUUGAUAACGGACUAGCCCAGUUGAAUACUUUUCAAUUUAUGGGUCAUAAUCGCCAAUUUCUAGAUAGAACAAAUAUGUACAUGCAUACUAGUAGAUUGAAUGACAACUGACAGCAUAUGAUAUAAUUAACUUAUUUCCGGAAGAAUUAAAAAACAAAAAAAAAACAGUGGAUGAAACAUAAGACUCUUAUGUCAAGAGUUCGAAUUCGUCAAUCAUGUACAGGCAGAUCAACCUUAAGAUAAGUGGGGUUCACAAGAAAAUAGUUUUAAAAAAAUAAAGAGAAAAUUAUUUUAGUUAUUAAUUACUUUCUGUUAAGUCUAUUAAAAUAUCUUGUUAUAUUUAUAUAAAUAGUAAACUCAUCAUAAAUCUAUUAAAUUUAAACUUUCACUUUGAGAAAUAUAAAAGCGCACACUUUAAUUUUAAAAAAUAAAAUCCUACAGUAACUCAUAUUGGUGGUUUUAUUAGUAUUUAAAUUAGUCGUAUUAAAUUUAUUAGGACUAACCUUUAUAAAUUCAUUAACCCAUAAAAUUUUAGUUUUCACAUCUCGUCAUUAUAUAAUUCAGUCCCCGAAAAUUUAUUUUACUGCAUUAAUGUCAAUGGUCCUUCAACUUCCUUAAAAUUGAUGUUCAGCUAUAUUGACACAUUCACUAUUACCACUUUUUUCAGAACUCAUAUGCACUAUUAUAAUUAGAAAUUAAUUUAGCUACUAACAAAUUAAGUCUAUCAACAGAUUUCUAAACCUCACUAAUAAUUCAAAGAUAUUUAUUCCACGAGAAGGUUUUUGGUAUUUAUUCAAUAUUUGCCACAUGUGUAUGAACAUUAUCAUAAUUAGUUGAAACAUACACUUGAUAAGAUGCGAAUGUAAAAGGAACAAUAUUAUUCUAGGAGCUAUCCCUCAAGAAUUUUUCUUACUCCGUGCCACAUGAGUGAAGGAAAUGUCUACCUCAACCUAAUUAUAUAUUAUUGGACAAGGAGUUGUUGAGUUCCCACUAGGGAUUCGUUGGUCCAUUUACCACCACCUUGUAUUUAAAAAUUUUGGUUGAAUUUAUUCAACAGCAACAAGAAUAAUAUAAAUGGAAAAAAAAUACAUUCAAAUAAUAUUCCAUGACUCUGUUUCUUCAAUUUCAGGAACAAUGGUGGAAUCAUUUUUGGCGCUUGAAAAACUUAUGGAAAAAUUAGGGUCUCGUGCUUUCGAAGAACUUUUAUUGUUCUAUUGUGUCAAAAAUGACGCAGAAAAGCUAAAGGAAACCCUAACCGUUGUCAAAUGUGUGGUUUUGGAUGCCGAGGAAAAGCAAGUCCAUAAUCACCAGUUAAGAGAUUGGCUGGAAAAGCUUAAGGAUGCCUAUUAUGAUGCAGAAGAUUUGCUGGAUGACUUCGAGGUGCAAGCUCUACGAAGGCAGGUCAUGAAGCAAAGAAGCAUUGGAAGGAAUUUGCGUAACUUUUUUGGGAGCUCAAAUCCGAUAGCUUUUCGAUGUAGAAUGGGUCAUCAAAUCAAGAAAAUCAGAGAGAGGUUUAAUGAGAUUGCAAACAUGAUGCAUAAGUUUAAUCUCACUCUAGGACUUGAUGAUCGUAAAGGGCAAACUGACAAAAGAGGGAACCUUCUCACUCGUUUGUACGUCCAUCANNNNNNNNNNNNNNNNNNNNNNNNNNNNNNNNNNNNNNNNNNNNNNNNNNNNNNNNNNNNNNNNNNNNNNNNNNNNNNNNNNNNNNNNNNNNNNNNNNNNNNNNNNNNNNNNNNNNNNNNNNNNNNNNNNNNNNNNNNNNNNNNNNNNNNNNNNNNNNNNNNNNNNNNNNNNNNNNNNNNNNNNNNNNNNNNNNNNNNNNNNNNNNNNNNNNNNNNNNNNNNNNNNNNNNNNNNNNNNNNNNNNNNNNNNNNNNNNNNNNNNNNNNNNNNNNNNNNNNNNNNNNNNNNNNNNNNNNNNNNNNNNNNUUGAAUGGUAAGAAAUACUGCUUGUUAUGGAUGAUGUAUGAAACGAAGAUCCCAAAGUAUGGGAUGAAUUGAAAAGUUUAUUGUGGGGAGGUGCUAAGGGAAGCAAAAUUCUGGUAACCACACGUAGCAACAAGGUUCCUUCAAUAAUGGGCACGACAAGAGGUAUUACUGAUUACAACUUACAAGAGCUGCCAUACAAGGACUGCUUGUCCUUGUUUAUGAAAUAUGCAUUUGGAGAAAGGCAAAAGAAACAUCCAAACCUCAUAAAAAUCGGGGAAAAAAUUGUGGAAAAAUGUAGAGGAAAUCCUCUGGCAGUGAGAACACUAGGAAGUCUAUUAUAUGGCACAACAGAUGAACAUUAUUGGGAGUAUGUGAGGGAUAAUGACAUAUGGAAGUUAAAGCAAACGGCAAAUGACAUUUUACCAGCUCUGCGGUUAAGCUACGAUCAAUUAUCGCCUCACCUGAGACAAUGUUUUGCUUACUGUUCUAUCUUUCCCAGGGAUUAUGAAUUUACAAGUAUUUUUUUUAUUCAAUUUUGGAUGGCACAUGGUCUUCUUCAAUCCCCCAAUGAGAAUGAAGAACCAGAAAAUAUUGGUAUGCAAUACUUGAAGGAAUUACUGUCAAGAUCUUUCUUCAAAGAUGUUAGGACCUUGCCGAAUGCUUCAAGCUUCUUUGCAAGAGAAUCAAAGCAUGCAAUCAAUAAAAGAAUAUAACCUUAAGAUCAAUCUAUGAAACUACAAUCACCAAGAAUAAGAAAGAUAAUGGCAAGAAGAUGUAACGUGGUUUGGCCACAAAAAGCCUACAUCCACGGAUGAAACAGUACUUGAUAAGUGCAUAUUUUCCAUAUAUUUUGCUAUUAAUUUCUCUAUCUUUUUCUUGUUUUGGUCUUAAAUAUUCUAGUUAUUUUAGUUAAUUUUUAAUUUAGUAAAUUAUAUUUUAUUAUGUUAAUUUUUAUAUUUUGUUAUUUUAGGUGCAUUUUGGGAAUAAAGAGGAAUUAAAUCAGAAUAUUCAAGUAAGGAGAGCUUAAGGAAGAAACUAAUUAGAAAUUUAAGGAAAGUAAUGGGAGUUAAAAUGGAAGAAAAUCAAAGCAGCCAAGGCCUAAUUGAAGUUCAUACGUGAAGAUGAGAAGAAUUAGCAUUGGAAAUAAUUUAAUUAAUAAGGCAAACACAUUCUUGUGAUGGGCUUUGGCCAAAUUGUUAUUGGCUUAUUAAUUAAAUAAGUCACGUGCAUGGCAUUGAAUUAUGGAAAGCAAAGUGAAACAAAAAAAGGAAAAUGGGCUUGCACGUGAAUCCAAAGAAAAGUAGCGGCUUGACUUUUGUCUUUAAUCCUUUUCAUGUGAGGAUUUAAGGCACAAUAUAAAAGAGGGCAGAUGCAAGGAGAAGAAAAAAAAAAAGCCAACAGCCGCUGGAUGGACAAUAUAAAAGAGGGCAGAUCCAAUUCGGCAGCCAAGAGGAUUUGAGGAACUAGCAGCCGGAAGAAGGAAAAGCAAGGGAGAAACCGAAAAGGAAUUGAAGAAAAGGGCAGCCGCUUGAAUUAAUCUCCAUGAUUGGUUUUGUCAAUUCUCUUAUUCCCAAUUCAAUUAUGUUAGGCUAAAUUUUUAUUUGGUUGAGGGUGAAUUCAAAACCCUAAACAUGCUAUGCAAUUAAAUUUAAAUUCUAUCAUUCAAUUUAUUUAAUUGAGAUUGUUUAUGUUCUUCUAUAAUUAAUGUUCACGUGCAUCUCUUGUAGCUUGAUCCUUGAAAUCUGAUCUUUUCUUUAAGUCUUUGGAUUCAAGAUCAUUCUUGACAUCCUUCAAUGUGAGAGUCUGUCUUCCAUAGAGCAAGGUAUCCACGAAAUGUUCAUAGGAGUCAGGCAAAGAGCUCAACAAAAUAGGAGCUCUAUCUUCAUCUUCAAGCAUGACAUUAACGUUUUCAAGAUCGAGUAUCAAUUUAUUGAACUCAUCAAGGUGGUCUUUCAUGGCUGUCCCUUCCUUCAUUCAAAACGUGUAGAGCUUCCUCUUCAUGUAUAAUCUUUUAGCCAAAGAUUUCUUCAAGAAGAGUUCUUCCAGUUUAGCCUAUAAACCAGAGGCUGUCCUCUCUUUGGCUACUUCUCUCAGCACUUCAUCAGACAAGUGUAGAAUGAUAGUGCUGUGAGCUUUGUUGUUUAUUGUUCUUGAGUCUCCACUAAAACUUGAAGAUCCUUCUUCCUUUUCCCUUUUGGACUUUGAUUCUUCUUCAUCAUCAAGGGCACUAUCCAAGCCCUGUUGAAUCAGAAUGGCUCUCAUCUUAAGACUCCACAGGUAGAAGUCAUUCUCACCAUUAAAUUUUUCAAGAUCGAAUCUUGUGCUACCCAUUAUGCCAGAUCAAGAACAGAGUGUCCUUCUGGCUCUGAUACCAAUUUGUUAGGACCUUGCCGAAUGCUUCAAGCUUUUUUUCAAGAGAAUCAAAUCAUGCAAUCAAUAAAAGAAUCUAACCUUAAGAUCAAUUUAUGAAACCACAAUCACCAAGAACAAGAAAGAUAAUGGCAAGAAGAUGUAACGUGGUUCGGCCACAAAAAGCCUACAUCCACAGAUAAAACAAUACUGCUCUAAGCUUUUAUUAGAAUGAAAAUGGAUGACAACAGGUUAUGAGAUUACAGAGAUAUUAACUCAUCAUAUAAGCUCUAUAUCUUACUCAAAGAAUCUCUCACACGUUCGUUUUGAAGAAUAUCCUUUUGCUGCCCUUUUAUAACACCUCAGCUAUGAAAGAGAAACGUCAACUGUUAUUCUUAACUAACAGUUUUAACAGCCAAAAGAACUCAUGCCAGCUCAGCAUGCCACCUCAUUCAUGUUAACAGAAUAUAACUACUUUCUGGCUUCAUAAAAGAUUUUACUAAUGAUCAGAUGCUUGAAGGAUUUGAGUUAUUCACUUUCAAAAUGCACAACCUCAUCCAUGAUCUUGCACUGCUAGUGGCCAAAGGUGAAUUCCUAAUGCUGAACUCUGAUUGUCAAUCUAUUCCCAAAAGAGUCCGUCAUUUGUCAUUUGUUAGUGCUAGUGCAUCAAGAAAUGAUUUUUCAAGCCUUUUAUCUGAUUUACGUCGUGUAAGAACCAUUUUGUUUUCAAUUAAUGAUGAGAAUACAAGCGAAUCAUUUUUCACGUCAUGCAUCUCAAAGUCGCAGUUCCUGAGAGUGUUAGAUUUAAAUGACUCGACUAUUGAGGUUUUGCCAAGAGAGAUAGGUAAUUUGAAGCACAUGAGAUAUCUUGAUCUAUCAAGAUAUUGUCAAAUCAAGAAACUUCCAAACUCCAUUUGUGAGCUACAGAGUUUACAAACACUUAUACUUCGCGGAUGUUUGAAGUUAGAAGAGUUGCCUAAGGAUAUAAGGUACCUUGUUAGUCUUAGAAUGUUUGUGGUAACCACAAAACAGAAGUCUUUGCAAGAGAGUGGAAUAGCGUGCUUGAGUUCUCUUCGCAGUUUGAUAAUUUCUCAUUGCUGGAAUUUAGAAUAUUUGUUCGAGCAUAUAGGUCAACUAAGUGGCCUUCGAUCAUUAAUUUUAGUUGAUUGUCCUAGUCUAAUCUCAUUGCCAUCAGCAGUGAAGUGCCUCAGCUCAUCAGAGACUCUGAUUUUGAUUGACUGUAAAAGCCUUAAUCUUAAUCUGAACAUAGAAAUGGAAGGGGAAGGAAGUCAUCAUGAUCGUGAUAAUACAAGGACUCACCUCCAGAAGCUUUUCGUUUCGGGACUAAAACAGUUAUUGGAUUUGCCUCAAUGGCUUCUUCAAGGUUCUACUAAAACUUUACAGUUCUUGGGUAUUGAGGAUUGUCCCAACUUCAUGGCACUACAAGGGUCUCUGAAAGAUCUCGAAGCUCUUGAAACUCUUCUCAUUUCUGCUUGUCGAAAAUUGUCAUCGUUGCCGGAGGAUAUACAUCACCUCACUACUUUGAAAACAUUGUCCAUUAAAGAAUGCCCUGCGCUCUGGGAAAGAUGCAAACCGCUAACAGGUGAAGAUUGGUCCAAGAUUGCACGUAUCCCUCGGAUUAUGCUUGAUGACGAGAUGACUAAAUCAAGUGAUAAUUAGGUAUGGAUUGCUUUGUAAUUUUUAAUUUCUCAUUCAGCUAUACCGUUUAUAGUUUACUGUUCUGUUAUGUUUACUAAACAAAAACUCAUUGAAUGUUUAGUUAGUUAGUUCAAAUUUGUACUAAAUAAUUUCUAAUAUAUGAUUAGUUUGUUAAUACAAACUCAAACAUAUUAUUUGGAAACAAAACCGUACUUGGGGUUAUACAUGUUUCAAAAUCCAAACGGUUCAGGAUUUUUGAAAAAGGAAAUUAUAAUGAGAUAUUUUCUUAAUUACGCAGUUAUCUUCAUAUGGAACCUUAUUCACAUAAAAGGAGAGCUUCUGAAAUUUCAAUCUUUGUUAAUAUUUUAACUCGCGCCGAAAUAUCUAACAAUUUGUCCUCUAUUUUCUCUUCUUUUCUUUUCUCUUCUUUUUCCCCAAAUAUUUCAGCUUUCUUCGGAGAGGCUCAGCCAAGCUGCAGAGACAGUGAAAUUAUUACUGCAACAUUGUUCAGAACAGAGGUUCAACGGUUUUAUUGUUGUGUUUAAAAUUAUUGAUGAUAAGUACGUUGAGUGAUGUAUAUAUGUGUGCCGGUGUGAUCAUUACUAAUAACCUUAAUCGUAUGUUUUUAAUAACAAUGAUGUUCCAGAAUUUCUCAAAUUCUCAUAGCGCACAAUUCGUGUUUAUGCUCGGUUUCUUUCUCCUCCCUCAGUAGUCAGUAAUAUAAUUUGCAUUGACUGCAGUUUUUAGAUCUACACAAUCUGCUGAUUUUUUUGAAGGAUAUUGAUGUGUUUUGUAAUGGAAUGAUGUUGUUUGCAUCUUGUGCUUUGUGAUUGAUGCCUUAUAUUUUCCCAAGGAAAAAAAAAAGAAAAAGAAAAAGCAAAUAGGCUUCUUGAUUUUAUCUAUUCAUUUUUGAAUGGUUGCAUAUUAAUCAGUAGAAGUUGGCACACUAAUUAGAUAUUGCAUUUUGGCCUUGAAGAAGAAAGUUUAUUUUUUUUGCAAUGCUUCUUUCUCUGUAUAAAAUGACUAAUUGAAAGAAUAUUUACUAUAAUAGAACCUGGAAUUUCUAUGUAUUUUAGGAGGAAAAUUUAUUAUACUACCACAUCAUCAUAUUACCAUUCAAUGAGUACAUGUUCUUCAUUUUCUUCUAUCGAGUUUAAUUAAGAACUUUAUCCCAUGGACUGCAUUAUUUACUGUCUACAAUCUGCAUUGAUUGACUGCAUUUUGAGGUUCUUUACAAUUUGUAGAUUAUUUUAAGAACAAUUAGCUACUGCCGUGUUCUGAUGUAAUGUCGGUGUCUAGUAUGCUUUUACCCAAGAUUGAACUAAUUAGAGAGAUGCUGGUACAUUAAAUUAUCCAUUUUUAUUAAUUUAUUAAUAUUGUAUUAAUGUAUUAUAUCAAAAUAUAAGAUACUUAAACUUUUAAAUACUAGAAUCUUGGAACUUGGAAGGCAAUUUGAAUUUUGAAACGGCACCGUUUCAGCUCAACCCACUAUAUGUGUGUGUAUAUUAACAUAUUUAUGACGUACAGAUAAUUUGAUUGGUCGAUUAAUAUAUGUAGUUAGAAAAUUCUAAUCAUUCUGUUAGGUUACAUCACAGUUAUUUCAGAGAUUAAAGGGUUUCUGAAAGCUAUUUUUGUUACUAAUUUCUUGGUUAAGGUUCAAGCAGAAAGAACGGUAAAUGAACCUUAGUUCCCCACCUUUUUUUUUUUUUUUUAUUGCUAAAAAUUCCCCAGGUUAUUGAGUCUAUGUUAAAGUCCCUUGUGUACUUCAUCCGAGUCAAAAUUAACUAUCACAUUUGCGCAAUCUUGGCAUAAUAUUCAAAGCAGCUGAGCAGUUUAUGCAGCUAUUUACUUUUCAUCUUAUUCACUUCUACAGUCACGCAGGUUUUAUUUAUCUAUUUAUUUCUUUUAUCUAAUAAAGGAUGGAUAAAGUUUAAAUCAAUUUUAAUUUUCAGCUCACGAUUCGAACUCAGAAGAGCAGCAAUUAGCUUGAAAAAUAAAAAUCACUCGGCUAAAUGCCUGGGGCAAUUGUCACAUAGGUUGAAUUAAUGAAAAGAUGCAAUAAAUUUAUUAACAACACAAGGUUGAAUUAAUACGUCACACUCUCUCUUUCAUUAUUAAUCAGCCUAGAGGAAAAAAAAUAAAAUGACAUCUCACAGUCCUGUCUAGUCAAUGGAACCCAAUUUUUUGAGACGAGCAUUGCAUCUUCUUGAACCACCCAACAUCGUCCCUGCCGUCGUGUUUGGUGAAAAAUCAACCUUUAUUUUCUCACACGAGGCUUUGAGACGAUAUCUGGUGUCUGCAGUCUCCGCAAUUGCGUCAACUUCGAUCGUAAAGUUCACAGCUCCGAUUGACGUCCAUUCUUCAACAAUGGCAUCCGCAACAGAGGAAUUGAUGCUCGCCGAGGCAACAUCAACAGUCGCAUUAAUCAGCGUCGUGUGCUCGUGCUCAAAAUACUUAGGAUAUAAAGUAACCAUGGAGGAUAUAUUUUGCUCCAUGUACGAAAGUGAAACGUUAACAUCUCCCAUAGCCAGGGACUGAACAUAACACCCAUACAGGCGCCUGCAACUCUCAGGAUUUCCAACAGAGAAUAUAACGCUCCAAUUGGCUGUUAUACGACUAGAAUUAUUCGAGAUGUUCAACUUGAAUGGAUGUACACUCAAUGAAUCAACUCUGAACAUUAAAGGUCCGCCAGAGUAUUCUUUUCCAAUAAAGAUAUGGAGACUAAACCAGAUUGCCAAACAUAAUCCGAAGAAAGAGCAGCAAGCUAGUAUGCAAGAACAGAAAAGCUUACAGCAACUAGUAGCAAAGUCCUCGUCCAUUGUCGAAGAUUGUCCUUCUGCACGUUGAUUCCACGUAAUGACGAGAAUUAACAGAUUCAAAAACUCACCUUUGGAGACUGAAAUAUUAUUGUUAACUAGAAUCAGCUACUAAGGGCUACAAAAGAAAUCUAUUUAUAUUAUUAGCAAUUAUCCUGAAACAUUUAGGAAAAGGGAAAAAAAUUUCCUACUAACAAUAAGGAAACUGCAACUAAUCUAAAUUGCGAUAAGGAAAGCUAGUCCUAAUCUGUGUCAAUAUAUCUAUAGAGAGAGAGAACAAAAGUGGACGAAGGUUUAUUAAGAUUGUUGAGGAUUUAAUUUGAACAAAUUGAAUGUUGAUUGUUCAAAUUUUAAACAAAUUUGCGAUACUGAAUCUGAGUUUUGAAGAACAUCAAUUAUACAAUUAAAGUGUGUUUGGAACAUGGGAUUAUAGGGUAUUAAAACAUUAUUCACAUUAUCUUAAUACCAAUACCAUUGGAAAGAAAAUGGAUUAAAGGGGGUGUGCUAGUGUGGCAACUGCCGCAUUAGUGUGUUUUUUUUAAAUAAUAAUAAAUAAAUAUAACUUUUUAAUUCAACGUAAUAUUAUACAAUAUUAAUUUUUAUUUUCUUUUAUUUUUACAUUAUAAUUGUUAAUAUAAACUAAUAAAUUCAUAAUUUUAUUAUUCAUAUUUUAAUUUUUAUUAUAUUAAGAAUAUAACUAAAAUAAUAUAUUAUUUAAUUAUAUAAUAAUUAAUAUAUAAAAUUGAUUAAUAUUUAAUAAGUUAAUAUAACUAAUAAAAGUACUUAAAUAAUAGAAAAAUAAAAAUAUAACAUAAUAUUACAUUAUGAAUAAAUUUAAAUAAUAUUAAUUUAAAAUUAAUACCAAUAUAAAUAAUAAUAUAAAAUAUUAUUACAUGUACUAUGGGAUUCUUACUUGGAUUAUUUAGCACAAUUCAUUUUAUUGGUGAAUAUGUUACAACUAUUGAAUCACUUUAUUAUUUUGUGAUUAUCUUGUGGUAUAUAUAAACACUUUUAUUCUAUCAUCCUAAGAUAACUUUUAAACUAAUCUUGUAGGUUUUAACCAAUUUAAUUAUUAUUUAGAAAUUAUGUUCUUAAAUUAUUUACUUCGAUCUUUAUUUCACAAGUUAUAUAUUAAAAAAUACUCAAAAAUAAAUAUUAUGCUGCCGAAAAUGUAAGGCUAUAAGCUUUGAUCUUUAUGAAAAAUUUCUAAAAUUUAAGACUUCUAUAUUUAGUAUUUCUCUACAUACUAAUAAAUAUUAUUUUCUAAAUAUAUAAUUUAAAUUAAUCACAAAAAAAUUAAUACAAUACAAUGUAGCACCAAACGUUGUACAACAUUAUUAUAAUAUAGUGCUAAUGUAAUACAAUAUAAUACAAUAUACUUGUAUUAAAAUAAUACAAUACAAUAUAAUACAAUACAGUGUGCCAAAUGCACCCUUAAUACAAAAUUGAUCCAUUUCUUUAGAAUCGUUCAAAAUCUUUCAUAUUAACCCUGGUCUAAUUAAAUUCUUGGAACCGAUGACAAGCCUUUGAUGUUUUUAGUCCACUUAAUAUAUAUCUUAUAAAGAUUUUAUAAUUUAUUAAUGGGAAACUAUCAAUUUGUCAUUUAAGUUUUUCAGAUGAUAUAUCAAUUUGAUAAAUUUGUAAGAUAACACAUUAUAAAAAAAAAAAAACUCUUAUAAUUUCUUAUACCUUUAACAUUUUUGAAAAAAUAAAUACUUGUUUUGGAAAAGGUAGAUAAACCACAUUAGUUUUACUUGUUUAACCAAAAUACAAGUGAGUUAGUUCAUAAAACAAAAAAUUUAAAUCGCUUAAUUACAACAAAAGAACAUGAGAUUAAAAUUUUUAGGAAAAUAAAAAAAUAUCUUCAUUAAAUUAAUAUUUAUUAAUUAAAAAAUUUAUAAUUUUUGAUUAAUUAAUAUUCAUUUAUUUAAUAUAUUUUUUGUGGAUGGUUCUUGAGUAAUACCCAAAUAUUUUUAUCAUAAGUGCUAAGGUGGUACACACGCCCAUUGAAUGAACAAUUUCAUGAUUAAUUAAAUUAUCUUUUAUUCCAUUUGAUUAUCUAAUGAAUGAAUAUCACUUUAUUUAGUAUUGUAAUGGUUAAGAUAUUGCUUGAGAAGUAUAAUUGUUCAACUAAGUCAUAAGAUGGGCAUGACAGUUCUUAAGCAACUUUAUUUAAUUAGCCACCCAAAUUUAAAUCUUGAAAGAGGUUAACAACGAAAAAUUAAAAUAAAAAAGUCAUGAAAAUGAGCCAUUGGAGAGCUUGAUGCAUUACUUUUAAAAAAAAAAAAUUCCGCCUUUGUAAUAACCUAAAUUGUCUCAUAUUUUGUUAGCUUUUUUCAUAUAGUAACGAUAUUGGUUACAAUGUAGGGAUAUAUAUGAAGUUUGUACUUCAAAUGAUGUAAAAUGAUAUGACACUUGAUUUGUUAUUUAUUCAUUGGUUUUAUCAAAUUUGAUUAGUACAAAAAAUCAACUAUUAACAAUAAUGAUUCAUAAAAAAUAAAAUAAAAUCAUUAUUAAUGAAAGAACAAAUUCAAUUAAAAUUUUUAAUUCAAAAAAAUUAAAAUACAAAAUGUAAUUUACGCUUACCACUUACCUCCACAACACGCGUGAGUCACGUGAAGUGUAAACAAAAACCAACUUUCCCAAAAUAAAAGCUCGAACAAUUAGUUUCAACGGCUAUAUCUUUGACGCCCUAAUCCGAACUCAUAACGGCUAUUUGCUGGUGCUUAAACUUUAGGCACCGAUUGCAUGAAUUUUUCUUCAUUAAUAAACUUGUUGAUACAGCGCCCGAAUACACUACUUCAAAGAGAUUUCACAGCGAUUAUAUCGUUGAGCCAAAUUUUAGAAUCAACAAAUUAAACUUAAUGUGCACUUAAGAGAAUACGCACCUGGUUUCCUAAUUCCAUUCGAAUUAGAUAUCUAAUGACUAUAAUUCCCCCAAUAUCCUACUUCACAUACGACAACGCAACACCACUUGAUUUCCAAGUAACUGAGAGAGUUUCCAAAUUCUGCUUUUUUAUCUCUUCAUUCAUUCUUUCCAAUCAAAUUUACCCACCAAAAGUCUUCCUAAUUCCAUCUCUAAUUCUUUCAUUUUAAAUCUUGCUUUCUGAUUUCGUGGACAAAACAACAAAUAUGGCUCAAAUUAGAGAUCAACAAGAGCUGUUGGAUUAUGCCUCUUCAAAAAGAUGACACAAUACCCUCUUCUCCAUGAAGAUGGGUGAUGGUAUUCCCAUAAGAAAUUGCGAUCUUUAUGUCUCUAACGAGCCGCCUAUAAUUUGGAGUUUGUACGGAGGAGACCAGUUACUUGAGAAUCAAGCUUUCUACUUUUUCACUAGGAUGAAGAAACUAUCCCCAAAGACUUCAAGAUUUACAUAAAGAUUGGUUCUGGUGUGUGGCAGGGAAAGGAUGGAGCCAAGCCUGUUCUUUCGUGUGGCUCUGUUGAUAAGAUUUUAGGGUUCAAGAAGAGGAUCUUGUAUCAAGGUAGUAAAAACCCUAGAGAAGACAGAGGAUGGAUCAUACAUGAAUUUACUAUUAAUCCAGCUUUGUUGGAGCAGCAAUAUUCGCAUAAAGCCUUCAACUUUGCUCUCUACCGCAUCAAAAAGAAUGAAUCUGAACGGCAAGCAAAUGACUUUGAUCAGCCAUAUUAAUCAGGAUGAUGAGUGCUUUCAAAAUAAGCACCUAAGAGCUUAACAAGCAGCAGUUCUGGUUCAACAUAACCCACUCACCAUGUUUAGGCUUUGCCAGUAGUGGAAUAUGAAGGGGAAUUCUGAUCUCACUAUUCCUUUCUUUAUUUUGAUCCGAUUUUAGGAAGCAUUAAAUUGAUUGCUGGUGUAUGUAAACAGUUUUUUUUUUUUUUAAAGGAAUGUUUUGUCAGCCUAGUGGUCCAACCUGCUUGAAUCUAAAUUAGUUGAGACACAAUGCAGUUUUUGAAUAGCAGAUGGUUUAAUAUUCUAAAAAUAAAUAAAUAAUUGCAUCCUCUCUUCCAUAUUGCAAAUAAAACUAUGGUUAGGAAAGAGCUCCUUCUGUUUCUAUAUGUGUUCCUUAAAAGGCGUUGCUUAAAGUUAAGAACUUGAAACUAGGCAUCUUCAUGUUUAACCCAAACAAAUUGUUUCUAAGAUCACCCAUUGCUUUUAUUCAAAAAAAAAAUAUAAGGUCUAAUCAAAUUAAUUAGGUCUUGGUUUUUUUUUUUUUAAAAAAGCAAUUUCACAGCUGAGAUUGCAUUAAAGAAGUCAUUAGGAAUCCAAAUUUUACAAGGAAAACAGAAGGUCUAUACAAUUAGAACGGGCUUAUUAUAUAAUAAUUAAUUUUUGUUGCAGAAACAAUAAGCUUUCGCAUAAUCCAGACUACAAACAAAUCUCAUUAGCUAGCACGAGAAUAUAUCCUAUCUUUUGAAAGGAAUUAAUAUUAAUAUUAAUAUUCAUCAACAAAAACUGGCUCCUGGAGAAAUUAAUAUUAAUAUUCAUCAACUAGACAGCAGUUAGUAAUAAUAUUCAUUAACCAAUGGUUGAUAAACUUAUUAUUUGCUUGUCAUUUCUUACUUCAAGUACCAUAAAACUUCAAUAAAUUAAUAGGUCUUGACUUAGGACCAACAUGUGAUUAAUUGAUAAGAUAAUACGUUAUUAAAAAAUUAAGCAACAUUAAUAAGAUAAUUCAUAAUUUAUAUGAUUUUGGAUUCAGUUCAAUUUAUAUGCUAAUAGGCCAACAAAUAGAUGUUGAAGAUUCUGUAUUUUUUAAACAAAAAUUUAGGCAAUAAAUCAGUAUAAUACAACAUUCGAAGAACCGCAACUGUGAUUUAGUAAAAUCCAAUUGUUAUUUCAUCCAAUUAAGAAAGAAUUAUAAACUGCAAAGAGUGCAGUAAACCCUCCAAACUAAUCAGUGUUUGAGCUGUAAUCUUAAAUGAUUAUAUGCACAGAAUAAUUUAGAGAACAAAAGGAGAAAGUAAAUGAGAUUCUGAUUAAAAUUAAUGUUCAUGAUUAUAUUCAGGCAGCACAAAGGUCGUCCAUAAGAGAAGGUUAGAGCAAUCAGUGGCUGGUGGAAUGUAUGGUGAUGCUGAUCCAGAGAUUGCAGAGCAUGACUGAAGAGCAUAAUAAACUUGGUGGUUUAGCUAGUAGCUUGGCAAACGAGUUAUGAAUUAGUUAUGCUGACUAGGGAAAUUGGUUAUGACAGAUUCAGUGGCUAUUAGCGGCGUUUGUAUGAAGAUUCUAGAUAAAUCUCGUAAACAGAUUCUUAUAUGUAACCAUCAAAGUAUAAAUACAGUUGCUUGGAUUCAUUCUUGUACUAUGCGGUAAAAGAAUGGAUUCAGAAUCUAUUCCCUUUCAUUUUCUCAAUAACCAAACAUAGGAUAAUCAGGAGGAAUUGCAGCAACUCCUCAAUCCUUAGUAUUUCUUCUGGAAUCCAAUGAACAACAACGAUUACCUAGGAGCAGCUUGCGAAUUUGUGGCACCAAUUCAGACAUGGUAUCAGAGGCAGCUCCUGCUUCAAAUCAAAAGAAUACCUCUUGUAACUUUGUAAUACCAAUAAAACUCGAUCAAAGCAACUUUGUUGUUUGGAGAACACAAGUGCUUACUUCAAUCAAAUGGAAUGGUACAGAAGGAUUCAUCACUGGAGCAAAUGACCGUCGCGAUCAGUAUCUUGUUCAAGAUGCAGAUGCUAAUAGCCCCUCCAAUGCGGGAUCUGAAUCAAGAAUUGAUAAUCCUGCUUUCUCAGCUUCGAUCGGGACAGAUCAACUUCUUCUCAGCUGAAUGAUGUCUUCAAUUCAAGAGAAUUUGCUCUCUUCUGUCAUUCAUUGUGUUUCAUCUCAAGAGUUGCGGGAUUCCUUGACACGUGUGUUUGUUUCUCAAACUUAAGCUCGUACGAAUCCAACACCUAUGGCUGCUUCUCAUCAUCUUACAAGAAAUUCAGGCAUUGUUAUUGACAGUGCUUCUCAAUACUGGAGCAUUGUUGGAGCUCUGCAAUUGCAUUAUAGUUAGUGGGCCAAAGAUUGCAUUUCCUGUCAUCAAUUGAGGCAGUUUCUUUCUAAUCCUUCUGCUGAUCAUUGGCAAGCCUGCAAGAGGUUAUUAAGCUAUCUCAAAGGCACCAUUCACUUUGGCUAAGAGUUCUAUCACAAUGGUAAUAUGCAGCUAAAUUGUUUCACAGAUGUGGAUUGGGUUUGUGAUAGAGAUGGCAGAAAAUCUGUUGUUGGGUAUGUUGCGUUAUAAGGUCCUAAUUUGGUCUCUUAGUCAUGUAAGAAAUAACAUGUUCUUUCUAGAUCCAGCAAUGAAUCUGAGUAUGGGGCUUUAGCCUUAACUACAUCAGAACUUUUAUGGAUCCAGGCUUUACUCUUGAAUUGCGGGUCAAAUCAGAUGUUAUGCUUCUCAUGCGGUGUGAUAAUCAAGGGGCCAUUGCUCUGGCUAACAAUCCAGUAUAUCAUACCAAGACUAAACAUGUUUCACUGGAUAGUCAUUUUACCAUAGAAAAGGCUUCAGCUAAGCACCUUGAUAUUUGUUUUGCUCCUAGUGAUGAUCAAACAGCAGUCAUUUGAACAAAAGCACUCAGUUAAGGUCAAUUUCAUUAGAUGCAGGCUAAAGGUUCUUCCUGGACGAUUUAGCUUGACAGGGGAUGUUGGAAUAUAUGGUGAUGCUGACACAGAGAUUACAGAGCGUGAUUGAAGAGCAUGAUAAGCUUGGUGGUUUAGCUAGUAAGUUAGAAAAUCUGUUAUGGUGACUUGGCAAGUUGGUUAUAACAGAUUCAGUAGCUAUUAGCUGUGUGUGUAUGAAGAUUCUAGAUAAAUCUAGUAAACAGAUUCUUAUAUGCAACCGUCCAAGUAUAAAUACAAUUGCUUGGAUUCAUUCUUGUACCAUACAGUUAAUGAAUAUAAAUUCAGAAAUUUUCCUUCAUUUUCUCGGUAACCAAACAUAGCUUUAGCUUAAUUCAAACAGUGGCUAUGGUAAACUUGUAAUAGAUAACACUUCAAAACAUUGAGAGCCUAUUAACAAGCUUUCCCAAUUGACUUGAACAAAAAACAAAGAUAUUGCAUGGGAAAUAUAGGCAAAGUGACAGAAAAUGCAUGGACAAAACUCACCGUUCGAGAAUGAUCCAAAUUCUGGUAUUUUUGGUUUAGUAACGUGGCAUCGGAUGGACCACCCCGCUUAGUGUAGCGACUACUGCUUAGCAAGCUACUUUAUUGUUUAAAUCUAACUUUUUGCAAAGUAUCCACGUAAAGCUUUAUUGUUUAAAUAUAACUCUUUGCAAAAUAUACAUGUAAAAUUAUUUAUUUUCUCUUAGUUCCUAAAUUAAAUUGAAUCUCGUCUUUACUUUUGUGCAAAGCAUGCGCUGGAUUUUAUUUUUUUAGUUAAUGUAGAAAUUUUUUUCUCCUUUCAAAUGAAAACCCAUGAAGCAGAAUGAAUUGAAACUAAAAAUUAGAAAAUAAUUCAUUGAAACUUGAGAAUACUUUUGUACAAAUAUUUCUUGAUAUUAAAGGCUUGCGCAAUAGUAAUGUAUAUGUACAUAAUUGCACAAACUGAAUUAGAAAAAAAAAGAUAUUGAUAAUUAUAAUUUUAUUACCUAAGCCAUAUUGUUAUGGAUAGUAGCUAUUGGACGGUAAGAAUGUACAUGCACCAAUAAAACUUGUCUUAAAAAAAAAUCUUCAUUUAUCAAUAAAUUAAUAAAUUAUUCAUUAAUUGAGAUAUAAUUAAUUUUGGUAAAAUAAAACUUUUUCAUAGUACCGACAAUAUUAUUUUAUAAAGAUUAUAAAACAUAUUCGACUAUUUUUAAAAAUCACAAAACUUUUAAAAAUAAACUUUAUCAAAUAUUUAGUUGAUGUUCUUCACAUCUGAUUAUUCCUAUGACACGGUUAACAACAAUUAUUAAGAAUCUCAUCUUGAAAAUUGUUAUGAAAUGAAAUCAAAAUGUUUUUUUCUUUUCUAAAAUGAACAAAAAAAUCAACUUUGUUUCUAUUUUAAUGACGAAUAUGUUGUACUAACAAAACAAAAGAACUAACUUUUAUGUGAAUUGAAAAAGCUUUAAAUGGGAAAUAAAUACGUACUAUAUCCAAAAAAUCUUUAUUAAAUAUACUUAUUUCCUAAUAAACUAUAAAACUUGAUCCCUUUAUUUGUUUUGACUUAUAAUGACAUGAAUGUCAAAUAAAUAUGUUUGAAAUAUUUUUUAUUUAUGAAAAUAAAAAGAUGUCAUUUAUAAUAGGAUAUUAAAACAAGAAAAACAAACAUGUCAUUUUGACAUCUGUAUUUGGACUCAUUUGGACUAUAACCAAAUUCAGACAUAUCUAGAUUUUAGACAUUAAAAAAAAAAGGCUAUAAGAAAAGAAAAUUAGUGUUGCUAUCGUCACUGCCUCACUCACUUGUCGUUGCUAUCAGUCACUAGGCACCCAUUGAAUGCGCCAACGUGAAUCAGUGUAUUUGUAUCAAACCCCCUCUAUACAAAAUUUCUGAAUCCCCCGCUACGUCUCAUAGUUUAGUAAUCAGAUGACCUACGUCUAAUAGUUUAGUAAUCAGAUGACCUGUCAUUUAGAAUGAAUCCUUGAUAGUUCUACUGUUUGUAAUGCUGUUGCUUUUGCUUUGGACUGCAAGACUAAUCGGACUGCAAGGUUAAUCGGGUGAUUAGGCAUUAUCUUCAUUCGUAUUCGGGGUUAUUAAUAUCCAAUUGAUAAAGAAUACCACAACACGCUUAGUUUGGUUUUUGUGUCACUACUUGCGUUAGAUAUUGGUAGUCACUGGCUGCAGAUGUACAGGUACCCAUUCUUUUCCCUGACAUAAUUCAUGUGACAUGAAAUUGCUUGUAGAACUGGAAGAUAUUAGAUUUUUUUUCCCUUUUUUGCUAAAGAAAAGUAUUACUUUCGUUGGGAAAUGUGCCUACCACUCUGGAUCUCCUUUGUAGUACAUUCUUGAGAGGAAAAACUAGCCAUGAAGAUGUAAAAGAUAGCACAAAUUGGCUUUUCAAAGCCUAUUAUGGGAACCGGAUGUUUAUGGGUUAUUGUUGUGUGGCUUUCGAGGUAAUUGUAGCUUUCGGUGUUAUUAUACAUAUCAGCAUUUGCAAAUGUUAUCAGUACUUUUUACCUGAUCCAACCUUUUCAACCCUGCAGGUUCUUUACCUAAUCCUAUUUCUUAUUGCGGAGAAGCAGUGUGAAAGUUUGGUGGAUGUAGGUUCUCAUUUUCUUACUAUUAGAUUGUUCUGCGUAUGGAAAGAUUUCCCUUGUUUCUCGGUUUUCAAACAAUAUCUUCUUUCUGGCUGUGGUGACUGGUGAGUGCUGCACGACAGGGCUCGCCUCUUUCCUUCCUCGUUGCUUUGAGUUUAUUUGGAUGGGCAAUCAAGCAAAUGAUCAACGUCAUACAGGUAACUUGCACUCCAUAUGAUGGAAAUGUUUGUUUAUCCUGAUACUUUUUGACAAUAAAUAAAUUUCUUGAUGUCCAAAAAUUAAGGAAACUUUUGUAUCUGUAAAGUUGACAUUUUACAAUGGCAUUAUGGAUUCUGAAGUUGAUCAGUUUUAGACUCACAUGCUAUUAUAUGCUUGAAUAUUAAAACUCAAACCUUAUCUAUCUUAAAUGGAUUGUCGUGGAUAUGCCUGAGAUGAACAUUUUCUUCCUCUUCACCUCAUCAUCUUUGUCAUGGUAGUUAUAAUUGAUUGAGGAGUGUUAAAACGCAUUGUGAUGAAUGAAUGCACUAGCUAUUGUCAAUGCCCCACCAAAAAGGGCAAAGGAAAAUGAAGAAAGAAGACAAAAGAGGAAGAAGAAAAAAAUUGAGAGGAAAAGAUGUCAAGGGUAGGCACCGGAUGUUUGAAAAAGAAAAAGAUAAAUUCAAAGCUCAAAAUUUCAAAGUUUGAAAACUUGAAAUUUGCAGCUGUAUUACUUGAAGAUUAAAGCCACAUUUUUUACUUUCUUGGCCAUCAUUUUGCUAUAAAUAGAAGUGCAAAUGAAGAGCUGAAGCAUUUCAUCGAGAGAGAAGCAUUUCCUUCCUUUAGAGUUGAGAGUAUUUUAAGAGUUUUAACAAACUCUUGAGUGAUUAGUGAUUUGAGAAUUUUGGGUGUAUUGGGAUUUUGGGUAGUGAGACAAAAUACCAUAAUACUUGUAACUCAUUUUCCCUAGUAAAAUAUUUUCCUUCUGUUUUCGCCCGUGGACGUAGGCUAAACGCCGAAUCACGUAAUUUCUAGUGUCUUCUAUUGUGCUUGUUCUUUAUUUUCUUCCAAUUUUAUUUUAGCUGCGAUGCUACUUCACCCACCAAUUUCCUGACAGUGGUAUCAGAGCUAUUGGUUAUAUUUUUAGAGUCGGGGGUACUGUUCACGUAUAUGGUAUUGUUCACGUAAGGGGUACUAUUCACGUAUACAGUACUGUUCACAGAUACGGUACUAUUCACGUGAAACGGUGGGAGCGAUCCAAGAAUUUUACGGUGCAAAGCAGGGAAUAAUGUUUUGAGUAAAGCAACUGUGCGAUUUUGUAUAUGUUUAGGAAAGUUCAGUAACAAAGGCGAUAAGAGCUUAAGGAGUCUGGGUUUUAUGUGGGAUCAUUGUGACCCCUCCAGUCUUUCCUGGGAACGUUCCUGGUGUGCAUUCUCACACACACUCACAACUAUUCAAGGUGGUGCACUAGCUUGUGUGCGGUAGUUAUCAACAAAAUGGCAGCAAAGUAUGAAAUUGAGAAGUUUAACGGAAAUAAUUUUUCGUUUUAGAAAAUGAAGAUGAAAGUUGUAUUGAGGAAAAAUAAUUGCUUGGCAGCAAUUGGAGAAAGACCCAUGGAGAUAACUGAUGACAAGUGGAACGGGGUAGACGACAAUGUCAUUUCUGAUCUACACUUGGCACUUAGGGAUGGAGUAUUAUCCAGUGUGGCAGAGAAAAAUACAGCGAAGGAAAUUUGGGAUACUCUCACAAAAUUGUACGAGGCCAAGUCACUACACAACAAAAUCUUCUUGAAAAUGAAACUCUAUACUCUUUGAAUGGCAGAAUCUACAAUGGUGACCGACCACAUUAACACCUUGAAGACUCUAUUUUCACAACUCACAAUGUUGGGUCAUAAUAUAGAGGAAAAUGAACGUGCAGAGCUUCUACUUCAAAGUCUACCAGAUUCAUAUGAUCAGUUCAUCAACAACCUGACGAACAACAGACAAGCAAGUUCGCAGCAAGCAGAGGUGCUAUCGGUGACGAGAGGGAGAUUAAUGGAACGUGGCCCCAGUAGGAGGCAAAAUCAUGGUAGAUUAAAAUCUAGAAGUAAGAAGAAUGUUAAAUGCUACAACUGUGGUAAGAAAGGGCACGUCAAGAAAGAGUGUUGGAGUAACCAGAAGAGAAGAGAGGGCAAAGAACUUGAGUCAUCAAAUGCUCAGGGGUGUGUAGCAAGUAACUCAGAUGAUGGCGAAAUUCUCUACAGCGAGGCAACAACUAUCUCAGAAGGCAGAAAACGACUAUCUGAUAUCUGGCUUAUAGACUCAGGAGCUACCUGGCACAUGACCUCUCGGAGAGAAUGGUUCCAUACAUAUAAACCUAUCUCAAGAGGAUCUGUAUAUAUGGGUAAUGAUCAUGCCUUGGAGAUCGCUAGUAUUGGUACUAUCAAAAUAAAAAUAUUUGAUGGUACAAUUCACACAAUUGAGGAGGUACAACAUGUCAACGGCCUGAAGAACAAUCUAUUGUCUUUGGGAUAAAUGGAUAGUCAUGGGUACAAAACUCAUGUGGAGAAUGAAAUAAUGAAGAUCGUUAAAGGCGCGCUUGUAUUGAUGAAGGCAGAAAAGAUUGAUGCUAAUUUAUUCAUGCUUAAAGGAGAACCACUACAGGAGGCUGAUGCGUGUAUCACGUCAAAUGGAGAAGAAUCAACGAUGAUGUGGCAUCUCAAACUUGGAAUUUGCAGCUGUAUUGCUUGAAGAUUAAAGCCACCUUUUUGACUUUCUUGGCCAUCAUUUUGCUAUAAAUAGAAGUACAAAUGAAGAGCUGAAGCAUUCCAUCGAGAGAGAAGCAUAUCCUUCCUUUAGAGUUGAGAGUAUUUUAAGAGUUUUAACAAACUCUUGAGUGAUUAGUGAUUAGAGAGUUUUGGGUGUAUUGGGAUUUUGGAUAGUGAGACAAAAUACCACAAUACUUGUAACUCCUUUUCACUAGUAAAAUAUUUUUCUUCUGUUUUCGCCCGUGAACGUAGGCUAAAAGCCGAACCACGUAAUUUUUGGUGUCCUCUAUUGUGCUUGUUUUUUAUUUUCUUCCAAUUUUAUUUUAGCUGCGGUCCUGUUGCACCCACCAAUUUCCUAAAAGCUAUGUCAUUAAGACUGCAUUUAUUAGGUUGGUGCCACAAAUAUUAGGCAAGAUAUUCACAAUAGUGCUACUGAAGCUUUAUAUGGAAUAAGGAGACCAAACCUCUAUAUGAUAAAGUGUUGUAUGAAUACCAAAUGAAUUGUAAGAGGAUAUGGUUAAUUUAGAUUGCAAUUUAAGAAAGCUUGAGUUCUAAGAGCACAGAAAUGGGAUCAGUCUUGCUCAAGUGUAAACUCCGUCAGUUAGGAAGCUGUCCAUCAAAUGCAAAUAUUUAUGUGAUUGAGAGAAAUUUUGGACUUUUGAUGAAAACAAAAUCCUGCAUGCAUUUGCUUGCCCCCAAGGAGCUGAAAGUUCUCAAAUUGUUUGUAGACGUAAUAGUUCUCCUGAUCUCAUUUGGCUUGCUAAUCUUUUUUGCUCGAAAAUUUGCCCAUUGUGUGGUCUUGACGGUGGGUGAAAUUGAUUUGUGGUUUCAGAUGAAGAAUCUGUUCGUGGUUCUCCUGCUCGAGUGCCUACUUUUCAGUGUGCAAGCAUAUAUGUUGAGACCGGCAGAUGAAAUCACUAAACUUUUACAGUUGAUCUGAGGCUCCUCUAAAGAAGGAUUGGGAUUUUGGAAUUAAUUUGGGGAAAGGGUUUUUUUCUGGUAUAUGAGUGUAAGCAUUCCUUCAAUCACGUAGCUUUGUGCCAUUAACAUAAUGGCAAUUCUACAAUGGGGAUAAUGAUAAUUUUGUGAUUGGGAACUCUUUACUGGUUUUUCUUUCGCCAUUUGUGUCUAUGAUUAAGGUUGUUUAAAGUGUUAUGGGUUUUAAUCUACAACCAUUGCGAAAUGGACUCACUAGCUGGCAAAUAAUAAAACAUAGUGCUGUCAAAUUUUGUAAGGAUUAUGCAUACACACUCUUUCGUCUUCAAUGCCCUGAAACUGGGUAACUACAUGUAUGAUUUUCAUUCAGAAAAACUGGCGAGAACUAAUGACUUUGCAGAUUAAAAAAUAAGUAGGAUUUUCAGAUUAUGUAGCAUUGUUAUGUAAUGCCUUGUGGUUUUUUUAAGGUUAAAGUUGGUUUGGAAAUUAAUUAAAAGACGAUAUUCAUUCUAUCAUGACGAGUUUUUAACAAGAGGAAAGGUUCCUUUCAUAAUUUACUAAUUUAUACAACCUUUAAUAUUAAAACAAAAUUUUAUAUAUUAAGGAUGAUGAUUCUUGCUCACUUAGUAAGAUAUGUACAUAACAUAGGUUUGUUAAGCAAGGAAUCAAUUAUGUAUUUCUUGUAUCUGAAAAAAUGAAUCAUCCUUUAACGAGGGUUAUCAUCAAUUGCAGGUUUCUAGUUUGGUUGCUUGGUUUGAGGACUAUGAAUAUUACAUUGUCAUAACUAAAGGAAAGAAUAUUGUAUACACAGCACACUAUAAUUACCAAUUCUUUAUCUUAUAAUAUAAGUUCAUAGUGAUUAAUUUGACCGUCUUCAGCCAAAAAAAAAAAAAAGUCCCAUUUCAGCACAAAUACAAGAGCCCUCAUUUUUCUUUGCUCCGGCCAUUUUAUAGCAGUGUCAUCACAGACACCUCAAGCUCUACCGAAUCAUCAUAGACAAUUCGUGAUUGGUGGGAGCAUUACAAGAAAGGUACGACAACUUCAAACUGAUAGAUUUGUUUAUAUGAUUUAGCUAUAGUUUUAACUUUUAACAAUAAACAAGAGACAAUCAUGUACAUCGUUAGUUACAUAAAUGUAGAUACUAAUUUAUUCCUGUACUUGCCAGAUCCAUACAUAUAAAAAUGAGAUAAAUUUUAAGGUUUAAAAAAUUUCAAUUCAUCAAAAAUCUAGUGCCAUAUUAAGCGGUAAAAUCACUUAGAGUUAAUACAAGAGGUUUAUGAUUCCCCAACCCGUUUAUAUGUAGGGGUGGGGAAGGUAUUAGGUAAUAAAGAAUUAGUAAAAAUUAAUAAACAUAUUAUAAAAAGAAAUAAAUUUCAAGAGGGAACGUAAAAGAUUGUAUGUAACUUAUCGUUAGUGGAAUGGAAUUUUUUUGGAGAGGCUAUAUUUGGCUUGGAACAUAUGUUAGAACAAGGUUAUUUGAACCCACCACACUCUCCAAAAUCCACUUCUCAAUAAAAAAAUUUGGGUUAUUUCCACCUAACCCCCAAAUCUUUCAACAUUUUCCACCUUGCACCCAAACUUUUCAACAUUUUCCACUGGACACCCAAUUCCGUUAAUUUGACCGUUAUUUUUAACGGAACUAUUUGAAAGUUAAUGAAAUGUCUGAAAUACCCCUUAUCUUGAAUUAGAAAAGAAUUAAAUGAGAUAAAAUAUUUAUUCAAUAAUUAAUAUUUACAUUAAAAAUUCUUAAUAAAAAAUAAUUAAUAAUAAUUUCAUUAAUUAAUUUAUAAAAUAAAUUUAAUUUAUUAUUAUUAAAUAAUAUUUAGGGAAUAAAUUUCCAAAUUUGCCCUUUGACCGUUAGAGUAAAUAGUCAAAUUAACGGAUUUGGGUGUGGAUUGAGUAUUGUUGAAACAUUUGGGUGCACAGUGGAAUAUGUUGAAACAAUUGGGGGCAGGACGGAAUUAACCCAAAAAAUUUCAUUACAAAAUUUUUCUUAAUUAAAUUACUAUUUUAACCAAAUAUUAUGUUAAUUUAUCUCCCUAAAGCUUUUAUUUUUUUCACCCCUUUUUCUCUUUUCCUCUCCGUCUCCCCAAUUUUUUUUCUAGUCCUGUGUGGUUCUUAUACUUUAAGGCUUCUAUUGGAGUAAAAUCUCUAUUGAAAUUGCUUAUCCAAAUUUUUUUUUUUAAUUUGCCUUUCCUUUACCCUCGAGUCACUAUUAGAUGUAUAUGCUCGUGAUGAAACUUUAGUAAUUGGAUUUCUAUUAAAUAUUUUAAUUUAAAAAAAAUGAGAAGAUCACUAUAAAAAUAUCAAAAGAUCACCAACUUAAUUAUAGCAAUAAUUAAAGGAAUUAAAAGACUUACUAUUUCUGUUUGAAGUUAUUAUUAUAAAGAAAGAAAGGGAAAAAAAGAGUCGCUGCAAUUGCAUCAAUUGAGGACAUGUUAAGAAAAGUAUCAUAGAAAGUAGUGAGAGAAACAACUAAUGAAAAUUAAUGAUACUUAUUGAGGGUAUAUUGGGAAUAUUUGUGGUUUUUUGAAUGAAAAAAUAAAAUUUUAAGUUGUGAUAAUGUGUUUAUUAUAUAAAUGGGUUUAUUCAGCAUUACAAUGGGUUUAAAUGGCUUUAUCCUUCAUAUUAUAAUAAAAUUUUAUAUUACUAUAAUAGCCGUAAUAUAGAGGACAAUGUAAUGAAAAUAUUGUUACUCUUAUACCUAUUAGAGAAACAAUAUAAUCUUGUACAGACAAGAACACUCCAGUGCUCAAGUGUAAAAGUUUUAGUAAAACGUAUAAGAACUGUUAAGUGUAAACAGAAUUUCGUCAAGGUGCUGUAAUAGAAUCUAAUGCUCUUUGGUAGUGUAAACUAUGUGUGGCGCGUGUAGUAUUUCAAUCUUCACAAGUGGCAUUGUAAAUAGUGGCUCUUAUUUCAGUUCCUCGUAGGCACUCUAGAGACAAUUGAGCUUCGAAGCUAGUAUUUGGUCAUCACGUGUUUCUUUUAAUGAAACAUGUGGUUCAUUUUAUCCUUAUACAAGAGCAUUUUGUGCGGAAUAACCAUGUCAAAUGCUCAUUUAUCAAGGACACGUGUCGUGUUCUCAGAACAUAGUAAAAAUAUGAUACGCUAACCCAUGUACAUUUAUGGAAAAUCAAAUGAAAACAAAGAACUAAAAAAAAAGUUCAAAGGCUAAUUAAUAAUGUUUGAGUUUGAGAUGAUUAAUAUUUAAUUUUAUGGUUGUAAAGAUAAGAAUAAAAGUAGGUCUAGUGAGGACUAUACUCAUAUUAUAACACUAUUUAAAGUAAACUUUGUUAUAAAAGAUUUUAUUCAAUUAGGUACAGAGACCGUUCAAACUAUAUUUUAGUAUGUCUCAUAAUAGGACUAAAAUUGGUCAAAUCAACCUAUUUCGAUAAGAUCCAUCGAAAUUAAUAUUUAAAAGAUUUAUCAUCUCAUUAUACAAUACACAACUUUGCCAUCUAGUAGAGAAUGAUUGGUUGGCACACCAUAGUUUACAUAGAUAUUUCUAAUAUUUGAAUCAUUUAUUAGGAAAUUUUAAUCCUACCAAGAUCUUGUAAGUAAACAUAUCAAAUAAAUAGUAAAUAGAUAAUAUAUAGAAAAUAAAACCAAUCAUACAACACAAUAAUUUACCGGAGAAAAAAUCCUAUAUUGGAGAAAAACCACGGCCGCCAAAGAUGACGAAAGAAAAAUCCACUAUGUAAAGAUCAUUACAAUCACUCUAGUAUUUUCCUCACAUACAAAACCCCAAUAACAAAUAAUCUCUUAUUCUAGAAACUGUCUACUUGUAUAGAACUGAUUAUUGUGUUAUGCAAACAAGUGAAUCUAACCUUCUUAUAUAUUGUGAUUGUUUCAUAUAAGAGAAGUAUUUAUUUCCUUAUAUAAUUUGUAUUCCUCCUUUAAUAAGUUCUUUGGAAUUACUUAUUCCUUAAACAUGAACCCCCCAAACAAAACAAUUACUAAAUAAAAAAAUUCUAGUAAAUAUUCUAAUUUAGGAUUUACAAAUCCUCAUUGAAAAAGGAGAUAUGUUUCUUAAAAAUCUCCACUUUGGCGAGUUUUUUAAUUAAAUGAAAAAAUAUGAUCCGCCAUACAUCUAUGCAACCAUGUCGUCUCCACCUUCUUUAGUCUACCAAAACCACACUGACAUUGGACUAAUAAGAAUCACUCCACUAUGAGUAAAAUCUUGUCCUCUAUCCAGCAGCCAUAAUUUUCUACAUCGAGAAUCAUCAUACUUCACAUUAUCCAGAGUACCAUGUUUGUCAUAUGUCAAUCACAUUUAUGAAAUUACCCACUCUCAUGUUUGGCUUCUUUGAGAGUCCUCAAUGAUCAACAUAAAAAGUCCACCACAUACCUUUCAUAAAUACUAAACUACAUGUUGUGUGCACAUCUUGUGGACCCAUUAGUAAUAACACAUCCUCUUCCACGACACACCAAUAGAUGACAUAAUUAGCAUCUCCUUCUAUUAAUUUACAGCUACUUUCCAAAUUUGCUAUAUUCUAACAAUCUCUUUUAAGAUGUUUUGAUUACCUACACUCCUCCAGGGGUUUCUACUAGUGGAAUAGGCCUAGCAUUGCUCUUUGCUUUACUUGUAUAGACAGAUUGAAUCAAUAUGUUAUUGACUUGACCUUCCCAAAAGCCAAAAUUAAUUAUUCGUCAAACUUUUCUGUUUCUAUCUUCAUAGGUUUUGAAAACCUCCUUGUUGACGUAUUUGCUCUACAUUGCAGCCUUAGCUCUAUUAUCACCUGCUAAGAAAUAAUUAAACUCACCUAAGAUUUGCAAGAAAAAAUAUGAAAUAAAUAGUAAAUAGAAAAUAGGUGGAGAAUAAAGCUAAUAAAAUAAUACAAAAAUUUACAUGAAAAAUUUCUAUAUUGGAGAAAAAUUAUAAUAGCUAAGGACAAUAAGAGAAAAAUUUAUUAUGUAAAAAUUAUUAUAAUUACUCUAGGGUUUUUCUCACACCUAAAACACCAAAAGCACCUAAUUUUAAUAGAACUACUUAUAUUAUUUCAUAUAGAAAUUGUAUUCCUUUCCUUAUAUGAUUUGUAUUCCUCCUUGAAUAAGUUAAGUUCUAAAGAGAAAAUUACUUAUUUCUUAAAUAUGAAUUAUCUUCAAUAAGAAAACUGAAAAGUGUAAAAAAUUCCUAAUUUAAGACUUAAAAAUCUUCUUUGAAAAAAGAGACAUCUCCCAAUAUCCUCAAAUCCUCCUUACAAUGCCACCAAUCUCUUUUGUGACUAGCCCAGUUGAAACUUUUAAUGGAUGGGCUGUAAUUGCCAAUAUCCAAAUAAAACAAAUUUCCAUAGGUAUAUUGGUAGAUUGAAUGACAACUAACAACACAUGAUUUGAUUAACUUACUUCCAAAAAAAAAGAAAAAAAAAAGAUAGAAUGGAUGAACAUAAGACUCUUUUACCAACUCAUGGAAUUCAUCAAUAAGGCCUUGGCUGAUCCACCUCAUGACUAGUAGAGUUCAAACCCCCGCUAAAUAGUAAAAAAAAUAUUUGGAUUAUUAAUUACUCUUUCUUAAGUCUAUUUAAACUUAACUUUGAGAAUUAUGAACGUCUACACUUUAAUUAAAACAAUACAAGCCCACCCGUUUGUAUUUAAAAUUUUGUUUGAAUUUAUUCACGAGCAACAAGAAUAGUAUAAAUGGAAAAAAAACCAUCAAAUAAUAUCCCAUGACUCUGUUUCUUCAAUUUCAGGAGCAAUGGUGGAAUCAUAUUUUUCGAUUGAAAAACUUUUGGAAAAAUUAGGGGGCUUUGCUUAUGAAGAACUUUUAUUGUUCUGCGGUGUCAAAAAUGACUUAGAAAAGCUAAAGGAGACCUUAACCAUUGUCAAAAGUGUGGUUUUGGAUGCCGAGAAAACGCAAGUCCAGAAUGACCGGUUAAGCGUUUGGCUGGGAAAUCUUAAGGAUGCUUGUUAUGAUGCAGAAGAUGUGUUGGAUGAAUUUGAGGUGGAAGAUCUACGAAGGCAAGUCAUGAAGCAAAGAAGCAUCGGAAGAAAGUUUCGUAACUUUUUUGGAAGCUCAAAUCCGAUAGCUUUUCGUUUUAGAAUGUGCCAACAAAUCAAGAAAGUCAGAGAGAGGUUUGAUGAGAUUGCAAACAUGAUGCAUAAGUUUGAUCUCACUGCACGACUUGAUGAUCGUAGUUGGCGAAUUGUGCAUGAAGAGAGGGAACCUACUCACUCGUUUGUGCGUCCAUCAGAUAUUAUUGGAAGAGAUAAAGAUAGAGAAAAGAUUAUUGAACUAUUGAUGCAAACAAGUGAUGGCGAAAGUGAAACUGUGUCUGUGGUUCCUAUUGUGGGACUUGGAGGUUUGGGCAAGACUUCACUUGCAAAAUUGGUGUACAAUAAUCAAAUGGUAGAAGAGCAUUUUGAGUUGAAAAUCUGGAUAUGUGUUUCUGAGGAUUUUGAUGAGAGACAAAUUAUGAAUAAAGCAUGUUUAUGGUUUGUCUUAAUUCAUGGUUAGAUGUUCUACUGUAUUUUUUGUUUGGAUCUGCAAUAAGAGGGUGAUUUAUUAUAACCAUGUUUCCCUCUUGAUUUAGUUUAUCGUAAUAAAAAUUUUGUAAGCCAAAAUUAGCAUCGGAUUAUUGUAAAUCACUGGAAAAUUGCGGAAACUUGCUGGAACCUGCAGCAACGAACCAGCACACGCAGCAGCGAGCGGCCACCAGCACACGCUGCUGCACGAGCAGCACGCGGCCAGAAGCACAUGCUGCCAGCAGCGCGCGCUGCACGCGAAGCGGCCAGCAGCCACGCUGCAAGCAGCUCGCGCUGCACAUGCAGCAACUGCAGCGCGCGUUGCAACGCUGCAAGCAGCGCUACCUGCAGCGCGCGAGCAGCAGCUGCAGCGCCUGAGCAGCAGCGCGAACGUGGGCUGGAGGCGCGGAGCGUUUUGGUUGACGUCUUUCCGGCGUUGAUGACGGCUGUCCGGUGUGGAAACAGUGAACAGCGGCUGGAUUUUUUGGAGAUGGCGGCUGGGGAAGAGAGGAAGAAAAAUAUGGAUUUAGGGUUACAUGGUUUUUAUCAUGGAGGUCCCUAUGGUUCCAUAAUUUUUCAUUUGGGCAGAAAGUUUUUUAAUUUUUUACAUUUAUAUCCAAAAACAGUUUUGAGUUUAAUGAAUCCUAAUUUUAGGCCCAAUUUCAAUUGGGCUUAAUGGAUUAAAAAUGCAUAGACAAAAUUAAAUACAUUAAAUUUAUUUUUGGUCCAAAAGUUUUAUUUUAAAAAAAAAAUAAAAUAAAAUAAAACUAUUUAUUUAUUUAUUUCCUUUCAAAAUUAAAAUUAGACCAAUUAUAAAUUUAAAAGCCCAAUUUCCCCUAGUCCAUUAACAAAAACAAGCUUAUGGAAGAUGGACAUUGACAAGAAGCCCAAUGAAGAUUAGGCUUAGGGUUAAUGUAUUUUUCAUUAUUAGGAAAGCCAUGAAUUAAGAUUAUUUAAUUAUUUUUCUAUAUGUUAUGUUUUGGAUGAUAACAUGCCAUGAUAACAUGUCAUAUAGAAUAGGUAGUGCCACUCUAUGCAUAAUGAUACAUGUUAUUCAUUAAAUAAUGAAUUUCAUUAUAUUGUUUGAAAUUUGCAUAUGCUUAAUAAUAUUUGAUAUCAUCUAGAUAAUAUUAUAGGAAGCAUGCAAUUAACAAUAUGUAUGUUUUAAAAAGGAAAAAUCAAUUUUAAAAUAUUGAGUGGGAGAGGGAAAAUUCAAGAUAAUUUUUCCCACGGGCUCCAUUGUUAGUUCAAUAAUAAAAUUAUAUAUAUACCUCGACUUCAUGAUACGGUGAUGCUCCCUACGGAGGGUAUAUAUAUUGGAUAUUUUAUUUGAUGAACUUCUUCAAAGAUAAAAUUGAAAUAUUUUUUCAAUCGAUUGUUCGCCCCAACGGUGACUAUUGAUAUGAAAAAUACGUAGAUUGAAACAAUGGUUAUACACUCAACUAAAGUUUGUUAUUAACCUUUCCAACGAAGCUCUAUUAACAAAUUUAGGCCCAAAGGGAUAACGAUAAUUAUUUAUCAUGUCUCUACAUGAAAGUAAAUAAUCUAAUGGAUAAUUGGGUCUAGUAAGUGUAGACAUGACUUCCCCAACGGAUAGCUUGUCAAAACGGUACUAGAUUAUCGUUACAAUAAAUUAAAAUGCAUUUAUGAUUUUUUGCAUUUUUGUCAUUUAUUGUGAAUAUUGUUUCAAAGUAUUUAUGCAUGUCUAUUUUGUUUUUUCAGAAAAUGUCUUCCAUCAACCCAUUAUUAAUUAUCCUUGGUAAAAAUGAACUCACUGGUGAAAAUUAUUUAGAUUGGAAACGCAAUCUAUUUAAUAUUCUCACUGCUAAGGGAAGCAAAUAUGUUUUGACUCAGCCUUGCCCUCAUGAACCAUCGUUAUACGAUUAUAGAAAUCAGAGGGAGCCUUAUGAGAAAUGGUGCGAAGCUAACAAAAUGGCUAAGCGCUAUAUAUUGGCUUCGAUUUCUGUGGAACUGCAUAAGAAACAUCGGAGCAUGGAAACAGCCACUGAAAUAAUGGCUAGUCUUCAUCAGAUGUUUGGGCAAAAUACCCAUUUUGCCAGAGAAGCAGCAUAGAAACGUAUUACGGAUACUAAGAUGGAAGAGGGCACAAAAGUUCGUGAUCAUGUCCUCAAAAUGAUGGACUAUUUGAAUGAGGUAGAGAUUCAUGGUGUUCAAAUCAAUGAUAAAUCAAAGAUUAACAUGGUGAUUGAAUCUUUACCUGAUACAUUCAAAGAGUUUAAGGUCAGUUAUAUCUUAAACAAUAAAGUUAUGACCUUAAUUGAAUUAAUGCACGAACUACAUGCUAUAGAAGAAUUCUAUCAUAGCAGAAAACUUCCUAAAAAAGGAUUCUCUUCAAGGCUUAAGUCGAAAGACAAGAAUGAGCAAGCAAGAGUUGGGAUCGGCAAACUGUCCACUAAAAGAAGUGGCAAGCCAAAAGGCAAGUGUUACAAAUGUGGACAGAAGGGUCACUGGAAGAAAGAUUGUCCUAAGAUUAUUAAAAUCAGGUAUAGGAAAUCUUUAAGCUUCCUAAUUAGUUCAGAUUUCUAUUGCAUCAUACAAUAAUGAAUUCUGAGAUAACUAAUCUUAUUUGUAAUUCAUUUAUUUGGUUUUCAGGAAACCAAGAGAUUAAGUGAAGAAAGCAUCAAACAGCAGUUGAAGACAUGCUAGUUUAUAUCAAUUGAAAGACUAGAUCAAUUUUAUAAGACUUUAGUUUUGAUAUUUGUCUUUAUAUUAGAGGAAUUUAAUUUCGGUGGCUUGUUUUAAUAAACAGGAGUACACUGUUAUUUUUUGGAUCCUCUAUUUAUUAUUUAUUUUGGUUAUUUAUAAAGACAAUUUAUAUCAUAGAAGUCCAUUGAUCUAUUCAAAGUAAGAUAUAAUGAUAAAACGUAUAUGCAUUUAUCUAAGAAAAGAAAUGUUUCUUCUAACCAAAAAUCACCUCUGAUAUUUAUGCCUAAGUCAUAUAAACUAUAAUAAGAUUUUAAGAAAAUGAUCAAUGAUAGACUUGUUGGCCUAUUAAGAUUGAUCAUUGUAACUCUAUAAAUCUUAUUUAGAAAAGUAAUAUGACAAGGAUGCUCUUUUUGAGCUAAAAAGCAUAACUAUGUAUUUGAUGAUUUAGCGCAUACAAAUGUAUACGGACUAAUCAGUUUACAUGUUAUAAGGGAUUAUGAGUAUUCUAUCAAUCUUGUUGAUGAAUAUUCAUUUUAUUUAUGUUUGUCUAAAUGCGUCAUGAUUCCAUUGCUUUUGAAAUUCAAAAGAGUACGUGGAUAAGACAGAAGCAAUUAGACAGGAACAUAAAAGAACUUCGAUAUGAUCGAAACAAAGAAUAUCUCUAUGGAGAAUUCAAGCACUAUUUGGUUGUCAAUGAACACUAUAAUACAAUAGUGUAAUUAAAUGAAGAAACAAGAUUCUUUUGGAUAAGACAAGAUAUAUACUAAGUGGUUUAUCAUUUACCUUUUUUGAUUCCAGAUACUAGUAUUUAAAACUACAAAGUUUAUUGAACUUAGUUUCAUCUAUCUCGGUGUCUACUACUCCAAGAAAUUAUGAAAAAGUCACAAACAUGGUUUGAGACACAUUCGUAUUUGGAGUUUACUAGUAUUUCUACUAGAAUCAGAGAUAGACAAGAUGGAUUCGUGUUCAGAAGCUUGCAUGUUUUAGGUAUCUUAAAGGAAUAAGGGAAAGUCUGAAUUAUAGUCCUCAAGAUAGGAAUGUAUUUAUAGAAAUAUUCUUUACUUUCUUUGAGGAAGACUCUAUAAUGACUUAUAACCUAAGAGUAAGGUAAAACUAGAGAAAUAAAAGAGAUCAGGUUGAUGCUCAGCUUUCAACACCUGUUAUAGAACAGGAAGAACAGCAACAACCAGCUGAUCAGCACAGGAUUAUCCUUGAACAACCAUCACUUUUAGAACCUUGUUGUAGUGGGAGGGUAACUAGGUUACCUGCGAGAUACAUAUUUUUGGGAGAAACCUAUAUGGUUAUCUCAGAUGAACAUGUACAAAAUCCCACUAGUUACAACGAAGCUCUAAUAGAUAGAGAUGUUAAAUUUUGGAAAAAUGCCAUGAAUCAAGAAAUGGAAUCUGUGUAUUCCAAUAAAGUCUGGGAACUUGUAGAGGCACCAAAUGGGGUAAAACCUAUAGGCUGCAAGUGGAUCUACAAGAGAAAAAGAGGAGUAGACGGAAGGGUGGAAACAUUUAAAGCAAGAUUAGUAGCCGAAGGGUUUACUUAGAAAGAAGGGAUCGAUUAUGAGGAAACAUUUUUCUACGGUUGCUAUGCUUAAAUCCAUCAGGAUUCUGCUCUCCAUUGCUGCAGUGCUAGAUUAUGAAAUUUGGCAAAUGGAUGUCAAGACUGCCUUUCUUAACGGGCAUCUGGAAGAAAACAUCUACAUGCAGCAACCAGAUGGAUUUAUACAAAAAGGCCAAGAACACAUGGUAUGUAAGUUGCAGAGAUCCAUUUAUGGAUUAAAGCAAGCAUCCCGGUCAUGGAACAUCAGAUUUGAUCAAGCGAUUAAAUCACUUGGAUUCAUUCAGAACAUUGAUGAACCAUGUGUGUACAAGAAAAUUCAGGAAAAAUUUGUAGCCUUCCUAGUUCUUUGUGUAGACAAUAUUCUCCUUAUUGGAAAUGAUAUAGGAGUAUUGACUACAAUAAAGAUUUGGUUAGCAAAAUAAUUUGAUAUGAAAGACCUGGGGGAGGCAAGUUAUAUUCUUGGUAUCAAGUUACUACGAGACCGGAAGAAUAAAACUUUAGCCUUGUCUCAAGCGAUCUAUAUCGAUAAGAUAUUGGCUAGAUUUAGCAUGGAAAAUUCCAAGACUGGUUUAUUACCAUUCAGACAUGGAAUUACAUUCUCUAAGGAUCAAUCACCUAAAACAUCUGAAGAGAUAGAGAGAAAGAGACGAGUUCCCUAUGCAGACGCUGUGGGAAGUCUCGUGUAUGCCAUGCUUUGCACUAGGCCAGACAUCUGUUUUGCGGUAGGGAUGGUUAGCAGAUAUCAAUUUAAUCCUGGACCUCAAUACUGGACUGUAGUCAAGCAUAUUAUAAAGUAUCUGAAAAGAACUAAAAAUUAUAUGCUUGUGUAUUCUGGUGAUGAACUCAUUCCAGUGGGUUAUACUGAUUCUGACUUUAUGUCAGAUAAGGAUUCCAGAAAAUCAACUUCCGGCUAUGUGUUUACAUUGGGAAGUGGAGCUAUUAGUUGGAUGAGUGUGAAACAAUCUUGUAUCACAGACUCAACAACUAAAGCUGAAUAUGUGGCUACAUCUGAAGCUGCAAAAGAAGCUAUAUGGUUCCGCAAGUUCCUACGAAAUCUUGAGGUGGUACCUGUUGUAACUGCACCCCUUAAACUAUUUAUGUGAUAAUGGUGGUGCGGUAGCUCAAUCUAAGGAACUAAAGAACCACAAGAAACAAAACAUAUUGAAAGGAAGUAUCAUCUUAUAAGGGAAUAGUGUAGAAAGGUUAUAUGACAAUAUCCCAAAUGGCAUUAGAUGCUAAAUGGCAGAUCUUAUUACAAUGGCCAUUAGUGGGAAACCUUUAUAACCUGCACUUAGAGCCCUAGAGCAUGUGCAAUAUGCCAGAUAUGCUUUGAGAGCUAGUGGGAGAUUGUUGGGAAAAUAUGCUCUUUAAAAGCAUAUGUGUUUAUUUAAUUGUAAUAAACAAUUUUUCUGAUUAAUAAAAUAAAUGAGGUAUUUUAUUCAAAUAUCUUAAUUGCAUUAAUAUUUGUAUUAAAGUCCAUUUAAUCAUAUUAUAUGUAUUUAUGUGAUCACUAUGUGGAUUCACAGAAGACAUAAAUACAAGUUAUCUUAUGAUUAAAUAAAUUUAGUUCGCAGUUGAUAAAUAAAGUUGGGCACUUUAUUUAGGUAUAGACUGUAAUAAAUUCAUUGAAUGAUUUGUCUUAAUCAUGUAUGAAUUUAUUGAUGUAGUACGACUACAUUGAACAGGAUCACAUAUGAGAUUUAAUUAACUUUGUAAUAACUGUCAGACUUAUUAAAUCUCAUAGGCGUUGAUUUUACUGUAAUCUUAAUCUUGAGUUAAUUAUGAUUUCAUGAUUGUAAUUGUUAUUCCAUUUGAGUUACCAAUGGGCACGACACAGCCUUGUGGUCAAGAUUACCCGGUAUCUUGGUGGGAGCAAUUAUGAGUAUUGGAGUUAUGUAUUAACAAUAUAGAAUUUGUACAACACAUCUCUUGAUGGGUUUUCGGCACUUGAUCAUAGAACUCUCUGGCCAGAGUGUGUCAACAUAUUUAGUAUGUUGAAAAUGAUCAUUAGAGAAAACCAGUAAGGAUCAAGGAAUAAGAUGUUAUUAAAUUGAUUGGACAGUUGAGAUAUCAAUUUAAUUAACGAUGUGGUACAAAGGAUUGUGCAGUAAAGAAAUCAAUGUGGCUUGGGACGAAUUAUUAUUCGAGCAUACAAUUAUGGAAGUCAGUUCUAAUCUUUUAGUGGAGUAGAUUUGAAAUUAAAUAAUUGGACUAGUUUAAUUACAGGCCUAAUUAUUGUAGCCACUAUUGUAUGUUCCCAAAUGAUCCCCGGGUUAGCUCAUUUAAUUGACUGCACCACUACUGGACUAAUAAGUAAGAUAACUAGCUAUUUUGGUCAAAAGCCUAAAUAUAUCAUUUAGUGGGAGGCUCCAUUUAAUUAGCUUUUGUAUAAGGGGCCUUAUGUUAUUUUACAAGGUGGGUCCCCUAUUGAAAAAGAAAAUAACGUGAGUUUUAUUUAGGGUAUUAUUUGGAGCCUAGGGUUUUCACUAAAGGGUGAUAUAAAAGGCUUAUUUUUCCCUAAAGAAAAAUAUGGAAGCCACUAUAUACAGAUCAGAGAAAAAGAUUUUUCUCUCUAUUGUUGAGAGAAAAAUUUUCUCGUGCUAGUUGUUUUGAUAGUGAUAAAGGCGCCCACAUGUCAAGUGCAGAUCGAACCUGAGUCAUAACUUGGAAGAUCAUUGGAGACUGUUCGUGAUCUAACAAGCGUGGUGGUGACGGAUCGUGAUCUAACAGGAGUGGUGGUGGCGGAUCGUGAUCUAGGAGCCUAAAACACUUCAGCGGAAAAAGCCAACUCAGAUUUUCAAGGUACGAUUUCUAGAAUACAAAUUCUUAUAUAUUAUAUGAGAGCGAUCUUCAAAAGGUUUUAUAAAAAUUAAAAAACUGGAUUUUCCCCAACAGAAGGAAGUCAUCAUGAUCGCAAAAACACAAGGCCUCACCUUCGGAGGGUUGUCAUCGGGGAAAUAACACAGUUCUUAGAACUGCCACAAUGGCUUCUUCAAUGUUGUACUGAUACUUUACAGAGCUUGAUAAUUGUUGAUUGUCCCAACUUCAUGGCACUACCAGGGUCUCUAAAAGAUCUCGAAGCUCUUGAAACUCUUGUCACUGCACGAUGUCCAAAAUUGUCAUCGUUGCCGGAGGAUAUGCAUCACGUCACUACUCUGAAAUCAUUGGCCAUUGCAGAAUGUCCUGCGCUGAGUGAACGAUGCAAACCGCCAACAGGUGAAGAUUGGCCCAAGAUUGCACAUAUCCCUGAGAUUUUACUUGACGAUAAGAUGAUUAAAUCAAGCGAUUAUUAGGUAUGGAGCUCUCUUCUUUUUUAAUUUCCUCUUUUCAUGCAGCUUUCUAAUUUUUAAUUUCUCAUACAGCUAUACCGUUUAUAGUUUAAUGUUUUGUUAUGUUUACCAAACGAAAACUUGACUUUGAACGUUAGUUAGUUCAAUCAAAUUUGUACUAAUUUAUUUUCUUCUAAUACAUAAUUAGUUUGUCAGUACGAAACACAAAAAUAAUAUUUCGGAAACCGCAUUGUUCUAGGGGUCAGAUCUGUUUCUAAAUUCAAACAGUUCAGGAUUUUUCAAAAUGGAACUUAUAAUGAGAUUUUUUUUUUUUAAUUAUCUAGUUAUCUUCAUAUGGAAUUUCAAUCUUUGUUAAUACUUUAACUUGCGCCGAAACAUCUAACUAUUCUUCCUCUUAUCCUUUUUUUUUCCCAAAUAUUGCAGCUUUCUUGGGAGAGGUUCAACCAAACUGUAGGGACAGUGAAAAUAUUACUCUUAACGUUGUUCAGAACAGAGGUUCAACGGUUUUAAUGUUGUGUUUUAAAGUUACAAGUAUUAUAUAUUCGUUACGUGUGGUUAUGUAAUUUGCUGAUAUAUAAGUACAUUGAGUGAGGUAUAUGUGUGUGCCUGUGUGGUCAUUACUGAAUUUCUCAGUAAUAUAAUUUGCAUUGACUGCAGAUUUGUGUAAUGGGAACGGUGGUGUCUGUAUUUUUUGCUUUGUGAUUGACGACUUACAUUUGCCCAGGAAGAAAUGAAAACAAAUCGGCUUCUUGAAAUUAACCAUUUAUUCUUUCGAAUGGUAACCUUUUUGUGACAUGAUUCGCAUAUUAAUCAAAAGCAGUUGGCAAACUAAUCAGAUAUUGCAUCGUGAUUCGUGGCCUUGAAGUGAAAUGCGUGAGCAUGUUUGUGGAGGUUUUUGUUUUUGUUUUUUUUUUCCUCCAUAUAAAAUGACUAAUUCGAAAGAAUAUGUAUUGUAAUAGAACCUAGAACUUCUAUGUACUUUAGGAUGAAAAUUCUGUACGAUAGAAAAUAUUAAAACGAAAAUUAAAGUUGAUAUGAGAAAAUUAAAGAAGCUUGCAACUUGGAACUGCAAUCUAGCUCGACCUACUAUAUAUAUAUAUAUAUAUAUAUAUAUAUAUAUAUAUGUUAUUAAUUAAUUGAUCAGGUAAGAUAGGGAGAGACUCGCAGACUCUUUACAAGGAGCAAAAAUGGUAUGAAACUCUGUUUUGAUUAAAAUUCAAUGACUUUCUUCGUAUUAAUCAAAUUAAUUGAUUAAUUAUUUUGGUAAAAAGAAUUUGCGAAAAGUCAUUUUAUCAAAUGAUUUGGUGAAAUUUCAAGUACUUUCAUCUUGGUUUUUGCAGUUAAUAGGAAAUAGUUUGGUCUUGGGAUGUGGUAUAUGUAUCAACUUCUUAUUGCUGGUGAACAUUACUGGUUUAGUGUGCGAUCGUUUACUAUCACUGCAUGCAUUAUCAGUUUAUUUUAUUGAACUAUCCCAAAUCAGUAACGAAUCCUCAAUUCCCUCUGUUUUCUUUGGAUCCUAGUAGUGUUUGGCAUGCAUCAACUAGUGUUCAUGCAUGUGUCGGUUCAUCAUAGACAACUUCAGCACACAUACAACAGCCCUCAUUUCUUCUUAUAUUGUCGGUUCGAUAUCAUUUUGAAAAAUCAUAUCAAAACUGCUUUUGGAGUUCUAAUCCAGUGCAGUUACACCUAUAUUGUACUUUUGAUCUGCAACCUUGAGUCACUGUCAUUUUGCUGUUAGUAUUUCGAUUAGCAACUUGUACAGUGGUAUUUGAACUGCAUGGUAUGUCAACUUUCACUCUAUGUGUCUUAGAAACUCUGUAUAUCACUAAUUUCCUAGCACAGGCCUUGUUGACAGUCAAAGAUUUGAGGCAUAUUUCUGUAUUGAAGGCUUUUCUGUCGUCAAUUUGAUGAUGAGCGCAUGUAUUAUCCCCAAUAUUUUGAGCAGGAACUUGUAACUAGUAAUAACCAGUACCUAAGAUGUUGCAUUUGAUUGACUUCUCUUUCUCGUUUAGUUUCAGCCGUUGGAGUUGUUUCAGACAUGGUAACUGAUACGUAAUUUCUCUCUUUCCACCCCACAAUGUAUCAUUAGUCAUCAUUCGUUCUGGUUGGCGCGGAUACGCAUACUAAUUUGGAUUAUUGUCUGUGCCUUUGUCUUUUGUCAAUAAUCUUUUGCAUUUCAGGAUUAGUACAUCUUGUGUACUGGUAUACUCUCUCAACUAUACAUGUAAGACUUUGUUAUGUUUUCUUGACCCGUAAUCUAAUGCUAUAAGAUGACGGCAUAAUUGAGCUAUUUUGCAUCUCCAUGCAGGCCUGAUUUGGUUUUUGUGUCACUACCUGCAUUAGAUAUUGGUAGUCAAUGGCUGCAGAUGUACAGGUGCCGUUUCGUUUCCCUGACAUAAUCUCAUGUAACAUGAAAUUGCUUGUGAAACUGGAAGAUACUUGAUUCUUUUUUUUUUUCAUUUUUGCUAAAGAAAAGUGUUACUUGCGUUGGGAAAUAUGCCUACCACUCUGGAUCUCCGUUGCAGUACAUUCUUGAGAGGAAAAUCUAGCCAUAAAAUGUAAAAGACAACACAAAUUGGCCUUUCAAAGCCUAUUAUGGGAACCGGAUGUUUAUGGGUUAUAGUUGUGUGGCAUGUGAGGUAAUUGUAGCUUUCCGUGUUAUUAUCCAUAUCAGGAUUUGCAAAUGUUAUCAGUGCUUUUUACCUGAUCCAACUGUUUCAACCCUGCAGCUUCUUUACCUAAUCAUAUUUCUUAUUGCGGAGACGCAGAGUGAAAGUUUGGUGGAUGUAGGUUCUCAUUUUCUUACUAUUAGAUUGUUCUGCAUAUAGAAAGAUUUCCCCUGUUUCUGGCUUUGCAAACAAUCUCUUCUUUCAGGUUGUGGUGGGUGCUGUGCGACAGGGCUCGCCUCUUUCCUUCCUAGUUGCAUUGAGUUUAUUCGGUUGGGCAAUCAAGCAAACGAUCAAUGUCAUAAAGGUAACUUGCACUCCAUAUUAUCGUAAUGUUCGUUUAUUCUGAUACUUCUUCACAAUAAGUAAAUUUCUUGAUGUCUACAAAUUAAGGAGACUUUUGUAUGGGUAAAGUUGACAUUUUACAAUGGCAUUCUGGAUCCUGAAAUCGGUCAGUUUGAGAUUCACAUGCUGUGAUAUGCUCUACUGUUAAAACUCAAACCUUUUCUGUAUCUUAAAUGGAUUGUCGUGGAUAUGCCUGGGAUGAUCAUUUUCUUCCUCUUCACUUCAUCAUCUUUGUCAUAGUAGUUAUAAUUGAUUGAGGAGUGUGAAAACGCAUUGUGAUGAAUGAAUGCACAAGCUAUGUGAUUAAGACUGCAUUUAUUAGGUUGGUGACGGCAAAUAUCAGGCAGGAUAUUCACAAUAGUGCUACUGAAGCUUAAUAUGGAAUAAGGAGACCAAACCUCUAUAUGAUAAGAGUUGUAUGAAUACCAAAUGAAUUGUAAGAGGAUAUGGUUAAUUUAGAUUGUAAUUUAAGAAAGCUUGAGUUCUAAGAGCACAGAAAUGGGAUCAGUCUUGCUCAAGUGUGAACUCCAUCAGUUAGGAAGUUGUCCAUCAAAUGGAAAUAUUUAUGUGAUUCAGAGAAAUUAUGGACUUUUGAUGAAAACAAAAAUCCUGUAUGCAUUUGCUUGCUCCCAAUCCUGUAUGCAUUUGCUUGCCCCGAAGGAGCUGAAAGUUCUCAAAUUGUUUGUAGACGUCAUAGUUCUCCUGAUGUCAUUUGGCUUGGUAAUCUUUUUUGCUCGAAAAUUUGCCCAUUGUGUGGUCUUGACGGUGGGUGAAAUUGAUUUGUGGUUUCAGAUGAAGACAUCAGCAGAUGUGUGUGCGCUAUAUCACAUCGAGAAAAAGCAAAGGCCUUAAAGAGUUCAUCAACAUUUUCCAUUUCAGAAGAAUCUGUUUGUGGUUCUCCUGCUCAAGUGCCUACUUUUCGGGGUGCAGCAUAUAUGUUGAGACCGGCAUAUGAAAUCACUAUACUUUUACAGUUGAUCCGAGGCUUCCCUAGCAAAGGAUUUGGAAUUAAUUUGGGGAAGGGGUGUUUUUUGGGUAUAUGAGUGUGUGCAUUCCUUCAAUCACGUAGCUUCGUGCCAUUGACUUAUUGGCAAUUCCACAAUGGUGAUAAUGAUAAUUUUAUGAUUGGGGCACAGUGUUAGGAACUCUUUACUGGUUUUUUUUUUUCGCAUCUAUGUCUAUGAUUAAGGUUGUUUAAGGUGGUAUGGAUUUCAGUACAUUGAACAAAAAAUUAUUUAUUUUUAUUCAAAUAAAAAUACCUAAAAAUCAAACCUAAGUUAAAAAAAAUAAAGUUUAAAAAAUUCUGAAAUUAAUCAAAUUUUAAAACUUGAGACUUUUAACAGAUUAAUCCAACCUUUGAAUAAAUAAACUAAAUGGGGGUCAGUUUUUCUCGUGUCAGCUUGUUCAAUCGACACUAUCUUUUCAACCUCUCACGAAUAAACAAAUCACUAAUGAUGUGUCCAUUUCUUCUACUUUAUAAUAAUUUUUAAUAAAAAGAUUAUUAAAGUGGUUCGGCUGUGGGAGCCACACGUGUCUGUGGCAGCGCACACCCAAGAGAAGCCAGUCUGGUUCCAAGAAGAAAGUGAACAUGAGAUGAUGAGAUGCCGUAUCAAAUGGGGCCACGUAGACAGAGAUGCUUCGAGGUGACAUGUCAGCAGAUACCUCCACCACCGAUCUUCAAAAUAAUUUGAACGGUUGGGAUUUUAUUUUCAACUUACCUGUGUCCAGGCUGUUGUUGAUUGUCGCUAUCCUCAAUUGUCCACUUCGAAUUUUUUUUUCAAUUUCUCCAACACUCUCCUAACCAAAGGAGUUAAUAAGAUUUCGAUAUUUUUUUCUUUAAAUGAUUUGAAAUAUCAAUAUUUUAUAAUUUUUUUUGGGUCCUAUUUUGUCCAUAAAAUGUUUAGCGAUCCUUUCGUUAAUUAGUUUCGUGGCUGUCUUAUCAAAUUAUUACAACGGUGAUAUUGGUUAGACACAAAAAUUAAGAAAAAAAAAUGAUUAUAAUUAUCUGCGUGGCGCUAACACACUCUUUCACCUUCAAUGCACUGAAACUGGGGAACUACAUGUAUGAUUUUCAUUCAGAAAAACCGAUGGGAACUAAUGACUUUCCAGAUUAAAAAAAAAAAUAGGAUUAUCAAACAAUGUAGCAUUGUUAUGUAAAGUUUUAUGGUUAUUUUAAGGCUAAAAUUGGUUUAGAAAUUAAUUAAAAGACUAUAUUCAUUCUAACAUAAAACGAGUUUUUAACAAGAGGAGGAGGUUCCUUUUAUAAUUUACUAAUUUAUACAACCUUUAAUAUUAAAACAAUAUUUUAUAUAUUAAGGACGAUGAUUCUUGCUCACUUAGUAAGAUAUGUAGACAUAACAUAGAUGUGGUGAUCAAUUGCAGGUUUCUAGUUUGGUUGCUUAGUUUGAGGAAAGAAUAUAUGCUAUGGUGUUUGGCUGGUCUGCUUUUUCUUUUCAAUUAAUGUAAUAUUCUUAUGCUUUGGAAUUGAUUAUCAUAACUAAAGGAAAGAAUAUAUACUAUGGAAUAUAUGCUAUGGUCUUUGGCUGGUCUACUUUUUUCUUUUCAAUUAAUGUAUUAUUCAUAUGCUAUGGAAUAUGAAUAUUACAUUAAGGGAAAGAAUAUUUUUACACAGCACACUAUAAUACUCUAAUUACCAAUUUUUUAUCUUGUAAUACAAGGUCAUAGCGAUUAAUUUAUCCGUCUUCAGCCAAAAAAAAAGUCCCAUUUCAGCACAUAUACAAGAGCCCUCAUUUUUCUUUGCUUCAGCCAUUUUAUAGCAGAAUCAUCACAGACACUUUGAGCUCUGCCGAAUCAUCAUAGACAAUUUGUGAUUGGUGGGAGCAUUACAAGAAAGGUACGACUACUUCGAACCGAUAGAUUUGUUUAUAUGAUUUAGCUAUCGUUUUAACUUUUAACAAUAAACAAGUGACAAUCAUGUACAUCAUUGGUUACAUAAAUAUUAAAAUGAGAUAAAUUUAUUCCUCUACUUGCCAGAUCCAUACAUAUUAAAAUGAGAUAAAUUUUAAGGUUUAAAAAUUUGCAAUUCAUCAAAAAUCUAGUGCGAUAUUAAGCGGUAAAAUCACUUAGGGUUAGUACAAGAGGUUUAUGAUUCCCUGACUCAUUUAUAUAGGUGGAGACUCAUUUAUAUAGGUGGAGAGGGAAUUAGGCAAUAAAGAAUUGAUACAAAUUAAUAAUUAUAUUAUAAAAAGAAAUAAAUUUCAAGAGGGAUCAUAAGUUCAUAGAAGAUUGUAUGUCAGUUAUUUGUAGUGGAAUGGAGUUUUUUUUGGAGAGGCUAUUUGGCUUGGAAUAUAUAUUAGAAUGAGAUUAUUUGAACCUACCGCAAUACUCUCUAAAAUCCACUUUUCAAAAAAAAAUUUCAGUACAAAAUUUUCCUUAAUUAAAUUACUAUUUUAGCCAAAUAUUAUGUUGAUUUAUCUCCCUAAAGUUUUUAUUUUUUUUUCACUCUUUUUUCUCUUUUCCUCUCUGUUUCCCCAAUUUUUUUUUUCCAGUCCUAUGUGGUUCUUAUAUUUUAAGGCUUCUAUUGGAGUAAGAUCUAUAUUCAAAUUGCUUAUCCAAAAAAAAAAAAUCUUUUAAAAUUUGCCUUUCCUUUACCCUCAAGUCACUAUUAGAUGUAUGUGCUCCUCAAGAAACUUUAGUAAUUGGAUUUCUAUUAAAUAUUUUAAUUUCAAAAAAUGAGAAGGUCACUAUACAAAUAUCAAAAGAUCACCAACUUAAUUAUACUAGUUAUAAUUAAGGGAAAUAAAAGACUUACUAUUUCUAUUUGAAGUUAUUAUGAUGAACAAAGAAGAGGGAGGGGGGGGGGGGGGGGGGGGGGAACAAGUCGCUGCAAUUGCAUCAAUUGAUGACAUGUUAAGAAACGUAUCAUUGAGAUAAGAUUUAAUUGAUAAAAAUAAGAUUUACUAGAAAGUAGUGAGAGAAACAACUAACAAAAAUUCAUGAUACUUAUUGAGGGUAUAUUGAGAAUAUUUGUGGCUUUUUUGAGUAAAAAAAUAAAGUUUUAAUUUGUGAUAAUGUGUUUAUUACGUAAAUGAGUUUAUUUAAUAUUCCAGUGGAUUUAAGUAGCCUUACCUUUCAUAUUAUAAUAAAUUUUUACAUUACUCUAUAUUACCCCUACUAUAGAGGACAAUGUAAUGAAAAUAUUGUUACUCUUAUACCUAUUAAAGAAACAAUAUUAUCUUGUACGUACAAGAACGUUCUAGUGCCCAAGUAAAAGUUUUAGUAAAACGUAUAAGAACUCUAAGUGUAAAGAGAAUUUCGUCAAGGUACUAUAGUAGUAUCGAAUGCUCUUUGCUAGUGUAAACUAUUUGUGCCACGUGUAGUAUUUCAAUCUUCACAAGUGGCAUUGCAUAUAGUGGCUCUUAUUUCAGUUCCUCAAAGGCACUCUAGAGGUACGUUAGCUUAUAAGCUAGUAUUUGGUCAUCAUGUGCUUCUUUUAAUGAAACACGUGGUUCAUUUUGUCCUCAUACGAGAGCAUUUUGUGUGGAAUAACCUUGUAAAAUGCUCAUUUAUCAAGGGCACAUGUUGUGUUGUUGGAACAUAGUAAAAAUAUGAUACGCUAACCCAUGUGCAUUUAUGAAAAAUCAAAUGAAAACAAAGAACUAAAAAAAAUGCAAAGGCUAAUUCAUAAUGUUUGAGUUUGAGAUGAUUAAUAUUUAAUUUUAUGGUUGCAAAGAUAAGAAUAAAAGUAGGUCUAGUGAGAAAUACCCUCAUAUUAUAAUACUAUUUAAAAUAAAUUUUGUUAUAAAAGAUUUUAUUUAAUAAGGUAUGGAGACUGUUCAAAAUAUAUUUUACGUACAAACUCAUAUGUUUGACGUGAUAGUAUGUCCCAUGCUAGGACUAGCAAUGGUCAAAUCAACCUAUUUCGAUAAGAUCCAUCAAAAUUAAUAUUUAAAAAAUUUAUCAUCUCAUUAUACAAUACACAGCUUUGCCAUCUAGUAGAGAAUGAUUGGUUGGCACACCAUAGUUUACACGAAUAUUUCUAAUAUUUGAAUCGUCUGUUAGAAAAUUUUAAUCCUAGCAAGAUCUUGUAAGUAAAAAUAUCAAAUAAAUAGUAAAUAGAAAAUAUACAGAGAAUAAAACCAAUCAUACAACACAAUAAUUUACGUGAAAAAUUCUUAUAUUGAAGAAAAACCGCAGUCGCCAAAGAUGACAAAAGAAAAAUCUACUAUUUAAAGAUCAUUACAAUUACUUUAAUAUUUUCCUCACAUAAAAAACCCCAAUAACAAAUAAUCUCUCAUUUCAGAAACUGUCUACUUGUAUAGAGCUGAUUGUUGUGUUAUUUAAAUAAGUGAAUCUAACCUUUCGUAUAUAUUGUGAUUAUUUUAUAUUGGAGAAAUAUUUAUUUCCUUAUAUAAUUUGUAUUUCUCCUUUAAUAAGUUCUUUGGCAUUACUUAUUCCUUAAACAUGAACCCCCCCCCCCCCCCCGGAACAAGAAAAUUACUAAAUAAAAAAAUUCUAGGAAAUAUCCUAAUUUAGGAUUUACAAAUCUUCAUUGAAAAAGGAGAUAUGUUUCUUAAAAAUCUCCACUUUGGUGAGUUUUUCAAUUAAGUGACAAAAUAUAAUCCGCCAUACAUCUAUGCAACCAUGUCGUCUCCCCCUUAUUUAGUCUACCAAAACCACACUAACAUAAGACUAAUGAGAAUCACUCCACCAUGGGUAAAAUCUUGUCCUCUAUCCAGCAGCCAUAAUUUUCUACAUCGAGAAUCAUCAUACUCCACAUUAUCCAGAGUACACAUGUUUUGUAACACUCCAAAAAUUACCCACGAAAACACAAGGAUAAAAUUGGAAUGAAACUUUACAUCAUUUAUUCUUAUUAAUAAAUCUCAAGAUAGACAAUUAUUCAUACUCCAACUGAAUCCGUACAUAAAACAUCUGAAAUAAAGUCUAUAAAGAAAAGUCUCUAGUCCAAAAUAAAAAGUCUAGCCAAAUUCACUCUUGAAAGCAACUCCAAAGAUCCACUAAGAAAAAUUCUCCAUUUAAGCACCCAAGCCACAUUUCUAAUCAAUCUGCAAAAUAUUGGAGACGAGGGGUGAGCCGUCAACUCGGUAAGCAAAUCUAUGCACAAUAUUUGAAAACCUUGUAAGUUUACCUUUAAAUAUUUUAUAACAACAUCUUUAUUUAGCAUAAGGGGUGGAUUCAUAUAAAAGCAUUAAAAACAUUAAAACAUUCAUAAAAACGUUAAAACAUAAACAUUAGUAGCUCAUGCCUCGUAGUCAUCAUUAUUCAUCAUUCAUCAUUUAGGGUGUUAUACCCCGCAUUUUUCCUCAUUUAGGGUACUAUACCCCACGUUGUUCAUAAUAUCCUUGUGCACCAGAUCAUCAUCAUACCAGCAAGUUGGCCUUAGCAUUUCAUAACAUCAUAACAUUAACAUCAUAUAUAUUACUACAGACUAUGAGCCAAAACAUUUUUGAAUCCACCUUACAUCUUUUCAUAAAUAGCAUUUAAAGUCUUCUAAAACAUUUAAUUCUUUUAAAAAAUUCUUUAAGAAAACAUUUAAUUUUAAAAAAACUAAUUUCUUAAGAAAAAAUCAUUUUAAAAUACAUUUAUAUAAAUUCAUUUAGAAGCGUUUUUAUUUUACAAAAUUCAUUUAAAUAUUUUAGAAAUCAGUUUUGUAAAAAUCUCUAUUUAAACAUAAUUCGUAUUUAUUAUAAAGGACAUCAUGCAUGAAUCUACUUAUCUUGAUCCAUAUCAAUCAAUUCAAUACCUUAAGAAUAACCAACGAGCUCACCCAUGUCCUAUAAUUAUCAUAAAAAUAUUCUUAUCAAUAUCAUCUCUAACCUUAAACAUAAUCCCAGUCAUCCUUAAAUCAUAGGCACUUAUACUAGCUUAAUACUUAUACAUAUUCUAAACAUAUCCUAUACUUAUGAGUAUCAUGUACAUGCUGAUUUUUAAUAACCUAUACACAUGUCGGAAAACCAUGAAAAUUUACAGAGGCACUGUGAACAUGCAUAGCAUUGCAUACAAUAUUUCACAAAAAUCAGCACAAGUCAAAAUCGAGUCAGAAUAUUGACCUUUCACCAAAGUAACAAAAUUGUCCAGCACUGAUCAAAACAGACAUUUUCCACUUAUAAAAUUCAUAAAAUUUUCUUUAGUACUCGAAAUAAUAUGUUUCUUUUUUUGAAUCACAGAAGAAACAUUCAGAAAGCACUAAUUAAAUUUCAUAAUUUUUGGACUCCUGAAACUAUUUUAAAACGUUUUAUUUCCAAGAACAUCUAACCCGUCCAGAAAAUCUCAGAGUUGAAAACAGAAUUUCAAACAUUCGUAUCUUUUAUUUUACAUGCCCAAAAAUCACGAUUCCAUUUUUUAAAGAUAGAGGAAAGAUUGAAAUUUCAUUAUAAAAUCCUAACAUGACAUGUAAUAUUCAUAAACUAGCCCAACUGUUAUACGUUUCAGCUUCUGCAAUUCUGGAAAACAGUUUUCAGAUUUGCAGCAGCCACAUGUUACGGUUUUUAAUAAUUCAACCAUAAAGAAUAAAACUACGAAAUUACACAUGCAAGCAUAGGAGACAUAGAUCUGUUGAUACAAAAAUCGCCAUAAUUUUUAAGGAUGUGUAACCUUAUAGAAAAAUUUCCAGAAUUGAGAACCGCUGCUGAAAAUCGGAAUUUUCCAGCACCAGUAACCCAACUUCGAAAACCCAUAACAAUUUGCAUAAUCAGACGAUUUCAACACAAAACCUAUCAAUGGAAAGCUUAGGAUGUCUAGUUCCAUGAUAUGUAAGCAUAUUCAUGUGAUUCUAAAUAAAGAAAACGCUUUCAAGCAAGGAAUAGAGGCUGUUCAUAUCAUCACAACAUUACAAACACGCAUAUAUUACCCAAAUCAUACUACAAGUAAUUAAAGGCAAACAAUUCAAAAAAAUAAAUCAUAUAAGUCUAAGAAAUAUUUAGUACCUUAAGGAAAACACUAAGGUGGCGUUUGUUUUUUAACUUAAUGACUUAAAGUGACUUAACUUAAUUAAUUAAGUUAAUUAAAGGUGUUUGUUUUUAUAACUUAAUGAGACUUUUUAGAUAAUUUUGACUUAAUAAAAUAAGCCAAUUUUUUUAGCUUUUUACUUAAUGGAGAAAUCUGAAUUAAGUCAAUUACUUACUAAUGUCAAAAAUAUCCUUGCUUUAUAAUUUAUUUUUCAUGUUUAUCCCAAACUCAUCCAUAGACAUUUACCCUACAUAAAAAUAUCCAUGUUUUUCUUUCUUAUAUUAUAUACGAUAAAAUUUAAAAUUUAUGGUAUUUUAUCUAUUAAAAUUCUAAAAUAAUUAUGUAUUUACUUGAAUUUAGUUUUACUUAUAAAUGUUAAAAUAUUGUGGCAUUUAAUAUAUUAUUUAUUUGACAUUCAAAUUUAAUAAGGAUACAAAUGUAAAAGUACAUAUUUUUAACUUUUUAAGUUGAAAAAAACAAACAACUUAAUACUUAUUUUCUGAGAUUCAGACGAAAAAAUAAACAUAUUAUUCAGAUUCAGACAUUCAGAUCUAUUCAGAAUUCAGACUAAUUCAGGUAUAUUCAGAUUUUAGAUAAAAAAACAAAUGCCACCUAAAAAAAGAAAGUUAUAAAACUUUCUUUUCCUUCUCCAAAGACUUAUGUUUCUUUUUUUUUUUUCUUUCUAGAGUUUGUAACGGUGUAGAAAAUAAAAGACGACUUCCUCUUAAAUACUUGUCAAUUAAUAAAUACUUUUAAAAAAAAAAUUAAUAACUUACAUAAUUUAUUUAAAGCAAUUUGAUAAAUUUUACCCACACACAAACACUCAAUAAUAAUUAUCCUACUCAAUUUUGAUAAGGGUAAAAGUAGAAAAAUAAAUAAAUAAAUAAAAGUGGGCGUUACAUGUUUGGCAUAUGUCGAUGACAUUUCUAAAAUUACCCACUCUCAUGUUUGGCUUUUUUGAGAGUCCUCAUCAAUCAACAUAAAAUUUCAUCUCAUACCUUGCAUAAAUACUAAACUAGGGGUUGUGUGCAUAUCUUGUGGACCAAUUAGCAAUAACACAUCCUCUUCACGAAACACCAAUAGAUGUCAUAAUUACUAUCUCUUUCUGUUGAUUUAGAACUACUUUCCAAAUUUGCUAUAUUCCAACAAUCUCUUUUAAGAUGUUUUGAUUACCUACACUCGUCCAAGGGUUUCUACUAGUGGAAUAGGCCUUACAUUGUUCUUUGCUUUACUUGUACAGACAUAUUGAAUCAUUACGUUAUUGAUUUGAGCUUCCCAUAAGCAAACAUUGAUUAUUCUGUCAAACUUUUUCGUUUCUAUCUUCAUAGGUUUUGAAAACCUCCUUGUUGCCAUAUUUGCUCUACAUUGCAACCUUAGCUCUAUUAUCACCUACUAAGAAAUAAUUAAUCCCACUUAAGAUUCGUAAGAAAAAAUAUCAAAUAAAUAGUAAAUAUAAAAUAGAUAGAAAAUAAAGCCAAUCAAAUAAUACAAAAUUUACAUGAAAACUUCUAUAUUGGAGAAAAACUAUAAUAGCCAAGGAUGAUAAGAGAAAAAAUUAUUAUAAUUACUCUAGUAUUUUUUUAACACCUAAAACACCAAAAGCACCUAAUCUCUUAAUAGAACUAUCUUUUCUCUCGCAGUAAAAACUAUUUACUUACAGACAAUCGAUUGUUAUAUUAUGCAAAUAAGUAAACCUAAUCUCCAUAUAUGUGUGUGUGUGUGUGUGUGUGUGUGUGUGUGUGUGUGUGUCUAUGUAGGUAUGUAUGUAUAUAUGUAUGUAUGUGUAUGUAUGUGUAUAUAUAUAUAUAUAUAUACUCACACAUAUAUAGAUACCUACAUACAUACAUACAUACAUAUAUAUAUGUACAUGUAUGUACAUACAUACAUAAAUACAUACAUACAUACAUACAUACAUACAUACAUACAUAUACACACACACAUACAUGCAUACAUACAUACAUACAUACAUACAUACAUACAUAUAUGAUUUGUAUUCCUCUUUGAAUAAGUUAAGUUCUAAAGAGAAAAUUACUUAUUUGUUAAAUAUGAAUUAUCUUCAAUAAGAAAACUGAAAAGUGUAGAAAAUUCCUAAUUUAGGACUUAAAAAUCUUCUUUGAAAAAAGAGACAUCUCCCAAUAUCCUCAAAUCCUCUUUACAAUGCCACCAAAUCUCUUUUGUGACUAGCCCGGUUGAAACUUUUAAUUAAUGGGCUGUAAUUGCCAAUAUCCAAAAUAUCCAAAUAAAACAAAUUUCCAUAGGUAUAUUGGUAGAUUGAAUGACAACUAACAACACGUGAUUUGAUUAACUUAUUUCCAAAAAAAAAAGAAAAAAAAAAGAUACAAUGGAUGAACAUAAGACUCUUGUGCCAACUCAUGGAAUUCAUCAAUAAGGCCUUGGCUGAUCCACCUCAUGACUAGUAGAGUUCAAACCCCCGCUAAAUAGUAAAAAAACUAUUUGGAUUAUUAAUUACUCUUUCUUAAGUCUAUUUAAACUUAACUUUAAGAAUUAUGAACGUCUACACUUUAAUUAAAACAAUACAAGCCCACCCGUUUGUAUUUAAAAUUUUGUUUGAAUUUAUUCACGAGCAACAAGAAUAGUAUAAAUGGAAAAAAAAACCAUCAAAUAAUAUCCCAUGACUCUGUUUCUUCAAUUUCAGGAGCAAUGGUGGAAUCAUAUUUUCCGAUUGAAAAACUUUUGGAAAAAUUAGUGAGCUCUACUUGUGAAGAACUUUUAUUGUUCUACGGUGUCAAAAAUGACUUAUAAAAAUUAAAGGAGACGUUAACCACUGUCAAAAGUGUGGUUUUGGAUGCUGAGGAAAAGCAAAUCCAUAAUCACCGGUUAAGCGAUUGGCUGGGAAAGCUUAAAGAUGCUUGUUAUGAUGCAGAAGAUGUGUUGGAUGAAUUUGAGGUGGAAAAUCUACGAAGGCAAGUCAUGAAGCAAAGAAGCAUCGGAAGAAAGUUUCGUAACUUUUUUGGAAGCUCAAAUCCGAUAGCUUUUCGUUUUAGAAUGGGCCAUCAAAUCAAGAAAAUUCGAGAGAGAUUUGAUGAGAUUGCAAAAUUGAGGGGUGAGUUUAAUCUCAUUGAACGACUUGACGAUCAUCAGCGAGUUGUGCACAAAGAAAGGGAACCCACUCACUCGUUUGUGCUUUCAUCUGAUAUUAUUGGAAGAGAUAAAGAUAGAGAGAAGAUUAUUGAACUAUUGAUGCAAACAAGUGACGGCGAAAGUGAAACUGUGUCUGUGGUUCCUAUUGUGGGACUUGGAGGUUUGGGCAAGACUGGACUUGCAAAAUUGGUGUACAAUGAUCAAAGGGUAGAAGAGCAUUUUGAGUUGAAAAUCUGGAUAUGUGUUUCUGAGGAUUUUGAUGAGAAACAACUUAUGACAAAGAUUAUCAAGUCGAUAACUGGUCAAAACCAAGGUGACUUGGAUACAGACCAAUUGCAACGAACCUUGCGAGAUCGUUUGAAUAGUAAGAGAUACUUGCUUGUUAUGGAUGAUGUAUGGAACGAAGAUCCUGAAGCAUGGCGUAAAUUAAAAAGCUUAUUGUUGGGAGGUGCUAACGGAAGCAAAAUUUUGGUAACCACACGUAGCAGGAAGGUUGCUUCAAUCAUGGGCACGAGGGGAGGUACUACUGGCUACAACUUACAAGGUCUACCAUUCGAGGAUUGCUUGUCUUUGUUUAUGAAAUGUGCAUUUAAAGAAGAGCGAGAUAAACAUCCAAACCUUGUUAAAAUCGGGGAAGAAAUUGUGAAAAAAUGUGGGGGAAUUCCUCUGGCAGUCAGAACACUAGGAAGUCUACUAUAUGACUCAACGGAUGAACAUGAUUGGGAAUAUGUGAGGGAUAAUGAGAUAUGGAAGUUAGAGCAAAAGGCAAAUGACAUUUUACCUGUUCUGAGGUUCAGUUAUGAUCAACUACCGCCUCGCCUGAAACAAUGUGUUGCUUAUUGUUGUAUCUUUCCAAAGGAUUUUGAAUUUAGUAGUUAUGCUUUGGUUCAAUUUUGGAUGGCUCAUGGUCUUCUCCAAUCGCAUAAUAAGAAUGAAGAGUUAGAAGAUAUUGGUAUGCGGUACGUGAAGGAAUUACUAUCAAGAUCUUUCUUCCAAGAUUUGACUAUUGGGAUGUUAGGAAUGGAGACGUUCUCUUUCAAAAUGCGCGACCUUAUGCAUGAUCUUGCUCAGCAAGUGGCCAAAGAUGAAUUCCUAGUAGUGAACUCUGAUUGUCAAUCUAUUCCCAAAAGUGUCCGUCAUUUGUCAUUUGCUACUGCUAAUGCAUCGAGAAAUGACUUUUCAAGCCUUUUAUCUGAUCUAGGUCGUGUGAGAACCAUUUUCUUUUCACCUGAUGAUGAGAAGACAAGCCAAUCAUUUGUUGAAUCAUGCAUCUCAAAGUCGUAGUUCCUGAGAGUGCUAGAUUUAAAUGGCUCUGCUAUUGAGGUUUGUCCCAGAAAGAUGGGUAAUUUGAAGCACAUGAGGCGUCUUGAUCUGGCGGGAAAUUCUAAAAUCAAGAAACUUCCAAAAUCCAUUUGCGAGCUACAGAGUUUACAAACACUGAAUCUUGAAGGAUGUCUGGAGCUAGAAGAGUUGCCUAAAGACAUAAGGUACCUUGUUAGUCUCAGAGUGUUAGGGCUAACCACAAAACAAAAGUCUUUGCAAGAGAGUGGAAUAAGGAGCUUGAGUUCUCUUCGUUGGUUGUCAAUUUCUAAAUGCAGGAAUUUAGAACAUUUGUUCGAGGAGAUAGAUCAAUUAUUGUCCUUCGAACAUUAUUAAUUGCUAAUUGUCCUCGUCUAAUCUCAUUGCCACCUGCUAUCAAAUAUCUCAGCUCAUUAGAGACUCUGAUGUUGUGGAAGUGUGAAAGCCUUGAUCUUAAUCUGAACGUGGAAAUGGAAGGUGAAGGAAGUCAUCAUGAUUGCAAAGACACAAGGCCUCACCUUUGGAGGGUUUUCGUUGUGGAAAUAACACUGUUAUUAGAACUGCCGCAAUGGCUUCUUCAAUGUUGUACUGAUACUUUACGGAACUUGGUUAUUGGAGAUUGUCCCAACUUCAUGGCACUGCCAGGGUCUCUAAAAGAUCUCAAAGCUCUUGAAACUCUUACCAUUCUAGGAUGUCCAAAAUUGUCAUCGUUGCCGGAGGAUAUGCAUGACGUCACAACUCUGAAAUCAUUGACCAUUGCAGGAUGUCCUGCACUGAGUGAAAGAUGCAAACCGCCAACAGGUGAAGAUUGGCCCAAGAUUGCACAUAUCCCUCAGGUUCAUCUUGAUGGCGAGAUGAUUGAAUCAAGUGAUAAUUAGGUAUGGAUUUUUUUUUUUCAAUAAGCGUACCACUCUGUUAUAUUUCCUCUUUUCAUGCAGCUUUCUAAUUUUUAAUUUCUCAUACAGCUAUACCGUUUAUAGUUUAAUGUUUUGUUAUGUUUACCAAACGAAAACUUGACUUUGAACGUUAGUUAGUUCAAUCAAAUUUGUACUAAUUUAUUUUCUUCUAAUACAUAAUUAUUUUGUCGGUACGAAAAACAAAAAUAAUAUUUUGGAAACCGCACUGUUCUCGGGGUCAGAUCUGUUUCUAAAUUCAAACAGUUCAGGAUUUUUCAAAAUGGAACUUAUAAUGAGAUUUUUUUUUUAAUUAUCUAGUUAUCUUCAUAUGGAAUUUCAAUCUUUGUUAAUACUUUAACUUGCCCCGAAACAUCUGACUAUUCUUCCUCUUGUCCUUUUUUUUUCCCAAAUAUUGCAGCUUUCUUGGGAGAGGUUCAACCAAACUGCAGGGACAGUGAAAAUAUUACUCUAAGUUACAAGUAUUAUAUAUUCGUUACGUGUGGUUAUGUAAUUUGCUGAUAAAUAAGUACAUUGAGUGAGGUAUAUGUGUGUGCCUGUGUGGUCAUUACUGAAUUUCUCAGUAAUAUAAUUUGCAUUGACUGCAGAUUUGUGAAGAACAUUGAUUCCAAACAUGUGGUGUCUGUAUUUUGUGCUUUGUGAUUGACGACUUACAUUUGCCCAGGAAGAAAUGAAAACAAAUCGGCUUCUUGAAAUUAACCAUUUAUUCUUUCGAAUGGUAACCUUUUUGUGACAUGAUUCGCAUAUUAAUCAAACGUAGUUGGCAAACUAAUUAGAUAUUGCAUCGUGAUUCGUGGCCUUGAAGUGAAAUGAGUGUUGGUGCUAAUUAGCAAUGUAACUUGUUUUGAUUAAAAUUCAAUGACUUUCUUCGUAUUAAUCAAAUUAAUUAAUAAAUUAUUUUGGUAAAAAGAAUUUGCCAAUUUUGUGGCGGUCUUGAGACCCUUGACGGUGGUGAAAUUGAUUCACGGUUUCAAAUGAAGACAUGCAGCGGAUGCGUGCGUGCCGUAUGACAUCGAUGAAAAAGUAAAGAGUUUGAUUUCUCUAUUUUACCCUUAAUUAAUCGUUGACGUCUAAUUUUACACUCCCAACAAAUUUGAAUGAAACAAUCCUAAUGUUCACUUUCUUCUUCCAUUUCAUUUUACGACUUAACAAAAUCUCGCAACGGAGAUGCUCCUGAUGAGGAGAAGGAGAAGAAGACACAGCGAGUUCGCAAGAACGUGUACAGAGGAAUAAGGCAGAGGCCAUGGGAGAAAUGGGCAGCUGAAAUUAGAGACCCUUACAAGGGCGUCCGCGUUUGGCUCGGCACAGCCGAAAAAGCUGCAAGAGUUUAUGCUGACGUCGCCAAGAAUAUCCGUGGCUCGACUUUGCUCACCGGCCGCCAGUAACUCCACCUCCAGGUAAGAAACGCUUCGUGCUAUCCCGUGAGUUGACUCACCCGAAUUUCGGAGAUUACUUUUUUAUUGGUUUUCAUUGAUUUCUUUUCCUGCUCUUAUCUACGAGGUUGUGCUUUCCCUUGGAUGCCCUUUAAUAAACAGCUUUCUUAAUAACAACUGAAGCGAAAAGUCAUUUUAUCAAAUGAUUUGGUGAAAUUUCAAGUACUUUCAUCUUGGUUUAUGCAGUUAAUAGGAAAUAGUUUGGUGUUGGGAUGUGUUAUAUGUAUCAAGUUCUUAUUGCUGGUUUGUUUCUCAUAAUCGUUAUCCAGUCAAAGCAAACGUUCGCCUCUCACAUUGACGGUUAGGCUAGAUGUUUGACCCUGAAUAAGAUGAUUGAGUUUAUUAUAGUCUUCUUAUAUUGUCGGUUCAAUAUCAUUUUGAAAUAUCACAUCAAUUCCGCGUUUGGAGUUUUAAUCCAUGCCCAGUUACACCUUUAUUUUACUUUUAAGCUGCAACAUUGAGUCACAUUCUUUUUCUGUUAUUAUUACGAUUAGCGACUGGUACAGUGGUAUUUGAACUGCAUAGCGUGUCAACUUUCACUCUAAAUGUCUUAGAAACUCUGUCUAUCACUAAUUUCCUAGAACAGGCCUCGUUGACAGUCAAAGAUUUGAGGCGUAUUUCUGGACUGAAGGCUUUUCUCUAGUCAAUUUGAUGAUAAGCGCAUUUAUUAUCUCCAGCAUUAAGCAGUAAUUUGUAACUAGUAGUAGCCAGUACCUAAGAUGUUGCAUUUGACUGUCUUCUCUUUCUGGUUCAGUUUCGACCUUUGGAGCUGUUUUAGACAUGGUAACGGAUAGGUAAUUUCUCUCUACCCCACCCCACAAUGUAUCAUCAGUCAUCAUUCGUUGUGGUUGGUGGAGAUACACAUACUAAUUUGGAUUAUUGUCCGUGCCUUCGUCUUUUGUCAAUAAUCUUUUGCAUUUCAGGAUUAGUACAGCUUGUCUACUGGUAAUACUCUCUCAAGUAUACAGGGAAGACUUUGUUACGUUUUCUUGACCCGUAAUCUAAUGUUUUAAGAUGAAGGCAUAAUUGAGCUAUCUUGCAUCUCCAUGCAGGCCUGGUUUGGUUUUUGUGUCACUACCUGUAUUAGAUAUUGGUAGUCAAUGGCUGCAGAUGUACAGGUACCUUUUCGUUUCCCUGACAUAAUCUCAUGUUACAUGAAAUUGCUCGUGGAACUGGGAGAUUUUUUAUUUUUUAUUUUUUCAUAUUUACUAAAGAAAAGUGUUACUUUCGUUGGGAAAAAUGCCUACCACUCUUUAUCUCUGUUGCAGUACAUUCUUAACAGGAAAAACUCGACAUAAAGAUGCAAAAGACAGCACAAAUUGGCUUUUCAAAGCCUAUUAUGGGAACCGGAUGUUUAUGGGUUAUUGUUGUGUGGCGUGUGAGGUAAUUGUAGCUUUCCGUGUUAUUAUACAUAUCAGGAUUUGCAAAUGUUAUCGGUACUUUUUACCUGAUCCAACUGUUUCAACCCUGCAGCUUCUUUACCUAAUCCUAUUUCUUAUUGCGUAGAAGCAGAGGGAAAGCUUGGUGGAUGUAGGCUCUCAUUUUCUUACUAUUAGAUUGUUCUGAAAAUAGAAAUAUUUCCCCUGUUUCUUGAUUUUCAAACAAUUUCUUCUUUCAGGUUGUGGCGAGUGCUGUGCAACAGGGUUCGCCUCUUUCCUUCCUAGUUGCAUUGAGUUUAUUCGCAUGGGCGCAAUCAAGCAAACGAUUAAUGUCGGACAGGUAACUUCAACCCCAUAUGAUGGUAAUGUUCGUUUAAAUAAAUUUCUUGAUGUCUACAAAUUAAGGAAACCUUUGUAUGGGUAAAGUUGACAUUUUACACUGGCAUUAUGGGUCUUGAAAUCGGUCUGUUUUAGAUUCACAUGCUGUGAUAUGCUCUAAUGUUAAAACUCAAACCUCUUCUGCAUGUUAAAUGGAUUGUCGUGGAUAUGCCUGGGAUGAUCAUUUUCUUCGUUUUCACUCAUCGUCUUUGUCAUUGUAGUUAUAAUUGAUUGUGGAGAGUGAAAACGCACUGUGAUGAAUGAAUGCAAAAGCUAUGUAAUUAAGACUACAUUUAUUAGGUUGGUGACCACAAAUAAUCGGAAGGAUAUUCACAAUAGUGUUAUUGAAGCUCUAUAUGGAAUAAGGAGACCAAACCUGUAUGUGAUAAGAGUUGUAUGAAUACCAAAUGAAUUGUCAGAGGAUAUGGUUACUUUAGAUUGCAAUUUAAGAAUGCUUGAGUUCUAAAAGCACAGAAAUGGGAUCAGUUAGGGUAAACUCCUUCGUCAGUUAGUGAACUGUCCAUCAAAAGUAAAUAUUUAUGUGAUUGAGAGAAAUUUUGGAUUUUUGAUGAAAACAAAAAUCCUGUAUGCAUUUGCUUGCCCCCAAGGAGCUGAAGAUUCUCAAAUUGUUUGUAGACGUAAUAGUUCUUCUGAUAUCAUUUGGCUUGCUAAUCUUUCUUGCUCGAAAAUUUACCCGUUGUGUGGUCUUGAUGGUGGAUGAAAUUGAUGUGUGGUUUCAGAUGAAGACGGCAGCAGAUAUGUGUGUGCCAUAUGACAUCGAGAAAAAGCAAAAGCCUUAAAGAGUUCAUCAACAUUUUCCAUUCAGAAGAAUAUGUUUUGUGGUUUUCAAUAUAAUUGAAGAAAUGAUGUUUGUACUGAUGCAGAUGCAGGAACUUUACACAUCUUAAGUUUACGAGAUAUAUAUAUAUUUUUUUGACUCUGUUAGAUAGCUGUCAGUUAGUUAACCAAUUUAUGUUACUCUUCCUUGGCUAGCCAAUUAAGAACUUAUGUUUGCUGGAUUGUAAAGCCUACAUCUGGAAGCCACAGGUGAUUUUAUUUGAAGGCAAUUUGUACUAGGCUAUAUGCGGAUUUCUAUCUUGAUUUCUGUAUGCUUGAAGGAGAUUUUUUUAUGCGUGAGAGCUUGAAAAUUAUACAUGUACAUGUUGAAACUAUUGGAUAUAUGUUAAGAAUCAAGCAUAAUUGUGUCAAGAUGAAACCAUAAUUUGGGUGCUGUUUUAUGAGUAAACUAUCUGCAAUUUGGGUGCAGUAAACCUAGGUUGAAUACCAGGACAUGGUAUAAAAGUGAAAUCACACAUUGAAUCUCGCAUAAAGAUUUUAAAGAUGCAAAUUCGAAUUGUACAUGAGAUGUUAUCUUGAUCGAAUUGCAGCGGCUUUGUUUUGGAUCCAGAAAACAAAAUUGAAGGCAUAGAGAAGUCUCUAUGGGAUGCUUAUAUUAAGGUGCAUAAUGGCCUCAUUGAGUUUUGUGCUGUUGUUCUACGUUGUUUGAGUUUUGUGCUGCGGUUCUGUGUUGCUGCUUUUGCUACCGAUUUUGGCUAUUUUCUGCCACUCUGUUAUUUGCUAUUUUUUACUACUUUCGCUGCUGAUUUUUACUGUUUUCGCUGCUUUAGCUGUUGUUUUAUCUGCUGUUUUUUUUUACUGCUUUUAUUUUUUAUUUUUUCUGUUCUCUAUCGUGUUUUACCCACUGGUUGUCGCAUGUUUAUUAAUAUUGUUUGCUGCUGUUUGAUUUGCUGUUUUUUGCUGCUAAUUUUUUUUCCUGUUUUCUGCGGUUAUUUGCUGCCGUUACUGUUUUACUCGCCAGUUGAUGAUGUUUUGUGGUUCUCCUCCUCGAAUGCCUACUUUUUCCAGUGUGCAAGCAUAUCUGUUGAGAGUGGCUGAUGAAAUCACUAAACUGUUACAGUUGAUCUCAUGCUUCUCUAGAGAAGGAAUUAGACUUAUUUUGGUGAAGGGGUUUUUUCUGGUUUUUAUAUCAGUGUGUGCAUUUCUUCAAUCACGUAGCUUUGUGGCAUUACGAUCGAUAAUGGCUGUUAAGCGAAUAAAAGCACCAGGUCGGCCAUACUAUUAUUGCCACCCCGGCAUGGAUCACCUCAGCCCUGUGGUACGAGCAGAGCACAGGGGCACACAUCGACCAGAUGUUCAUAUCAAACCGAUAUACAUUCCCCAGAAAAGCGGGAACACGAUCCCACAGAAUCACUGCAGUUGCGCUUUGCCCAGAACCGUUGAAGGACACGGGAGAUCCCACGUUUGCCACAAUGCAACAAUCAGAGCCCCAUGAGGGGCGGCCACCACCCGAAAAAAGGGGGAUAGAGGGUAAGCGGAAAACGUGGGACAAACAGCGGCUAUAAAAGAAGAGGAAAUCGAUGAAGAAAAGGACACAGAAAAAUUGAGAGGGGAAAACGCUGCCAAAUUGCAACCAGGCCAUUUUCUUACAAAUUUCGAACAAACUUCUUGAAUCCAAAUUACAUUGUUUUCCCGUAAACACCUUGUACUAACUUAGGCAUCGGAGGGUUUACGCCGGCAAAACCACCGGCGUCUCUGAUCCGUUUUUGCUGAACGCAGGUCUAGUGAGAGAAAGGAGGGUGAUUCCAGCCUUAGCGGUUCGUGCAACAGUCGAUAUCUUAAACGUUGGUGGAAGAAUCUGGUCAGUCCAAGGACGAGCAGAUUUCGGCAUCAACAUUUUGGCGCCGUCUGUGGGGAGCUGGAUAAAAAGCUACCACCGAAUCAGUAGUUACCGGAGAAACAGCGAACGAUUAGAUAUGGAUGUGCCGAGAAAGGAUGCUUUGAGGGAGGAUAACGAAACUGUGGAGACAAUCACUCUCCGGGAAAUUGCAAAUGAAGCUUGGGAGAGGAUGAUGCAAGACCGAUUGGAGCGGAUGGAGAAACAAAUGGAGACUCUCGCGACCAUAGUGUAUGAGCUGAGGGAUGAGCGGAGAAAGGAUUGUGAAACCCCCGUGGGGAGAGAUGAUGUUGGAGCAGAACCCAGCUUCCGAAGGCGUAGAGUUGAGGAAAUCCCUCCGCCGGUAGACCAACUUAAUGGGGUGCAUCCCCACAGAAGCACUAGUCGGGCUUCAGGAGAACGAGUAGAUGAAGGGAGGGACCAACCUUGCCCCGGACGGGUACCGGAGAUUGAUGGCCGAGGGGCCAGUAUUGAUGAAGGAGAGCUCAGACAGCGGUUGCAAAAUGCCGAGCAGGAACGAGUUCAGAUAGCUGCGCGUGAUCCUGACCGUGCCGUAGAAUUGGAGGAAGAAGUGCGCAGAUUAGCGCAAGUGAUAGAGGAGAUACAGGGCAAGAGAAAGUCCCCGAGCUGGAGGAUAAUGCUAGAUGAAGAAUCUCCACUAUCAGCUGUGAUCAUGGGUACCAUAAUCCCAAGAGAUUUCCGCUUUCCCGACCUCAAAUACUCCGGGCGAAGUGAUCCAUUGGUGCAUAUUGAACGUUUCAACGACGUGACGGGUGUUCAAGGGUUAACACCAGCCCAGAGAUGUAGGGUGUUACCAUUGACACUGGAAGGACGAGCCGGAGAAUGGUACCGCAAGCUGUCACGAGGAAGUAUCAGAGGGUACGAGCAGAUGUGCCAAGAGUUGGCCGAACAGUUCCGAGGAGCAGUGGCCUCAGAGGAUGAUAUGAUGGAGCUAAUGGGAAUGAAGCAGGAGGAACAAGAAUCCCUUCGGGAUUUUGUAAAACGAUACCACCGAGCCGUGCUUGAUUUGGGGGCCUUCAAUCACCCGCAGGCGUUGAGGGGAUUAAAGGAGGGAGUGAGGAUAGGCCGGCUAUGGUAUAACCUGAGAAGUCCCUUGGUACAAAAUUACUCAGCGGGGUAUGAGCAGGCAAAGAGAGACAUUGAAAUCGAAGAGAAAAAGUCGGCGAGGAUAAAAAGUGAACAACUGGAGGAGCUGAGAAGAAAGGAAAGGAGAAUCCCGAGUGGGAGCGGAUCGGGAAAGCGAGCUGGGGAGUCCUCAGCUAUGGGCGGAAUAUCAGCUUGGUCCCGCCCUUACCACGUAGCUCCGAGACCACAACAGUUCCAACACAGCCGAGCCCAACCUCCGCGCACUUCAUUCCCGGAGCGGCAACGAGAAUUCAGGCAGAUGGCUGCCCGCCCUUAUUACAACGCUCCCAGAGCAUUACAUGCAAGUGGUUCCAGGGCAGGAAGACCAGACCAGCUAGCGACUAUACCAACCCGAGAUGACAUUCAGGAUAGCCGAGCAGUUCAACUGGUAGACCAGAGCUUGGCAUAUAGACAGUACACUCCAUUGAAGAUCUCAAUGGAGGAAUUGUAUGAGAGGAUCGAAGGACGAGGCCUGCUGUACCCGCCAGCCCCUAUAACAAAACUGGCUCACCGACGGGAUAAGAACAGAUUCUGCAAGUUUUACGACACUCAUGGUCACACAAUCGACCAAUGUCGUGACCUGAAGAUUCAGGUGGAGGACUUAGUACGGAACCGGUACUUGGAUGAGUAUGUAGAGGGGGUGUCCCCGAUCAUCGAAUCAAAGUAUAUACGGGAUGAAGAAGUUCAGAGGGGUUUGGAACGUGAACAGCCGACCAUCCAUGUGAUAGCUGGGGGGCCAACAUUGGCUGGGGAUUCGAACAGAGCACGGAAGAACUAUGGGAGAUACGCCAUGACUGGCAAAGAGGUGCUUCUAAAUUUGCCAGCGGCCAAGAAGGCGAAGGUACGGCAAGUUCCCAUUAUGUGGACGGAGGAUGACGAGGAGGGUAUUUUGUAUCCUCAUGAGGAUGCACUGGUGAUUAAAGCAUUGGUGGCUAGCACAGAAUUGCGGCGAAUACUGGUGGACACGGGCAGUUCAGUUGACAUUCUAUUUAAGUCAGCCCUAAAUGAUAUGGGGAUUUUAGAUUUAAAGCUGGAGCGGAUGAAUACAUCCUUAAAAGGAUUUGGAGGGGGACGGUUAACUCCCUUGGGGAUCAUUGAACUCCCGAUUACUGUGGGGACAAAGCCGUUUGAAAGAACGGUGAUGCUGGACUUCGUCGUGGUAGAGGAAAGAAGCCCUUAUCAGAUGAUAUUGGGGAGACCGUUCAUGAGGAUAAGCCAAUGCGUUGUAUCAACGCAUUAUUUGGCGCUAAAGUACAGAGUAAAUAAAGUGGUAGGCGUUGUAAAAGGCGACCAGAGGAUGGCAAGGAGCUGUUAUGCUACAGCAGCCAAGGAGACAUUAUAGGUUACUUCUCUGGAUAAUCGAGGAGAUUCUAAAAAGGGUCGCCAAGAGCCUGUUGAAAAGCUAGAAGAGAUUGUUAUAAGCAGAAGCAACCCGAGUAGAGUGGUUAAGAUCGGAUCAGGACUGGUCGGGACAGUAAAAGACGAGCUGGUAAAGUGCCUACAGUCCCAUGCAGAUAUAUUCGCCUGGUCUCACGGGGACAUGCCAGGAAUUGAUCGCAAGGUAGCUUGCCACAAGUUGACAAUCAAGAAGGGGGCAAGGCCGGUGAGACAGAAGAGGAUAUGCUUUAACCAGGAAAGGUACGAGGCCAUAAACACCGAGGUGGAGAAGCUGUUGAAAGCAUGAUUUAUAAGGGAGGCCAAGUACCCAGAGUGGAUUUCCAAUGUAGUACUGGUGAAGAAGGCCAACGGGAAGUGGAGAAUGUGUGUGGAUUUCACAGAUCUUAAUAAGGCGUGCCCGAAAGACAGUUUUCCUCUACCAAAGAUAGACCAAUUGGUGGAUUCGACAGCGGGUCACAGUCUGCUCAGCUUCAUGGAUGCCUUUUCGGGAUACAACCAGAUACCCAUGGACGAGCAGGAUGAGGAAAACACCACCUUUAUAACUAAUAUGGGUUUGUUUUGCUACAGGGUAAUUCCUUUCGGCCUGAGAAAUGCCGGAGCUACGUAUCAAAGGAUAGCGAACAAGAUCUUCAAGCCCUUGAUUGGACAUACUAUGGAGGUAUAUGUAGACGAUAUGAUCACAAAGUCCAAAGAACCGAGGGAUCACGUGAAACACUUGGAAGAAACCUUUGAAUUGUUGAGGAAGUAUGAAAUGAGGCUAAACCCGGAGAAGUGUGCAUUUGGGGUUAGCUCGGGCAAAUUUUUAUGAUUCCUAGUAAGCCACCGAGGGAUCGAGGCCAACCCGGAAAAAAUACGGGCGGUGAUAGAAAUGAGGUCCCCACGAACAGUUAAGGAGGUGCAGAGCCUUACAGGGAAGUUGGCAGCAUUAAACCGAUUCAUCUCGCGGGCCACAGAUAAAUGUCACCCUCUCUUCCAAACCAUAAAGAAAGGGAAAAAGAUGGAGUGGACAUCAGAAUGCGAGGAAGCGUUUGAGCAGCUGAAGGAAUACCUGACCCGGGCCCCAUUACUAUCGACUCCGAGAGAGGGUGACCAGCUGCUGUUGUACUUAGCAAUCUCUAAAUGGGCUACCAGCUCGGUAUUAGUCAGGGAAGAAGAAGGAAAGCAACACCCGGUAUACUACACGAGCAAGGCCCUGGUAGAUGCAGAAACUAGAUACCCAUUGAUGGAGAAGUGGGCGCUGGCUCUAAUAACGGCAGCACGAAAACUCUGACCAUAUUUUCAGGCCUAUCAGGUUAUUGUGAUGACCGACCAGCCGCUUCGGCAAACACUUCAAAAAUCAGAUGCAUCGGGUCGAUUAGUAAAAUGGUCCGUAGAGCUAAGUGAAUUUGACCUCUCCUAUAGGCCCCGAGGAGCAAUCAAAGUCCAAGCUCUGGCAGAAUUUAUGGUUGACCGAGCUGAUACAGGGGAAGAAAUUCGGGAGGAGCAACUAACAGAGCAGGAGAAGCCAGAGGGGGUGUGGUUGGUAAUGGUUCACGGAUCAUGUAGUGAGCAAGGAUCCGGAGCAAGAGUUGUAAUACGGAGCCCAGAUGGAACCGAAAUAACGUAUGCAGUGAAGUUUGAAUUUCAGCUCACAAACAACCAAGCUGAAUAUGAGGCCUUUAUCACCGGGCUCGGACUUGCACAUGCUCUAAGAGCAGAGAGGGUAGAAAUUCGAGCAGAUUCCCAACUGGUGUGUAAUCAGCUCAAUGAUCAGUUCGAAGCAAGGGGAGAGAAGAUGUGUCUUUAUUUGAAGAAAGCGAAGCAGAUGGUUGGGCUUUUCCAAGCGGUGGAGGUAAAGCAGAUAUCUCGGAAUGAGAAUUACCGAGCAGAUAUGUUGGCUAGGAUGGCUGCCAUUGCAGAUCCAAAAUUACCUAAGUCGGUUCCACUAGAGGUGAGGAUCUCACCAAGUAUAGAGGAAGAAGCAGAGGUUAUGAGAAUAAGUACUGGAGAAUCUUGGAUGGACCUGAUUCGCGCAUAUGUCCGCGAUGGAGUUUUACCAGAGGACAAAAGGCAAGCAAGAAAAUUAAAAUGCCGAGCAGCGAGGUAUACGCUACUGGAUGGAGUGCUGUACUGCCGAGGGUUCACCUUGCCCCUUUUGAGAUGUUUGGAUGAUGAGGAGGCGGAUUAUGUGCUGAGAGAGAUUCAUGAGGGAAUAUGCGGCAAUCACUCGGGAGCAAGAACUUUAGCCUUCAAGGCACUCCGACAAGGAUACUUCUAGCCAACCAUGCACCAGGAUGCGAAAAAGAUGGCAAAGAAUUGUAAAACAUGCCAAAGCUUCUCCGAGGUUCCUGCACAACCCUCGGAAAAGCUGACGGCUAUGACAUCCUCGUGGCCUUUCGCUCAAUGGGGAAUCAACUUGAUUGGUCCGUUGCCUAAGGGACGAAGAGCGGCGACACAUGCAAUUGUGGCAAUAGACUACUUCAUCAAGUGGGUGGAAGUGGGAGUCCUCAGCCAAAUCACAGAGAGAAAGACAAUAGAUUUUAUUUGAAAAAAUAUCAUCUGCAGAUAUGGGAUCCCUUACGCCAUCAUCACAGACAAUGGGAGGCAAUUUGACAACAGCAACUUCAGGAAAUUUUGCCGAAACUUGGGGGUGGACCUGAAGUUCUGUACCCCCGCACACCCCCAGGCAAAUGGACAAGUGGAAGCAGCCAACAAGGUGAUAAAGAAGCUCCUGAAGACUAGAUUGGGAGAGAAUAAGGGAGCUUGGGUUGACGAGCUACCAGGAGUAUUGUGGGCCUAUAGGACAACUCACAAAACCGCCACAGGGGAAACCCCGUUCGCUUUAGCUUUUGGUCAUGAGGCGGUAGUCCCAGCAGAAGUGGGAGUGGGGACACAUCGGACGGAAUAUUUCACUGAGGAGCAAAAUGACGAGCAGAUCUGCUUGAGUCUGGACCUGCUGGAGGAAAAAAGGGAAGGGACAUCGCAGAGAGUGGCCCAGUGUCAACAAAGGGUCAUGCGUUAUUACAACAAGAACGUACGCGUGAGGCAGUUCCGAGCAGGAGAUUGGGUACUUAGGAAGGUGAACCAGAACACCCGGGAUCCUAACCAUGGCGCUCUUGGCCCAAAGUGGGAAGGCCCAUACCGAGUGAUAUGAGCCACUGGACCAGGAGCAUAUAAAUUAGCGUACCAAGACGGACGAGACGUGAAGAGGUCAUGGAACGCCGAACACCUGAAGAAGUAUUUCCAAUAAGCAAAAUGCUCUAUUAAAUCCUCACUCUGGCAAGUUAUUUCUGUUACAAUGCAUGAUGGCCUGUAGCACAUGCAUAUAUUUUGUAUUUUUGUAAUACAUUCAAAUUUCAAUAAAGAUGAAUUCAGAAUGAAAUCCCCUGCUAGCGAGCCCAAUAAGAAAUUUUUUACUAAGGCAAGUAAGUGCCUACUUCUGCUCGGUCAGUGAAAGACUAGCAGCUAAUUUCUUGUAAAAAUUUUACUAAGGCAAGUGAGUGCCUGCUUCUGCUUGGUCAACAGAAGACCAGUAGCUAAUUUACGAGAACUUUACUAAGGCAAGUGAGUGCCUGCUUCUGCUCGGUCAACAGAAGACCAGCAGCUAAUUUAUGAGAACUUUACUAAGGCAAGUGAGUGCCUGCUUCUGCUCGGUCAACAAAAGUCCAGCAGCUAAAGCUUCGAAAAUUCUACUAAGGCAACAAAGUGCCUGUUUCUGCUCGGUCAACGAAAGACCAACAGCUAAAGCUUCGAAAAUUCUACUAAGGCAACAAAGUGCCUACUUCUACUCGGUCAACAGAAGACCAGCAGCUAAUUUACGAGAACUUUACUAAGGCAAGUAAGUGCCUGCUUCUGCUCGGUCAACAAAAGACCAGCAGCUAAUUUACGAGAACUUUACUAAGGCAAGUGAGUGCCUGCUUCUGCUCAGUCAACGAAAGACCAGCAGCUAAAGCUUCGAAAAUUCUACUAAGGCAACAAAGUGCCUGUUUCUGCUCGGUCAACGAAAGACCAGCAGCUAAAGCUUCGAAAAUUCUACUAAGGCAACAAAGUGUCUACUUCUGCUUAGUCAACGAAAAACCAGCAGCUAAAUUUACGAAACCUUGACUAAGGCAAGUAAGUGUCUGCUCCUGCUCGGUCACUGAAGACCAGCAGGCAAUUUUGCAAAAAUUUUACUAAGACAAACGGAUGCCUAUUCCUGUUCGAUGCACUAAAGAACCAACAGGCAAAACCAGACAAGAAAGCCAAUAGAGAGCAUUCAAAAAAUUUUAUAAACGUUCAAAUGUUUACAAAGCAAAUGAAAAACUAGAGUCUUUACAAAAAUAAGACCUAAGGAUUAGGAGGAUCAACGGCCUCAGCAGGUGAAGGGUCAGCUAUCUCGGGAGGUGGAAGGUCAGUAAUAUCGGGAGGUGGAAGGUCAGCAAUAUCGGGAGGAGGAGGCACGGACCUCUGUCCUACUUCAAAAACACGCUGCCCAGCUUCUCCCUCCUGCACCCCAUCCAAAGGAGCCUCCACCUGCUCCUGCUCACCCUGCUCCUUAUCUGCUUGGUCGACCUCUGCCAUAUACCGCUGCACUCCGGCCUCCAGCUUGCUCAUGUCCAGCUCGGGAUAUUCAGUCUUAAGCACAGACAUGAUGCACUUGUAGGAGAAGGCAACCCCAAAAUCAUACUCGGCAUCCAGCCGAUCAUCCACAUCAGCGGAUUUGCCUCUCUCCUCAGUCAGCUGCUCACCCAAGGAUUUGAUUUCCCCCUCAAGGGCGGCCCUCAAAGUAUUCCUUUCAGUUUGAGUAGCUUGAAGAUCAGAUCUCAGGUCACCCAACUCGCCCUCGAGUUUGGAGGAAGUGGAUUCAGCAACCGCAACCUUCUCCUCUAGCUCCGUAAUCUCCUUGUUCAGCUCAGCCAGCUUCUCCUUGGAGCGAUCAACAGAGUCAGCUUUCUUCUUCAAUUCCUGAUUAUCAGCUUGGAGCUUCCUCUCAUGGCGCGCGGACCCAAUCUUAUAGCACGAAACCAUAGUGGCCAACCUGAAGGACACUCUCUGAACAGAAGCAGCUAGCUCGGAGAGGUUCAUACUCUCGAUGUCCUUCACCAUCUUGGGCCCCACCGAUUUCUUGAAAUCCUUCUGAUACGGGCUCAGGUAGUCUGCUUGAUCCCGAGAUGGUAGAGGAGAAGAUCGGUCCCCAGACUGGUGGCUGGCCUCAGGACUCUUGUCAGAAGUUUUCUCCCCGCCACUCUUACGGGGUGGGGGAGGGGGCAGAGCAGGGACAGGAGCCUUGGAAGGGCCGACGCUGGUUUUCUUCGGAGGAGGAGGGGGGUUGCUGGAGCUACUUGGAGCUCGACCACUCUUCCUGCUCAUUGCGCUAAGGAUCGUGUUAUCCAUUCCAACAGCUAGGUCCACUAGGCCCGAACCGACCAGGCUUGUUGGGGACAGGAGGUCUUGGCAGGUAGAAGCGUUAAACAGAGCAGUUUCCACCCAAAGCAAAGGUCGAUCUUCAAGCCCCCCGAUUAAACCCCACGAUUCUGAAAUAGCAAAAGAGGUUAAAGAACUCGAUAAGUGACAAUUUGACUAAGAACAUAGGCAAAAAUGAACGACCUGGGGUGACAAAAUGUGUGGGAAGAUAAAUGUCCCCACCAAGCGACCGAACCGCUGGACACCAAUUCCCUCCAGCAAAGAAGAAUUUGUUCUUCUAAUUUUUACAUGAAGAGGGAAACCCAAUGAUCGGUUUCCUCUUUGCAGAACUGGACAUAAAGUAGUACCAGCCCGCUUCCCUCGGGCUACUCCGCAGCUGGUACAGAUAUUUCACUUCAACAAGGGAAGGCUCCUCCGACCCGCACCUCUCUCACAACACAAACAUUGCCGAGAGAACCCUCCACCCAUUUGGGUGUAGCUGACCUGGGGCUAGGUGCAUAUCGCCCAAUAUCUUGGCAAAAUAACGUUGAAGGGGCAGCCGAGCUCCUAGUCUGAAACUCUCCAAAUGCAUCGUCACAUACCCUUUCGGAGGCCGACUAGGGACAUCACCUUUUCCAGGAACUACAAGAAGAACAUCGUUGGGGAUGUCGUAGAGGUUCCUAAGCUUAAAUAGAUCAGUGGGGGUGGUGGCACAAGCUAUGAAAUCAAUAGGGUAGGAAUCAGCCUCCACCCUAUGGCCAAGAUGCCUUUUUUUAGCAGGUCCGCUCGGUCCGAAACUACUCCCCUCACCAUCACCAGUUCCUUCAGGGAUCCCAACCCCACUAAAGCCGUGGUCCUCACCAGAGCCCGACGCAGGCCCACCUCUAUUCCCUACAAGCUCUAGUUCGGGGGAGGGAGAGACAACCAAGGGUCGUGGGUACUCAAGGGUAUCCUUACCAUGGGAAGGACCUACACUACUGGAGGGGCCUAAGAAAUCUGUGGGUAUUGACACGUUGAGGCCUGAAUCCCCUGAUUCUUCAUCACCCUCGUCAACAAUUAACUUUCUUUUCCGAUUUGACAUAUCAGAAUCCCAAAAGAAAAACAAAGAAAAGAAAGUUUAGGGUUGACAAGGUUUGACUAUCAAUUUCUACUCUUGACUCAUUUCACUCACAAGACCAGAAACUGGGGGACUGGUGUUAAGCGAAUAAAAGCACCAGGUCGGCCAUACUAUUAUUGCCACCCCGGCAUGGAUCACCUCAGCCCUGUGGUACGAGCAGAGCACAGGGGCACACACCAACUAGAUGUUCAUAUCGAACCGAUAUACAUUCCCCAGAAAAGCGGGAACACGAUCCCACAGAAUCACGGCAGUUGUGCUUUGCCCAGAACCGUUGAAGGGCACGGGAGAUCCCACGUUUGCCACAAUGCAACAAUCAGAGCCCCAUGAGGGGCGGCCACCACCCGAAAAAGGGGGGAUAGAGGGUAAGCGGAAAACGUGGGACAAACAGCGGCUAUAAAAGAAGAGGAAAUCGAUGAAGAAAAGGACACUGAAAAAUUGAGAGGGGAAAAUGCUGCCAAAUUACAACCAGACCAUUUUCUUACAAAUUUCGAACAAACUUCUUGAAUCCAAAUUACAUUGUUUUCCCGUAAACACCUUGUACUAACUUAGGCAUUGGAGGGUUUACGCCGGCAAAACCACCGGCGUCUCUUAUCCGUUUUUACUGAACGCAGGUCUAGUGAGAGAAAUGAGGGUGAUUCCAGCCUUAGCGGUUCGUGCAACAGUCGAUAUCUUAAACGUUGGUGAAAGAAUCUGGUCGGUCCAAGGACGAGCAGAUUUCGACAUCAACAAUGGCAACUCCACAAUGAUGAUAAUGAUAAUUUUGUGAUUCAGACACGUUGUUAGGAAUUCUGUAUUGGUUUUUCUCUCGCCUUCGAUGUCUACGAUGAAGCAUAUUAUGGCUUUUAAUCUGCAACUGCUGCAAAAUGGACUCACUAGCUAGCAAAUAAUAAUAUAUAGUGCUGUCAAAUUUAUAAAGAUUAUAUAUACACACACUUUCGUGUUCAAUGCACCGACACUAGAUGUAUAUUGGCAUUUAGAAAAAUUGGCAAUAACUAAUGACUUUCAAGAUUAAUUAAAUGACAAUAUUCAGUCUAUCAUAAAACAAGUUUUCAACAAGUGAAGAGGAGGUACUCUUUAUAAUUGGAUAAUUAAUGCAACCUUCAAUAUUUUCAACCAAAAAAAAAAUGAUAUUUGAUAUGUAUUCAACAUUAGGGAAAAACCUCCCAUAUCGAAGGUUUGCUUAAACGAUCAAAUAAAUCCACUUAGUUUCGUAAAUGGUUGUACAUAUCCUCUUUUUGACUAUUUAUUGGGUUAUGUUUGAGAGUUAGGACUAAGUGUGGGAUUAUACUAACUUUGAGAUUAAAUAUUAUUCUAUAUUUAGCAAUUUUCCUUAGAUUGGAUUAUGAGAGACUAAAUUCUAAGUUAGUUGUUAAAUAAAGGGGAUUGGCAAUACCAAUUUAUAAAUAGAUUUAAAUGGGAUUAGAAUAAGAGGAUAAAAUGUUCAUUUGUAAUAUUUCUUUCAUAUAUAACACCAUCUUUUAUUUAUUACUUCAAAUUUAAUUAAUGAAUUAAUUAUUUUAUUCAUGAUUUACUUGAAAUAUAUUUUUUAUUUUGUUUUUAUAUUCUAAUUAAAUUGGUACUUUAAUUUAAUAAUUUUUUACAUUAAUUGAUUGUACUAAAUUUAAUAAUCACCAAUGUGAUAUUAAAAUAUAAUUAUGAAAAUUAAUAAUACUAGUAAUUAAUUGAUUUUAUAUAUUAUUUGCUAAUUUUUUGAUAAAAUAAAAUAUAUAUCUAAAAUAUCUAAAUAAUCAAAAAGUUUUAUUAAUUUAUAUUUUUUAUUACAAUUAUGACUACCCAUAAGUAAUUUACUGUAUAUUUAAUGUUCUUAUUAAUUAUAUUUAAAUUAAUCUUAAUUAUUAUUCUUAAAUAUUCAUAAAUAGUUUUUUAUUUAAAUAUAAUUUAAUAUUGUCUAAUCCAAUGUUGUACUAAACAUAAGACAGUAGUGUAUAAUCCAACAUAACACUUAGUCCAAUUUAGUCUUGCAUGCCAAAUGUAAUCUUAUACACUUUGAUUACAACAAGCCAAUAAUUGACUUAAAUAAACUUCUAUAAAAUUAUAAGUUAAAAUUAAAAUAGUAUGAUAUAUAAAAUAAGAUAAAAUUUAUAAAUUAUUUUGAAUAUUAGAAAAAUGAUUUUAACAUUAUUAAUUUGUCAUAUUCUUUUACUACUAAUAAAAUUUGUUUGACAAAUUAAUAAUAUUAAAAUAAUUAUACCUAACAUUCACAAUAAUUUAUAAAAUUUAUAUAUUUUGUUAGCAAUUUUUUUAAUUAUGUCUAUAUUAAUAUAAAUCUUAAAGUCAAUUUUUGGAUUAAUAGAUUUUAGUAUAUAUAAUAAUAACUUAAUAUUAAAAAUAAUUUUCAUUACAUACGUUAUUCUAUUAAUUAUCUUAUUGUAAUAUUUUAUUUGUAUCAUAUGAUAUUUAUUAAUUAUUUUUUUAUCUUAUUAGUAUAUUUAUAUUUAUUUGUGUUGUUGUAAUCAAAGGGUAUAGUAACUAAAAAUGUGUUUAUGUGACUAUUUAACCUAAAGGGUCUUUGUGACCAUUUAAGUAAACCUUGGAAAUGUGUGACAAUAGUCAUUCUAAUGACUUUCAAGAUUGAAAGUGAGUCGGAUUAUCAAAUUAUGAAGCAUUAAUACGUAAUGUUUUAUGGUUAUUUUAAGGUUGAAGCUGGUUUAUUCAUUAAACAAGCUUUUAACAAGAGGAGAAAGUUCCCUUUAAAAUUUAAUAAUUAAUACAACCUUCAAUAACAAAAAAGUCAUAUAAUAAGGAUGAUGAUUCUUGUUCACUUGGAUACAUAUAUAUAACCUAUGAUGUGGUAAGCAAGGUAUCAAUUAUGUAUUUCUUGUAUCUGAAAAAAUGAAUAAUCCUUUAACGAAGGUUAUCAUCAAUUGCAGGUUUCUAGUUUGGCUGCUUAGUUUUAGGACUACGAAUUUUACAAUAUCAUAAUUAAAGGAAAGAAUAUAUGCGGUAGUCUUUGCCUGAUCUACUUUCUUCUUCUUAAUUAACCACUUAAAAGGAAAGAAUAUUGUAUACGCAGCGCACUAUAAUACUCUAAUUACCAAUUCUUUAUCUUAUAAUAUAAGUUCAUAGUGAUUAAUUUGCCCUUCUCCAGCAAAAAAACAAAUCCCAUUUCAGCACAUCUACAAGAGCCCUCAUUUCUCUUUGCUCCAGCCAAUUGAUAGCAGAAUCAUCACAGACACCUUGAGCUCCGUCAAUCAUCAUAGACAAUUGGUGACUAGUGGGAGCAUUACAAGGAAGGUACGACGAGUACAAACUGAUAGAUUUGUUUAUAUGAUUCGGCUGUAGUUUUUAUAUAUGGUUAAAUUAUGACAAUAAUCAAGAGAUAAUCAUGUACCUCAUUAGUUUCAUAAAUGUACAUACUAAUUUAUUCCCCUGCUUGCCAGAAUCAAACAUGUAGAAUAAGAUAAAUUUUAAGAUUUAAACUUUUCAAUUCAUUAAAAAUCUAGUGGGAUAUUAAUCGGUAAAACCACUUCGGGGUAGUACAAGAGGUUUGUGGUGCUAACCAAUUUAUGUGAGUGGAGAAAGAAUUAGGCUUUUUUAAUAAAAAUUAAUAAUCAUAAUAAUAAAAGGACAUAAAUUUCAAGAUUUAAAACUUUAGACUUCAUUAGAAGUAAGAGGGGGAUCGUAAAAAAUUUGAAUGUAACUUAUCGAUCGUGGAAUGGAUUUUUUUUUUUUUUUUGUUGCAGCUAUUUACACACCUUUGAACACAUGUUAGGGUGAGGGUAUUUCAAUAUUUUACCCACAUCUCAAUAAAAUAUUUUGAGGUGAUGCUACCACUAAACAACUCAUUAAACUCAUUUACUUAAUACACACACUUCUAAAAUUUAAAAUGCACAAUUUUAUUUUACAAACCCAUUAAUACCUAAAAUACCCUUAUUAAGUUAAAUUAUCACAAUUUCUCUUAUCAUUUUCUUUUCCCAUCAUUUCUCCGUUUCUUCACUCUUUUCUUCUUCAUUUUUGGAGCUUUACCCAUAGCUUUUUUAUUCCAAAUUCUCAAACUUUUUAUUUUAUUUUUUAAUAGCUAUUUUUCCCGUUGAUAUUUCAUGCGUUUAUAUGAUUCAGCUAUAGUUUUAACUUUUAUAUAUGGUCAAGUUAUAACAGUAAUCAAGAGAUAAUCAUGUUCAUCAUAAGUUGCAUAAAUGUACAUACUAAUUUAUUCCUCUACUUGCCAGAACCAUACAUAUAAAAUGAGAUACAUUUUAAGGUUUAAUCUUAGGGUUGGCAAUAAGCUCCGGAUCCAGCCCAGAUCCGCAACAAUCCGGAAGAUCCGGAUCUGGAAAAAUACGGAUCCGCAUGCUAAAAAAUGCGAAUCCAGAUCUUAAAAAUCACAAUCCGUGCGGAUCCGGAUGUAAGUGCAUCCGGAAAACCGAAUAUCUGGAUCCACAAUUUUUUAUAAUUAAAUUAUUUAUUUAAUUAAAUUUCAAUUGAAAAAUAGAUAAAUUAAAUUAUUUAUUUAAAUGUAUAAGCAUAAUUAACUCUCUAGUCUUCAUUAACUUUAAAAAAUAUGUUAAUAAACUAAUAAUAAUUAUAAUAAUUAGAGAAUAUUGUAAUAAAUCGGUUUACCUUACAUUUUUUUUAUGCUUGAUUUAUAUUGUGAAAUUAUUAUUUGUGAAUUUAUGGUGUUGUUGUAUGUUAUUUAUGUUGAAUUGAAGUUAAAUUGUUGAUUCUUAAAUUAUAAUUGAAUUUUAUUUAAUAUUAUUAUGUAAAUUAUUAAAUAAAAUUAUAUUUAAAUUUAUUAUUAUGCAUAUCCGAAUAUCCGGAAUAUCCGUCCGCAAUUUGUGCGGAUGUUAUCCGCAUCCGGAUUCUUAUUUUUUUUUGCGGAUCCGGAUGUCAAAAGUUUAAUCCGGAUCCAGAUGCACUAAGAUCCGGAUCCAGAUCCAAAUUUUGCCAUCCCUAGUUUAAAACUUUGCAAUUCGUUAAAAAUCUUGCGGGAUAUUAACCGAUAAAACCACUUAGGGAUAGUACAAGAGGUUUAUGAUUUCUCAACCCAUUUAUGUGGGUGGAGAGAGAAUCAAGUGUUUUUUUAAAUAAAGAAUAAUUAAUAAUUAAUAAUCAAAUUAAUAAAAAUAAAUAAAUUGUAAGGGGGAUCGUAAAAGUUUUGUAUGUAACAUAUCGGUAGUGGAAAGAAUUUUUUUUGGAGAGGCUAUUUGGCUUGGAACAUAUAUUACAAUACUCUCUUCAUCCACUUCUCAAUAAAAUAUUUUAUUAAAAAAAUUUCCUUAAUUGAAUUAUUGUUUUAGCCAUAUAUUAUGUUCGUUUAUCUCCCUAAAGUUUUUAUUCUUUCACCCUUUUUUCUCUUUUCCUCUGUGUCUCCCCAAUUUUUUUCCAGUCCUAUGGGGUUCUUAUUAAAGCUUCUAUUGAGUAAAAUCUAUAUUAAAAUUUCUUAUAAAAAAAAAAGAAAAAAAGAAUUCGUCUCUUUUAAAAAUUGUCUUUCCUUCCUUUACCCUUGAGUUACUAUUAGAUGUAUAAGCUCAAGAUGAGACUAGUAAUUGGAUUUCCAUUAAAAGUUUUAAUUUCAAAAAAUCAAAAGAUCACCAUACAAAUAUCAAAAGGUCACUAACUUAAUUAUACUGGUAAUAAUUAAGAUAAAUAAAAGACCUACUAUUUCUGUUUGAUGUUAUUAUGAUAAAGAAAGAAAAAAAAGAAAUAGCAAGUUGCUGUAGUUGCAACAAUUGAGGAUAUGCUAAUAAAAGUGUUACAGAGAUAGAUUUAAUUGAUAAAAAUAAGAUUUUAAUAAAAAGUUUUGAGAGAAACAAUUAAUAAAAACUAAUGAUAUUUAUUAAGGGUAUAUUAUGAAUAUUUGUGGCCUUUUUUGAGAUAAUUAAAUAAAUUUUAAGUUGUGAUAAUGUGUUUAUUACAUAAGUGGAUUUAUUCAGUAUUCUAGUGGAUUUAAGUAGUCUCAACUCUCAUAUUAUAAUAAAUUUUUAUAUUGCUACAAUUGCCCUAAUAUAGUGGACAGUAUUAUAUUGUACACAUAAGAAUACUCUAGCACCCAAUUAAAAUUUUUAGUAAAACAUAUAAGAACUCUAAAUGUAAAGAGAAUUCCGUCAAGGUAUUGCAGUAGUAUUUAAUGCUCUUGGCUAGUGUAAACUAUUGUGCCACAUGUAGUAUUUCGAUCCUGACAAGUGCAUUACAAAUAAUGACUCUUAUUUCAGGUCUUUUAGGUACUUUAGAGAUAUAUUAGCUAUGGAGCUAGUAUUAGGUCAUCACGUGCUUCUUUUAAUGAAAGAUGUGGUUCAUUUUUCCCUAUACCAAAGCAUUUUCUGUGGAAUAAUCGUGUCAAAUGCUCAUUUAUCAAGGGCACGUGUGGUGUUGUCAGUAUGAUAUGCUAACCCACGUGCACUUAUGGAAAAUCAAAUGAGAAAAAUGAAUUAAAAAAUACAAAAGCUAAUUAAUAAUGUUCGAGUUUGAGAUGAAGAAUAUUUAAUUUUAUGGAUAUAAAGAUAAGAAAUAUUUAAUGAGAACUAUCCUAAUAUUAAAAUACUAUUUCAAAUAAAUUUUAUUUGACGUAAUAGUAUGUCUCAUAAUAAGACUCAUCGAUGUCAGAAUCGUACAUGUAAAAUGAGAUAAAUUUUAAGGUUUAAAACUUUGCAAUUCAUUAAAAAAUCUAGUGCGAUUUUAAUUGGUAAAACCUCUUAGGGGUAGUACAAGAGGUUUAUAAUUCCCUAAUCCAUUUAUGUGGGUGGAGAGGGAAUUAAGAGUUUUUUAAUAAAGAAUUAAUAAAAAUUAAUAAUCAUGUUAAUAACUUAUUGGUAGUAGAAUGGAAUUUUAUUUGGAGAGGCAAUUUGGCUCAGAACAUAUAUUAAAAUGAGGAUAUUUGAACCCACCACAAUACUCUCUACAUCCACUUUUCAAUAAAAAAUUUAUUACAAAAUUUUCCUUAAUUAAAUUAUUAUUUUAGCCAAAUAUUACGUUCAUUUAUGUCCCUAAAGUUUUUAAUUUUUAACCCUUUUUUCUCUUUUCCUGUUUGUCUCCCCAAUUUGUUUCUAGUCCUAUGUGGUUCUUAUAUUUUAAAGCUUCUAGGAGUAAAAUCUCUACUAAAAUUGAUUAUCAAAAAAAAAAAUCUCUUUUAAAAUCUGCCUUUUCUUUAUCCCCAAGUUACUAUUAGAUGUAUAUGUUCACCGUGAAAGUUUAGAUCUCAAACCUUUUCUGUAUCUUAAAUGGAUUGUCGUGGAUAUGCCUAAGAUGAGCAUUUUCUUCCUCUUCACUUCAUCAUCUUUGAUAUAGUAAUUAUAAUUGAUUGAGGAGUGUUAAAACGCAUUGUGAUGAAUGAAUGCACAAGCUAUGUGAUUAAGACUGCAUUUAUCAGCUGGUGGGCGACCGCAAAUAUUAGGCAGGUUAUUCACAAUAGUGCUACUGAAGCUUUAUAUGGAAUAAGGAGACCAAGCCUCUAUAUGAUAAGAGUUGUAUGAAUACCAAAUGAAUUGUAAGAGGAUAUGGUUAAUUUAGAUUGCAAUUUAAGAAAGCUUGAAUUCUAAGAGCACAGAAAUGGGAUCAGUCUUGCUCAAGUGUAAACUCCGUCAGUUAGGAAGCUGUCCAUCAAAUGUAAAUAUUUAUGUGAUUGAGAGAAAUUUUGGACUUUUGUUGAAAACAAAAAUGCUGUUUGCAUUUGCUUGCCCCCAAGGAUAUAUGUUGUGCAAGCAUAUAUGUUGAGACCGGCAGAUGAAAUCACUAAACUUUUACAGUUGAUCUGAGGCUCCUCUAAAGAAGGAUUUGGAUUUUGGAAUUAAUUUGGGGAAAGGGUUUUUUUUGGGUAUAUGAGUGUAAGCGUUCCUUCAAUCACGUAGCUUUGUGCCAUUAACAUAAUGGCAAUUCCACAAUGGGGAUAAUGAUAAUUUUGUGAUUGGGAACUCUUUACUGGUUUUUCUUUCGCCAUCUGUGUCUAUGAUUAAGGUUGUUUAAAGUGUUAUGGCUUUUAAUCUAUAACCAUUGUGAAAUGGACUCACUAGCUGGCAAAUAAUAAAACAUAGUGCUGUCAAAUUUUGUAAGGAUUAUGCAUACACACUCUUUCGUCUUCAAUGCCCUAAAACUGGGUAACUACAUGUAUGAUUUUCAUUCAGAAAAACUGGCAAGAACUAAUGACUUUGCAGAUUAAAAAAUAAGUAGGAUUAUCAGAUUAUGUAGCAUUGUUAUGUAAUGUCUUGUGGUUUUUUUAAGGUUAAAGUUGGUUUGGAAAUUAAUUAAAAGACGAUAUUCAUUCUAUCAUGACGAGUUUUUAACAAGAGGAGAAGGUUCCUUUUAUAAUUUACUAAUUUAUACAGCCUUUAAUAUUAAAACAAAAUUUUAUAUAUUAAGGACGAUGAUUCUUGCUCACUUAGUAAGAUAUGUACAUAACAUAGGUUUGUUAAGCAAGGAAUCAAUUAUGUAUUUCUUGUAUCUGAAAAAAUGAAUCAUCCUUUAACGAGGGUUAUCAUCAAUUGCAGGUUUCUAGUUUGGUUGCUUGGUUUGAGGACUAUGAAUAUUACAUUGUCAUAACUAAAGGAAAGAAUAUAUGCCAUGGCCUUUGGCUGGUCUACUUUUUUCUUUUCAAUUAACCUCUUGCGGGGAAAGAAUAUUGUAUAACACAGCACACUAUAAUUACCAAUUCUUUAUCUUAUAAUAUAAGUUCAUAGUGAUUAAUUUGUCCGUCUUCAGCCAAAAAAAAAAAAAGUCCCAUUUCAGCACAAAUACAAAAGCUCUCAUUUUUCUUUGCUCCGGCCAUUUUAUAGCGGUGUCAUCACAGACACCUCAAGCUCUGCCGAAUCAUCAUAGACAAUUCGUGAUUGGUGGGAGCAAAUUGAAAGUGUUUAUAAAUAUAACUUAACAAUUCACUAGAUAGCUUGGAUUCAAAAUUAGAAAUAUCAAUCAAUAAAAUAGGAAGAAAAAAUAUUGGAGGUAAUUGGAAUUAGUCUCAAAUUUCAAUUAAAAAAAGCGUGCAGUUUCAUAUAUUAAUUCACUGAACCAUUUUUUUAUUUUUAUUUUUUUUUGCUGGAAAAACGAGUUUCCCAGAUCUGUCCAUUGUCAAAAUCAACUGAUGAACCACCACACUUCGUCGCAUCGCCAUUCACCAACAGCCCCAACUUUUGAGUCUCGUACCCUUGUUAAACAAAUACACAAUAAAACAGUGAGAUAACAAAUUAUAUGUUAGCUAAUUUAAACAAUAGUGUAAACUAGGAAUCGGAAACACUAAAUGAAGAACAGAAGAGGCAGAAACUGAAUCGAAAUAAAAAAAAUUGAAACCCGAGGCCUGCACAAACACAGUCUCCUUAAAACAGAUUUACCACCUUUACGGAGUGCUUAAGGUUUGCUAGGUAUAUGUUUCCCAGGAUGCAACGGGUACGAUUUUCCAGUCAAGCACAGGCUGGAAAUUCCGACGAACCACAACCAGCGAACUCGAUCAAAGAAAAACGAAGAAGGAUGAAGGGAAAACAAGUGUGGUUUGUGCUCGUUUUUGCAAGUAGAAAAAACAGAAGUGAAGGUGCCUUUUUAUACUCAAGGGAGGAUGUAACAGCUUUUGUAUUGAAUUUUCGAAUUCAAUACAUUUUAAUUAUUUUGUUAUAACAGCCAAAUCAAUUUAAUAAAUUGAUUUCAAAAUUGAAUUCAAACAAAACGUGAAUAACAGCUAAAUAAUUGUAAAAGCUGUUACCAAUGCUUUGAAUUCACAUGAACUGUUACAAUAAAAAAUUCAAAAGGAAUUAAAAACGUGCCUAGCUUGCAUGGAUGAUUUUGGGCUGACAUUCGUGUACGCAGGACGCGCACGAGUUCAACUAAAUCGGGCUUGGAUUCGCACCCCCCCCUGCGCACGCGCGUGUGGAGAGAGCCUCUAUCCUCAUAAUUCUUACUCAUGCAUGGUUAAGUGUUUAUAUUUAAACACUAAUUCCUAGGCUUCUUUUUCCCAUGUGGGAUAAGACUCAUUUCCUUUUAAAUUUCCAACUUCAAGGGUGAACUUUGAGAGACAAUUUCUCAUUCACCCAAGCACCAUUUUGAGAAAAUAAAAUUAUACUAUUGAAGUAUUAACGGAGUAGAAUCCGAACCUCACAAUAUUUUCCACUUUCGUUAAGUGGGACCCACUCAAAAUGUGCUCUCAAAAUAGCAUGUUAUGCUAUUUUUCCAACAACCCUUACUUCAAUAAUCCAGACCCAAGAUGUCAUCAAUACCCAAACCCUCAAUUUCAUCUUCUUCUUCUUUUUUUAAUUGACCCAAGAUCUGCCAAAUAUUAUGUUAAUUAAUCUCCCUAAGGCUUUUAUUUUUUUCACCCUUUUUUCUCUUUUCCUCUCCGUCUCCCCAAUUUUUUUUCUAGUCCUGUGUGGUUCUUAUACUUUAAGGUUUCUAUUGGAGUAAAAUCUCUAUUCAAAUUGCUUAUCCAAUUUUUUUUUUCUUUUAAAAUUUGCCUUUCCUUUACCCUCGAGUCACUAUUAGAUGCAUAUGCUUGUGAUGAAACUUUAGUAAUUGGAUUUCUAUUAAAUAUUUUAAUUUAAAAAAAUGAGAAGAUCACUAUAAAAAUAUCAAAAGAUCACCAACUUAAUUAUAGCAAUAAUCAAGGGAAUUAAAAGACUUACUAUUUCUGUUUGAACUUAUUAUUAUAAAGAAAGAAAGGGAAAAAAAAAGUCGCUGCAACUACAUCAAUUGAGGACAUGCUAUGAAAAGUAUCAUAGAAAGUAGUGAGAGAAACAACUAAUGAAAAUUAAUGAUACUUAUUGAGGGUAUAUUGGGAAUGUUUGUGGGUUUUUUGAAUGAAAAAAUAAAAUUUUAAGUUGUGAUAAUGUGUUUAUUAUAUAAAUGGGUUUAUUCAGCAUUACAAUGGGUUUAAAUGGCUUUAUCCUUCAUAUUAUAAUAAAUUUUUAUAUUACUAUAAUAGCCGUAAUAUAGAGGACAAUGUAAUGAAAAUAUUGUUACUGUUAUACUUAUUAAAGAAACAAUAUUAUCUUGUACAGACAAGAACACUCCAGUGCUCAAGUGUAAAAGUUUUAGUAAAACGUAUAAGAACUCUUAAGUGUAAACAAAAUUUCAUCAAGGUGCUGUAAUAUAAUCUAAUGCUUUUUGGUAGUGUAAACUAUGUGUGCCACGUGUAGUAUUUCAAUCUUCACAAGUGGCAUUGUAAAUAAUGGCUCUUAUUUCAGUUCCUCGUAGGCACUCUAGUAUUUGGUCAUCACGUGCUUCUUUUAAUGAAACAUCUGGUUCAUUUUAUCCUUAUAUGAGAGCAUUUUGUGCGGAAUAACCAUGUCAAAUGCUCAUUUAUCAAGGACACGUGUUGUGUUCUCAGAACAUAGUAAAAAUAUGAUACGCUAACCCAUGUACAUUUAUGGAAAAUCAAAUGAAAACAAAGAACUAAAAAAAAGUACAACGGCUAAUUAAUAAUGUUUGAGUUUGAGAUGAUUAAUAUUUAAUUUUAUGGUUGUAAAGAUAAGAAUAAAAGUACGGCUAGUGAGGACUAUCCUCAUAUUAUAACACUAUUUAAAAUAAAUUUUGUUAUAAAAAAUUUUAUUCAAUUAGGUAUAUAUUUUAGGUACAAACUCAGCUAUUUGACAUAAUAGUAUGUCUCAUAAUAGGACUAACAUUUGGUCAAAUCAACCUAUUUCAAUAAGAUCCAUCGAAAUUAAUAUUUAAAAGAUUUAUCAUCUCAUUAUACAAUACACAACUUUGCCAUCUAGUAGAGAAUGAUUGGUUGGCACACCAUAGUUUACAUAAAUAUUUCUAAUAUUUGAAUCAUUUGUUAGGAAAUUUUAAUCCUACCAAUAUCUUGUAAGUAAACAUAUCAAAUAAAUAGUAAAUAGAUAAUAUAUAGAGAAUAAAACCAAUCAUACAACACAAUAAUUUACCCGAGAAAAAUUCCUACACUAGAGAAAAACCACGGCCGCCAAAGAUGACGAAAGAAAAUCCACUAUGUAAAGAUCAUUACAAUCACUCUAGUAUUUUCUUCACUUACAAAACCCCAAUAACAAAUAAUCUCUCAUUCUAGAAACUGUCUACUUGUAUAGAACUAAUUAUUGCAAACAAGUGAAUCUAACCUUCUUAUAUAUUGUGAUUGUUUCAUAUAAGAGAAAUAUUUAUUUCCUUAUAUAAUUUGUAUUCCUCCUUUAAUAAAUUCUUUGGAAUUACUUAUUCCUUAAACAUGAACCCCCCAAACAAAAAAAUUACUAGGAAAUAUUUUAAUUUAGGAUUUACAAAUCCUCAUUGAAAAAGGAGAUAUGUUACUUCAAAAUCUCCACUUUGGCGAGUUUUUUAAUUAAACGACAAAAUAUGAUCCGCCAUACAUCUAUGCAACCAUGUCGUCUCCACCUUUUUUAGUAUACUAAAACCACACUGACAUUGGACUAAUGAGAAUCACUCCACCAUGAGUAAAAUCUUGUCCUCUAUCCAGCAACCAUAAUUUUCUACAUCGAGAAUCAUCAUACUUCACAUUAUCCAGAGUACACAUGUUUGGCAUAUGUCGAUCACAUUUCCGAAGUUACCCACUCUCAUGUUUGGCUUCUUUGAGAGUCCUCAACGAUCAAGAUAAAAAGUCCACCACAUACCUUGCAUAAAUACUAAACUACAUGUUGUGUGCACAUCUUGUGGACCCAUUAGCAAUAACACAUCCUCUUCCACGACACACCAAUAGAUGAGAUAAUUAGUAUCUCCUUCUAUUAAUUUACAGCUACUUUCCAAAUUUGCUAUAUUCUAACAAUCUCUUUUAAGAUGUUUUGAUUACCUACACUCCUCCAGGGGUUUCUACUAGUGGAAUAGGCCUGACAUUGCUCUUUGCUUUACUUGUAUAGACAGAUUGAAUCAGUAUGUUAUUGACUUGAGCUUCCCAAAAGCCAAAAUUAAUUAUUCCGUCAAAUUUUUCUAUUUCUAUCUUCAUAAGUUUUGAAAACCUCCUUGCUGACGUAUUUGCUCUACAUUGCAGCCUUAGCUCUAUUAUCACCUGCUAAGAAAUAAUUAAUCUCACCUAAGAUUUGCAAGAAAAAAUAUGAAAUAAAUAGUAAAUAGAAAAUAGGUGGAGAAUAAAGCUAAUAAAAUAAUACAAAAAUUUACAUGAAAAAUUUCUAUAUUGGAGAAAAAUUAUAAUAGCUAAGGACGAUAAGAGAAAAAUUUAUUAUGUAAAAAUUAUUAUAAUUACUCUAGGGUUUUUCUCACACCUAAAACACCAAAAGCACCUAAUUUUAAUAGAACUACUUUUCUCUCACACUGAAAACUAUUUACUUAUAGAUAACUGAUUGUUGAAUUAUGCAGAGAAGUAAACUCAAUCUCUAUAUAUAUAUGUAGUGAUUAUUUCAUAUAGAAGUUGCAUUCUUUUCCUUAUAUGAUUUGUAUUCCUCCUUGAAUAAGUUAAGUUCUAAAGAGAAAAUUACUUAUUUCUUAAAUAUGAAUUAUCUUCAAUAAGAAAACUGAAAAGUGUAGAAAAUUCCUAAUUUAAGACUUAAAAAUCUUAUUUGAAAAAAGAGACAUCUCCCAAUAUCUUCAAAUCCUCCUUACAAUGCCACCAAUCUCUUUUGUGACUAGCCCAGUUGAAACUUUUAAUGGAUGGGCUGUAAUUGCGAAUAUCCAAAUAAAACAAAUUUCCAUAGGUAUAUUGGUAGAUUGAAUGACAACUAACAACACAUGAUUUGAUUAACUUACUUCCAAAAAAAAAGAAAAAAAAGAUACAAUGGAUGAACAUUAGACUCUUGUGCCAACUCAUGGAAUUCAUCAAUAAGGCCUUGGCUGAUCCACCUCAUGACUAGUAGAGUUCAAACCCCCGCUAAAUAGUAAAAAAAUAUUUGGAUUAUUAAUUACUCUUUCUUAAGUCUAUUUAAACUUAACUUUGAGAAUUAUGAACGUCUACACUAUAAUUAAAACAAUACAAGCCCACCCGUUUGUAUUUAAAAUUUUGUUUGAAUUUAUUCACGAGCAACAAGAAUAGUAUAAAUGGAAAAAAAAACCAUCAAAUAAUAUCCCAUGACUCUGUUUCUUCAAUUUCAGGAACAAUGGUGGAAUCAUAUUUUCCGAUUGAAAAACUUUUGGAAAAAUUAGGGAGCUUUGCUUAUGAAGAACUUUUAUUGUUCUGCGGUGUCAAAAAUGACUUACAAAAGUUAAAGGAGACGUUAACCACUGUCAAAAGUGUGGUUUUGGAUGCUGAGGAAAAGCAAAUCCAUAAUCACCGGUUAAGCGAUUGGCUGGGAAAACUUAAGGAUGCUUGUUAUGAUGCAGAAGAUGUGUUGGAUGAAUUUGAGGUGGAAGAUCUACGAAGGCAAGUCAUGAAGCAAAGAAGCAUCGGAAGAAAGUUUCGUAACUUUUUUGGAUGCUCAAAUCCGAUAGCUUUUCGUUUUAGAAUGGGUCAUCAAAUCAAGAAAAUUCGAGAGAGGUUUGAUGAGAUUGCAAAAUUGAGGGGUGAGUUUAAUCUCAUUGAACGACUUGACGAUCAUCGGCGAGUUGUGCACAAAGAAAGGGAAUCCACUCACUCCUUUGUGCUUUCAUCAGAUAUUAUUGGAAGAGAUAAAGAUAGAGAAAAGAUUAUUGAACUAUUGAUGCAAGCAAGUUCUGGCGAAAGUGAAACUCUGUCUGUUAUUCCUAUUGUGGGAAUUGGAGGUCUGGGCAAAACUGCUCUUGCACAGUUGGUGUUCAAUGACCAAAGGGUAGAAGAGCAUUUUGAGUUGAAAAUCUGGAUGCGUGUUUUUGAGGAUUUUGGUGGGAGACAAAUUAUGAGAGAGAUUAUGGAGUCGAUCAUUGUACAAAUUAUGAGAAAGUGUGUGUUCCUAGGUGACUUGAAUACACAACAAUUGCAACGAAUCUUGCGAGAUCAUUUGAAUAGUAAGAGAUGUUGGGAAAAUAUGCUCUUUAAAAGCAUAUGUGUUUAUUUGAAUGUAAUAAACUAUUUUUCUGAUCAAUAAAAUAAAUGAGGUAUUUUAUUCAAAUAUCUUGAUUGCAUUAAUAUUUGUAUUAAAGUGGGCACGAGGGGAGGUACUAUUGGCUACAACUUACAAGGUCUACCAUUCGAGGAUUGCUUGUCUUUGUUUAUGAAAUGUGCAUUUAAAGAAGAGCGAGAUAAACAUCCAAACCUCAUAAAAAUCGGGGAAGAAAUUGUGAAGAAAUGUGGGGGAAUUCCUCUGGCAGUCAGAGCACUAGGAAGUCUAUUAUGUGGCAAAACAGAUAAACGUAAUUGGGAAUAUGUGAGGGAUAUUGAGAUAUGGCAGUUAGAGCAAAUGGACACUGGCAUUUUACGUGCUCUGAGGUUAAGCUACGAUCAAUUGCCACCUCACCUGAAACAAUGUGUUGCUUAUUGUUCAAUCUUUCCGAAGGGUUAUCAAUUUUAUGGUGAUUCUUUGGUUCAAUUUUGGAUGGCUCAUGGUCUUCUCCAAUCGCAUAAUAAGAAAGAAGAGUUAGAUGAUAUUGGUAUGCGAUACUUGAAGGAAUUACUAUCAAGAUUUUUCUUCCAAGAUUUGAGUUUUGGGAUGUUAGGAAUGGAGACGUUCUCUUUCAAAAUGCACGACCUUAUGCAUGAUCUUUCCCUGCUAGUGGCUAAAGAUGAAUUCCUAGUAGUGAACUCUGAUUGUCAAUUUAUUCCCAAAAAAGUCCGCCAUUUGUCAUUUGUUGCUGCUAAUGCGUCAAGAAAUGACUUUUCAAGCCUUUUAUCUGAUCUAGGUCGUGUUAGAACCAUUUUCUUUUCAACUGAUGAUGAUGAGAAGACAAGCCAAUCAUUUAUUGAAUCAUGCAUCUCAAAGUCGCAGUUCCUAAGAGUGCUAGAUUUAAGUGGCUCUGCUAUUGAGGUUUGUCCAAGAGAGAUGGGUAAUUUGAAGCACACGAGAUAUCUUGAUCUGUCGAAAAAUUAUAAAAUCAAGAAACUUCCAAAAUCCAUUUGCGAGCUACAGAGUUUACAAACACUGAAUCUUGCUGGAUGUUUGGAGCUAGAAGAGUUGCCUAAAGACAUAAGGUACCUUGUCAAUCUCAGAUUGUUAGCGCUAACCACAAAACAGAAGUCUUUGCAAGAGAGUGGAAUAAGGAGCUUGGGUUCUCUUCGUUGUUUGUCAAUUUCUAGUUGCUGGAAUUUAGAACAUUUGUUCGAGGAGAUAGAUCAAUUAAGUGUCCUUCGAACAUUAUCAAUUGAAAGUUGUCCUCGUCUAAUCUCAUUGCCACCUGCUAUCAAAUAUCUUAGCUCAUUAGAGAAUCUGUAUUUGGCUAGCUGUGAAAGCCUUGAUCUUAAUUUGAACAUGGAAAUGGAAGGUGAAGGAAGUCAUCAUGAUCGCAAAAACACAAGGCCUCACAUUCGGCGGGUUUUCAUCAAGGAAAUAACACAGUUAUUAGAACUGCCACAAUGGCUUCUCCAAGGUUCUACUGAUACUUUACAGAACUUGUUAAUUCUUGGUUGUCCCAACUUCAUGGCACUACUAGAGUCACUGAGAAAUUUCGAAGCACUUGAGGUUCUUGUCAUCGGGAAUUGUCCAAAAUUGUCAUCGCUGCCAGAGGAUAUGCAUCACCUCACUACUCUGAAAUCAUUGGCCAUUGCAGGAUGUCCUGCACUGAGUGAACGAUGCAAACCGCCAACAGGUGAAGAUUGGCCCAAGAUUGCACAUAUCCCUGAGAUUUUACUUGAAGGCGAGAUGAUUAAAUCAAGUGAUUAUUAGGUAUGGAUUUUUUUUUCAAUAAGCAUACCACUCUGUUAUAUUUCCUCUUUUCAUGCAGCUUUCUAAUUUUUAAUUUCUCAUACGGCUACACCGUUUAUAGUUUAAUGUUUUGUUAUGUUUACCAAACGAAAACUUGACUUUGAACGUUAGUUAGUUCAAUCAAAUUUGUACUAAUUUAUUUUCUUCUAAUACAUAACUAGUUUGUCAGUACAAAACACAAAAAUAAUAUUUUGGAAACCGCACUGUUCUAGGGGUCAGAUCUGUUUCUAAAUUCAAACAGUUCAGGAUUUUUAAAAAUGGAACUUAUAAUGAGAUUUUUUUUUAAUUAUAUAGUUAUCUUCAUAUGGAAUUUCAAUCUUUGUUAAUACUUUAACUUGCGCGGAAACAUCUGACUAUUCUUCCUCUUAUCCUUUUUUUUCCCCAAAUAUUGCAGCUUUCUUGGGAGAGGUUCAACCAAACUGCAGGGACAGUGAAAAUAUUACUCUAACGUGUUUCAGAACAGAGCUUCAAAGGUUUUAAUGUUGUGUUUUAAAGUUACAAGUAUUAUAUAUUCGUUACGUGUGGUUAUGUAAUUUGCUGAUAAAUAAGUACAUUGAGUGAGGUAUAUGUGUGUGCCUGUGUGGUCAUUACUGAAUUUCUCAGUAAUAUAAUUUGCAUUGACUGCAGAUUUGUGAAGAACAUUGAUGUGUUGUGUAAUGGGAACGGUGGUGUCUGUAUUUUGUGCUCUGUGAUUGACGACUUACAUUUGCCCAGGAAGAAAUGAAAACAAAUCGGCUUCUUGAAAUUAACCAUUUAUUCUUUCGAAUGGUAACCUUUUUGUGACAUGAUUCGCAUAUUAAUCAAAAGCAGUUGGCAAACUAAUUAGAUAUUGCAUCGUGAUUCGUGGCCUUGAAGGGAAAUGAGUGAGCAUGUUUGUGGAGGUUUUUGUUUUUGUUUUUUUUUUCCUCCAUAUGAAAUGACUAAUUCGAAAGAAUAUGUAUUGUAAUAGAACCUAGAACUUCUAUGUAUUUUAGGAUGAAAAUUCUGUACAAUAGAAAAUAUUAAAACGAAAAUUAAAGUUGAUGUGAGAAAAUUAAAGAAGCUUGCAACUGCAAUCUAGCUCGACCUACUAUAUAUAUAUAUAUAUAUAUAUAUAUAUAUGUUAUUAAUUAAUUGAUCAGGUAAGAUAUAGGGAGAGACUCGCGGACUCUUUACAAGGAGCAAAAAUGGUAUGAAACUCUGUUUUGAUUAAAAUUCAAUGACUUUCUUCGUAUUAAUCAAAUUAAUUAAUUAAUUAUUUUGGUAAAAAGAAUUUGCCAAUUGUGUGGCGGUCUUGAGACCCUUGACGGUGGUGAAAUUGAUUCACGGUUUCAAAUGAAGACAUGCAGCGGAUGCGUGCGUGCCGUAUGACAUCGACGAAAAAGUAAAGAGUUUGAAUGAAACAAUCCUAAUGUUCACUUUCUUCUUCGAUUUCAUUUUACGACUUAACAAAAACGAGAUGCUCCUGAUGAGGGAAAGGAGAAGAAGACACAGCGAGUUCGCAAGAACGUGUACAGAGGAAUAAGGCAGAGGCCAUGGGAGAAAUGGGUAGCUGAAAUUAGAGACCCUUACAAGGGCGUCCGCGUUUGGCUCGGCACAGCCGAAAAAGCAGCAAGAGUUUAUGCUGACGUCGCCAAGAAUAUCCGUGGCAACAAGGCCUAGCUCGACUUUGCUCACCGGCCGCCAGUAACUCCACCUCCAGGUAAGAAACGCUUCGUGCUAUCCCGUGAGUUGACUCAGCCGAGUUUCGGAGAUUACUUUUUUAUUGGAUGCCCUUUAAUAAACAGCUUUCCUAAUAACAACUGAAGCUCUGUCGAAUCAUCAUAGACAAUUUGUGAUUAGUGGGAGCAUUACAAGAAAGUUACGACUACUUCAAACUGUUAGAUUUGUUAAUGUGAUUCGGCUAUAGUUCUAUAAUUGGUGAGUUUUUGUGGGUUUGUUUGAUAUUUUUUUGUGGGUUUGUUUCUCAUAGUCUUUAUCCAGUCAAAGCAAACGUUCGCCUCUCACAUUGACGGUUAGGCUAGAUGUUUGACCCUGACUAAGAUGAUUGAGUUUAUUAUAGUCUUCUUAUAUUGUCGGUUCAAUAUCAUUUUCAAAUAUCACAUCAAUUCCGCUUUUGGAGUUUUAAUCCAUGCCCAGUUACGCCUUUAUUUUACUUUUAAGCUGCAACAUUGAGUCACAUUCUUUUUCUGUUUUUAUUACGAUUAGCGACUGGUACAGUGGUAUUUGAACUGCAUAGCGUGUCAACAUUCACUCUAAAUGUCUUAGAAACUCUGUCUAUCACUAAUUUUCUAGAACAGGCCUCGCUGACAGUCAAAGAUUUGAGGCGUAUUUCUGGAUUGAAGGCUUUUCUCUAGUCAAUUUGAUGAUAAGCGCAUUUAUUAUCUCCAGCAUUAAGCAGUAAUUUGUAACUAGUAGUAGCCAGUACCUAAGAUGUUGCAUUUGACUGUCUUCUCUUUCUGGUUCAGUUUCGACCUUUGGAGCUGUUUUAGACAUGGUAACGGAUAGGUAAUUUCUCUCUACCCCACCCCCCAAUGUAUCAUUAGUCAUCAUUCGUUGUGGUUCGUGGAGAUACACAUACUAAUUUGGAUUAUUGUCCGUGCCUUCGUCUUUUGUCAAUAAUCUUUUGCAUUUCAGGAUUAGUACAGCUUGUCUACUGGUAAUACUCUCUCAAGUAUACAGGGAAGACUUUGUUACGUUUUCUUGACCCGUAAUCUAAUGUUUUAAGAUGAAGGCAUAAUUGAGCUAUCUUGCAUCUCCAUGCAGGCCUGGUUUGGUUUUUGUGUCACUACCUGUAUUAGAUAUUGGUAGUCAAUGGCUGCAGAUGUACAGGUACCUUUUCGUUUCCCUGACAUAAUCUCAUGUUACAUGAAAUUGCUCGUGGAACUGGGAGAUUUUUUAUUUUUUAUUUUUUCAUAUUUACUAAAGAAAAGUGUUACUUUCGUUGGGAAAAAUGCCUACCACUCUUUAUCUCUGUUGCAGUACAUUCUUAACAGGAAAAACUAGCCAUAAAGAUGCAAAAGACAGCAAAAAUUGGCUUUUCAAAGCCUAUUAUGGGAACCGGAUGUUUAUGGGUUAUUGUUGUGUGGCGUGUGAGGUAAUUGUAGCUUUCCGUGUUAUUAUACAUAUCAGGAUUUGCAAAUGUUAUCAGUACUUUUUACCUGAUCCAACUGUUUCAACCCUGCAGCUCCUUUACCUAAUCCUAUUUCUUAUUGCGGAGAAGCAGAGGGAAAGUUUGGUGGAUGUAGGCUCUCAUUUUCUUACUAUUAGAUUGUUCUGAAAAUAGAAAUAUUUCCCCAGUUUCUCGAUUUUCAAACAAUUUCUUCUUUCAGGUUGUGGCGACUGCUGUGCAACAGGGUUCGCCUCUUUCCUUCCUAGUUGCAUUGAGUUUAUUCGCAUGGGCGCAAUCAAGCAAACGAUUAAUGUCGUACAGGUAACUUCAACCCCAUAUGAUGGUAAUGUUCGUUUAAAUAAAUUUCUUGAUGUCUACAAAUUAAGGAAACCUUUGCAUGGGUAAAGUUGACAUUUUACACUGGCAUUAUGGAUCUUGAAUUGAGUCUGUUUUAGAUUUUCAUGCUGUGUGAUAUGCUCUAAUGUUAAAACUCAAACCUUUUCUGUAUGUUAAAUGGAUUGUCGUGGAUAUGCCUGGGAUGAUCAUUUUCUUCGUUUUCACUCAUCGUCUUUGUCAUCGUAGUUAUAAUUGAUUGUGGAGAGUGAAAACACACUGUGAUGAAUGAAUGCAAAAGCUAUGUAAUUAAGACUACAUUUAUUAGGUUGGUGACCACAAAUAAUCAGAAGGAUAUUCACAAUAGUGUUAUUGAAGGUCUAUAUGGAAUAAGGAGACCAAACCUGUAUGUGAUAAGAGUUGUAUGAAUACCAAAUGAAUUGUAAGAGGAUAUGAUUACUUUAGAUUGCAAUUUAAGAAUGCUUGAGUUCUAAAAGCACAGAAAUGGGAUCAGUUAGGGUAAACUCCUUCGUCAGUUAGUGAACUGUCCAUCAAAAGUAAAUAUUUAUGUGAUUGAGAGAAAUUUUGGAUUUUUGAUGAAAACAAAAAUCCUGUAUGCAUUUGCUUGCCCCCAAGGAGCUGAAGAUUCUCAAAUUGUUUGUAGACGUAAUAGUUCUUCUGAUAUCAUUUGGCUUGCUAAUCUUUCUUGCUCGAAAAUUUACCCGUUGUGUGGUCUUGAUGGUGGGUGAAAUUGAUGUGUGGUUUCAGAUGAAGACGGCAGCCUCGGCAGCAGAUAUGUGUGUGCCGUAUGACAUCGAGAAAAAGCAAAAGCCUUAAAGAGUUCAUCAACAUUUUCCAUUCAGAAGAAUCUGUUUUGUGGUUUUCAUGCUCGAGUGCCUACUUUUCAGUAUGCAAGCAGAGGAUUUGGCAUUAAUUUGGGGAAGCCUUUUCUUUUUGGGUAUAUGAGUGUGUGCAUUCCUUCAAUCACGUAGCUUUGUGCCAUUAACAUAAUGGCAAUUCCACAAUUGUGAUAAUGAUAAUUUUAUGAUUGGGGCAUAUUGUUAGGAACUCUUUACUGGUUUUUCUUUCCCCAUCUGUGUCUAUGAUUAAGGUUGUUUAAGGUGUUAUGGCUUUUAAUCUGCAAUCAUUGCGAAAGGAACUCACUAGCCGGCAAAUAAUAAAACAUAGUGCUGUCAAAUUUUAUAAGGAUUAUAUAUACAUACUCUUUCGUCUUCAAUGCACUGAAACUGGGGAACCAUCUAUAUGAUUUUCAUUCAGAAAAACCGGCGGGAACUAAUGACUUUCAUGAUUAAAAGUAGGCUUAUCAGAUUAUGGAGCAUUGUUAUGUAACGUUUUAUGGUUAUCUUAAGGCAAAAGUUGUCUUAGAAAUUAACUGAAAGGCAAUUUCAUUCUAUCAUAAAACAAGUGUUUUUUUAACAAGGGGAGAAGGUUCCCUUUAUAAUUUACUAAUUUAUGCAACCGUUAAUAUUAAAACAAAUUUUUUUUUAUAUUAAGGAUGAUGAUUCUUUUUCCCUUAGUAAAGUCUGUAUAUAACAUAUGAUGUGGUAAGCAAGGAAUCAAUUUAUCCCCUAUUUUGUUUUUCUUACUUUUUUUUUCCCAAAAUAUUGCAGCUUUCUUUGGAGAGGUUCAGCCAAACUGCACAGACCGUCAGCACAGAGGUUCAACGGUUUUUUAAUACUGCAUUUUAAAAUUACAUGUAUUAUAUAUUCAUUACUUGUGAUUAUGUAAUUUGCUGAUGAUAAGUACACUGCGUAAUGUAUAUAUGUGUGGCUGUGUGAUCAUUACUGAUAAUCUUAAUCAUAUGUUUCAAUACCAAUAAUGUUUCAGCAUUUCUCAAAUUCUCAUAAUAUACUCUCAAAUUCAUGUAAUUCAUUUGAUCGGGCUCUAAAUUCAUUUGAUCAGCAAUUAUUCUUUACGAGUUUGGCAAUCGAACAAACUGAUUAUCAGUUGGCAAACUAAUUAGAUAUUGCAUUUUGGCCUUGAAGUGAAAUUAGUGAACAUGUUUCUUGAGGGCUCUUUUUAUAAGACACUUGAAGAAGAAAAUUCAUAUUUUUGCAAUACUUCUUUCUCAAUAUAAAAUGAUAAUUCGAAAGAAUAUUUAUUAUUGUAGAACCUACAACUUCUAUGUAUUUUAGGAUGUAAAUUCUGUACAACCAAAAGUUUUAAGUAUUGUUAAUCAUAUCAUCAUAUUACGGUAUUACCAUUUAAUUUUUUUUUUAUCUAGUUUAAAUGAAAAAUUAAAGAAGCUUGGAACUUGGAGGGCAAUUUGAAUUCUGAAACGGCACCGUUUCACCUCGACCCACUAGAUACAAACUGAUUAUGAGUGAUACCAACGAUUGACCACUGAGACAGAGAGCCUCUCUCGGCGACGCCGACGGCCAGCUUUCACGCUCAUCUGCCGUCAUAUUCGCCAGCCGCCUGCCGUCACUCCGUCUUUGUUGUUGCGCCGGUGAAGGUGAGUACCGAGUUGUCAGUUGAGUUCAAUGGCUGUAUUUUGUAAUAGCAAUUACAAUUAUCGGGUUUAAUUUGGGACAAUUUUGAUCAUCAAUCUUUGCCAUGUUUCUUAUGACUCUGUUCUGUCUCACAUAGCAGGUUCUUGGUAGCUCGUACUCAUCAAUGUAUCCUGAUCGUGGUAUGGGAGGCAGCAGUUACAUGGGUAGUGGUGGUUCCGGAUCAUACUAGUGAUGUGGUAAAAAUUGAAUUGUAAGUGAAAUUUUCUUUUAUGUAAAAUUACAAUGAUCUAAUUUUCUUGGUGCAUCAUAAACUGAGUUAUAAUGGUUCACCGAAGACUUUGGCAUCUCUCAAGUUUGCUAAGACGCAUGGUUCACGACAAAGGAAUCUACGGUAACAAGUGAAUUUUCUAUGGAACAGACUUGAGAUGAUGACAAAGAGGCCGCUGGCGGGUGUGGACUAUAUGAAGCUUCUCGCAUUAGGAUGCUUGCCAUUUUGGAGAGGAUCAAGCUGCUGAGCCUAAAAGCCUCCAUAUGUUACGGGAGAAGUUUCCUAACUUAAAAGGUUUUUGUAGUACGAGAAGGGCUGCACUGGUUUAGGCCAUUCUUGGUUCUGCAGACGGGUUACUCUGUCAAGUCUUAAUGCUGUAAGGAAACUCCCGUCAUUUAGAGAUGAAAGCAAGAAGUGCUCAGUGUGUGAUAUGUACGAAUUGCUUCUUUACUUUCUGUAUAAGAACUCCAUCUCUAGCUAAGAAACGCUGCAUGCUAUCCCCUGGGUUGACUCAGCCGCGUUUUGAAGAUUACUUCUAUUUCUUUUGGGUUUUCAUGGUUUUAUCAUUUGAGUUUACAAACUAAUGGUAUUCUUUCUCCCUAAGUUGUGAACGCUUGGGUUUUUAUUAUUGAAAUGCUUUAUUACUUUUCGAUGACCAAGUAAUGUGAGUCAACAUUCUCUUUAAAUAUUUUUCCCCUGUCCUUGCAUGUUCUGCCGGUCUUUAUUUUUUAUUUGAAUUUGAAGAAACUUUCUAAGUGCAUACACCCAUAUGAAGUCGAAGAUCUUCCAGACAAGGUGGCAUCCAUCAAGAUCAAGAAAUUUUACUGCUUAGCAUGUGUUAUAUUUAUGGAUUGGCUAUUGAAGAAAUAAUGUUUGUACUGAUGCAGAUGCAAGAACUUUACACAUCUUAAGUUUACGAGAUAUUUUUUUCUUUUUUGACUCUGUUAGAUAGCUGUCAGUUAGUUAACCAAUUUAUGUUACUCUUCCUUGGCUAGCCAAUUAAGAACUUAUGUUUGCUGGAUUGUAAAGCCUACAUCUGGAAGCCACAGGUGAUUUUAUUUGAAGGCAAUUUGUUCUAGGCUAUAUGCGGAUUUCUAUCAUGAUUUCUGUAAGCUUGAAGGAGAUUUUUUUAUGCGUGAGAGCUUGAAAAUUAUACAUGUACAUGUUGAAAUUAUUGGAUAUAUGUUAAGAAUCAAGCAUAAUUGUGUCAAGAUGAAACCAUAAUUUGGGUGCUGUUUUAUGAGUAAACUAUCUGCAAUUUGGGUGCAGUAAACCUAGGUUGAACACCAGGACAUGGUAUAAAAGUGAAAUCACACAUUGAAUCUCGCAUAAAGAUUUUAAAGAUGCAAAUUCGAAUUGUACAUGAGAUGUUAUCUUGAUCGAAUUGCAGCGGCUUUGUUUUGGAUCCAGAAAACAAAAUUGUAAGCGCAGAGAAGUCUCUAUGGGAUGCUUAUAUUAAGGUGCAUAAUGGCCUCAUUGAGUUUUGUGCUGUUGUUCUACGUUGUUUGAGUUUUGUGCUGCUGUUCUUUGUUGCUGCUUUUGCUACUGAUUUUAGCUAUUUUUUGCCACUCUGUUAUUUGCUAUUUUUUACUACUUUGGCUGCUGAUUUUUGCUGUUUUCGCUGCUUUAGCUGUUGUUUUAUCUGCUGUUUUUUUUUUACUGCUUUUAUUGUUGAUUUUUGCUGUUCUCUAUCGUGUUUUACCCACUGGUUGUCGCAUGUUUAUUAAUACUGUUUGCUGCUGUUUUAUUUGCUGCUAAUUUUUUUUUUCUGUUUUCUGCGGUUAUUUGCUGCCGUUGCUGUUUUACUCGCCAGUUGAUGAUGUUUUGUGGUUCUCCUCCUCGAGUGCCUACUUUUUCCAGUGUGCAAGCAUAUCUGUUGAGAGUGGCUGAUGAAAUCACUAAACUGUUACAGUUGAUCUCAUGCUUCUCUAGAGAAGGAAUUAGACUUAUUUUGGUGAAGGGGUUUUUUCUGGUUUUUAUAUCAAUGUGCGCAUUUCUUCAAUCACGUAGCUUUGUGGCAUUACGAUCGAUAAUGGCAACUCCACAAUGAUGAUAAUGAUAAUUUUGUGAUUCAGACACGUUGUUAGGAAUUCUGUAUUGGUUUUUCUCUCGCCUUCGGUGUCUACGAUGAAGCAUAUAAUGGCUUUUAAUCUGCAACUGCUGCAAAAUGGACUCACCAGCUAGCAAAUAAUAAUAUAUAGUGCUGUCAAAUUUAUAAAGAUUAUAUAUGCACACACUUUCGUGUUCAAUGCACCGACACUGGAUGUAUAUUGGCAUUUAGAAAAGUUGGCGAUAACUAAUGACUUUUAAGAUUAAAAGUGAGUACGAUUAAGCAUUGUCGUGCAACGUUUUACGGUUAUUUUAAGCAUGCAGUUGGUUUACGAAUUAAUUAAAUGACAAUAUUCAUUCUAUCAUAAAACAAGUUUUCAACAAGUGAAGAGGAGGUACUCUUUAUAAUUGGAUAAUUAAUGCAACCUUCAAUAUUUUCAACCAAAAAAAAAAUGAUAUUUGAUAUGUAUUCAGCAUUAGGGAAAAACCACCCAUAUCGAAGGUUUGCUUAAAUGAUCAAAUAAAUCCACUUAGUUUCGUAAAUGGUUAUACAUACCCUCUUUUUGACUAUUUAUUGGGUUAUGUUUGAGAUUUAGGACUAAGUGUGGGAUUAUACUAACUUUGAGAUUAAAUAUUAUUCCAUAUUUAGCAAUUUUCCUUGGAUUGGAUUAUGAGAGACUAAAUUCUAAGUUAGUUGUUAAAUAAAGGGGAUUGGCAAUACCAAUUUAUAAAUAGAUUUAAAUGGGAUUAGAAUAAGAGGAAAAAAUGUUCAUUUGUAAAUUUUUUUCAUAUAUAACACCAUCUUUUAUUUAUUACUUAAAAUUUAAUUAAUGAAUUAAUUAUUUUAUUCAUGAUUUACUUGAAAUAUAUUUUUUAUUUUGUUUUUUAUAUUCUAAUUAAAUUGGUACUUUAAUUUAAUAAUUUGUUACAUUAAUUGAUUGUACUAAAUUUAAUAAUCACCAAUGUAAUAUUAAAAUAUAAUUAUGAAAAUUAAUAAUACUAGUAAUUAAUUGAUUUUAUAUAUUAUUUGUUAAUUUUUUGAUAAAAUAAAAUAUAUAUCUAAAAUAUCUAAAUAAUCAAAAAGUUUUAUUAAUUUAUAUUUUUUAUUACAAUUAUGACUACCCAUAAGUAAUUUACUGUAUAUUUAAUGUUCUUAUUAAUUAUAUUUAAAUUAAUAUUAAUUAUUAUUCUUAAAUAUUCAUAAUAGUUUUUUAUUUAAAUAAAAUUUAACAUUGUCUAAUCUAAUGUUGUACCAAACAUAAGACAGUAGUGUAUAAUCCAACAUAAUACUUAGUCCAAUUUAGUCUUGCAUGCCAAAUGUAAUCUUAUACACUUUGAUUACAACAAGCCAAUAAUUGACUUAAAUAAACUUCUAUAACAAUUAUAAGUUAAAAUUAAAAUAAUAUGAUAUAUAAAAUAAGAUAAAAUUUAUAAAUUAUUUUGAAUAUUAGAAAAUGAUUUUAACAUUAUUAAUUUGUCAUAUUCUUUUACUACUAAUAAAAUCUGUUUGACAAAUUAAUAAUAUUAAAAUAAUUAUACCUAACAUUCACAAUAAUUUAUAAAAUUUAUAUAUUUUGUUUACAAUUUUUUUAAUUAUGUCUAUAUUAAUAUAAAUCUUAAAGUCAAUUUUUGAAUUAAUAGAUUUUAGUAUAUAUAAUAAUAACUUAAUAUUAAAAAUAAUUUUCAUUGCAUACGUUAUUCUAUUAAUUAUCUUAUUGUAAUAUUUUAUUUGUAUCAUAUGAUAUUUAUUAAUUAUUUUUUUAUCUUAUUACUAUAUUUAUAUUUAUUUGUGUUGUUGUAAUCAAAGGGUAUAGUAACUAAAAAUGUGUUUAUGUGACUAUUUAACCUAAAAGGUCUUUGUGACCAUUUAAGUAAACCUUGGAAAUGUGUGACAGUAGUCAUUCUAAUGACUUUCAAGAUUGAAAGUGAGUCGGAUUAUCAAAUUAUGAAGCAUUGAUACGUAAUGUUUUACGGUUAUUUUAAGGUUGAAGUUGGUUUAUUCAUUAAACAAGCUUUUAACAAGAGGAGAAAGUUCCCUUUAUAAUUUAAUAAUUAAUACAACCUUCAAUAACAAAAAAGUCAUAUAAUAGGGAUGAUGAUUCUUGCUCACUUGGAUAAGAUAAAUAUAUACAUAUAUAUAUAUAUAUAUAUAUAUAUAUAUAUAUAUAUAACCUAUGAUGUGGUAAGCAAGGAAUCAAUUAUGUAUUUCUUGUAUCUGAAAAAAUGAAUAAUCCUUUAACGAAGGUUAUCAUCAAUUGCAGGUUUCUAGUUUGGCUGCUUAGUUUUAGGACUACGAAUAUUACAAUAUCAUAAUUAUAGGAACGAAUAUAGGCUGUAGUCUUUGCCUGAUCUACUUUCUUCUUUUUAAUUAACCACUUGAAAGGAAAGAAUAUUGUAUACGCAGCACACUAUAAUACUCUAAUUACCAAUUCUUUAUCUUAUAAUAUAAGUUCAUAGUGAUUAAUUUGUCCUUCUGCAGCAGCAAAACAAAUCCCAUUUCAGCACAUCUACAAGAGCCCUCAUUUCUCUUUGCUCCAGCCAAUUGACAGCAGAAUCAUCACAUACACCUUGAGCUCCGUCGAAUCAUCAUAGACAAUUGGUGAUUGGUGGGAGCAUUACAAGAAAGGUAUGACGACUACAAACUGAUAGAUUUGUUUAUAUGAUUCGGCUGUAGUUUUUAUAUAUGGUUAAAUUAUGACAAUAAUCAAGAGAUAAUCAUGUACCUCAUUAGUUUCAUAAAUGUUCAUACUAAUUUAUUCCCCUGCUUGCCAGAAUCACACAUGUAGCAUAAGAUAAAUUUUAAGAUUUAAACUUUUCAAUUCAUUAAAAAUCUAGUGGGAUAUUAAUCGGUAAAACCACUUAGGGUAGUACAAGAGGUUUGUGAUGCUAGCCAAUUUAUGUGAGUGGAGAAAGAAUUAGGUUUUUUUUUAAUAAAAAUUAAUAAUCAUAUUAAUAAAAAGACAUAAAUUUUAAGGUUUGAAACUUUACAAUUCAUUAGAAGCAAGAGGGGGAUCCUAAAAACUUUGAAUGUAACGUAUCGGCAGUGGAAUGGAUUUUUUAUUUUUUAUUUUUUGGUUGAGACUAUUUACACACUCCUGGGCUUUGAACACAUAUUAGGGUGAGGGUAUUUUAGUAUUUCACUCACUUCUCAAUAAAAUGUUUUGAGGUGAUGCUACCCCUAAACUACUGAUUGAACCCAUUUACUUAAUAAACACACUUCUAAAAUUUAAAAUACACAAUUUUAUUUUACAAAUCCAUUAAUACCUAAAAUACCCUUAUUAAGAUAAAUUAUCACAAUUUCUCUAAUCAUUUUCUUUUCCCAUCAUUUCUCUGUUUCUUGACUCUUUUCUUCUCCAUUUCUGGAGCUUUAUCCAUAACUUUUUUGUUCCAAAUUCUUGAACUUUUUAUUUUAUUUUUUAAUAGCUAUUUUUCCCCUUGAUAUUUCAUGCGUUUGGAACAACACCCUUAAAAAACUUUAAUAAACAAACAAUAAAUUAAAACAAACAACUGAUAUUAAAAUUGCAUAUAAAUUUAUAAUAAAUAAAAAAUUUCAAGGAAUUGCAUUAGUUCUUGCAUGGGUUUUUUUUUUUUUUCAUUUUAUUAUAUAGAAGAAAGCUUACUAAGUGAGGAGAGAUCAAGAGAAUUCAUUGUCCAAUUCAAAGAAAUCAGAAAAGAUGAAAUUAGAUGGUGGAAGUCAAGAGGAAUUUUACCAACAAUAAGCUUUUAUCCAAAUGCAUUAAAAUUCAUUGAAACUUCUUUCCGCUGACAAAAGUGUAAAUGACAUAGAAAAAGUGAAUACAGUACAUUGAAUAAUGAAAAAUAUGGGAGAAAGACGGUAAUUUUUUCUUUAAUUUAAUUAGGGAUGGCAAAAAUCCCCACGGGGACGGGUACCCUCGGGGAUUUUCCCCAUUCGGGGAGGGUAUGGGGAUAAUUUCAUACCCAAUUUCUUAUUCGGGGAGGGGACGGGGAAAUUUUUUUACCCAAUUUCUUAUUCGGGGAGGGGACGGGGAUGAGGUGGAAUCCCCAUCCCCUACCCAUUUCCCCAUUUUAAUUUUUAAUUUAAUUUUAAUUUUUUAAAAUUAUUAGUAAAUAAAUUAUAAAAUUUAAAUUAUAAAAUUAUAAAUAUUGGUAAAAAUAAAAAAUAUCAAAAUAUUUAUAUUAUUAAACUUUUAGGCCUAAUUAGCUAAUUAAAGUUCUAAAUUUUUAUUUAGGACAUUAAAAAGACCGAGUAGAUUCUAUUAGCCAAACAUUUUUUUUUAAUUUUGAUAUUCUUUAAAUAUUUUAAACUUAAAUCUAUUUUUUAUUUAAUUUUAGAUGUUAUAAUUGUCCACAACGAAUCACAAUUUUAAUAUCUAAUCUAAUCUAAUCUAAUAUUUACUUUUAAUUUGCUCCGAUUUAACUAUUGUGUUGUAAAGGGAAUAAUUCACAUUUAUAAAGUGCCCACGCCACCAUUGAAAAAGUUAAUUUUGAAUCUAAAUUCGAUUUUAUUUGUAACAAUUUUGUAUUAGACUAUUAAUUUGUUCAUGAUAGUUUGUAAAAUAAGUUUGUAUCCCUUGCAUGUUGCGUUACUUACUAAUUUAAUGUAUGUGACUUUUGUAAUAAAUAUUAAUGUAAGAUAUAUUUCGAACUUUAUUUUUAUUUGAAUUUUUUAUUUUAAUAUGAUUAACUCAAAAUAAAAAAAAAUGUAUUAGUUAUUCGGGGAUCGGGGACCCUCGGGGAUCCCCUGUUAUUAUUCGGGGAGGGGAUGGAGAUUCUCUCAAGUAAUUCUGACGGGGACGGGGAGGGGAUGGGGACAUACGCAAAAUAUCGGGGAUGGGUACGGGGAGAUCGGUCCCCUCCCCUCCCCUCCCCAUUGCCAUCCCUAAAUUUAAUUAUAUAGUCUUAUGUAUUAUAGUAACUUUCUAUGUGAGCAUUUUAGUAACAAAAAAACUUAUUAAAUAUUGGGUUUAAUGAGUAUUUUGUUGCGUUUGAACAGUCUCACCCAAAAUUUAAUUACAAAAAUUUCGUCAAAUAUUACAUCCAUUUCUCUCCCUAAAGUUUUUUUUCACCAUUUUUUUCUCUUUUCCUCUCUCUCUCUCUCUCUCUCUCUCUCUCUCUCUCUCUCUCUCUCUCUCUCUCUCUCCCUCCCUGCAGUUGUCCUCUAGUCCUUUGUGGUUCUUGUAUUUUGAAGUUUCUAUUGGAGUAAAACCUCUUUUAAAAUUUCUUAUCAAAAAAAUUAAAAAAUGAAAGUCUCUUUUAAAAUUUGCCUUCCCCUUACAGUGGUAUAUUAGGAAUAUUAGCAAUUGCAACAGUGGAGGAGUUGUAACAAAACUAUUACAGAGAUAAGAUUUAAUUGAUAAAAGAAAGAUUUAAUGGAAAGUAGUUAGAGAAACAACUAAUAAAAAUUAAUGAUAUUUGUUAGGGGUAUAUUAGGAAUAUUUGUGGCCGCACCUCUCAUCUUAUAAUAAUUUUUUAUAUUACUACAAUAACAACCCUAAUAUAGUUUAAUAUUAAGGACAACGUAAUGAAAUAAUUGUUUUUCUUAUAUCCAUUAAAGAUAUAUUGUUAUUUCAUAAGAGCGAGAACACUCCAAUGCUCAAGUAACAUGUAGAGAGAGCUUUGUCAAGGUAUUUCAAUUGUAUGUAAUGCUCUUUGCUAGUGUACCACGUUUAAUAUUUCAAUCAUGACACGUGGCAUUGCAAGUAAUGACUUUAUUUCAAGUCUUCGUAGGUACUUCGUAGAUUUGCUCGCUCCAGAGCUAGUAUUAGGUCAUCAUGUGCUUCUUUUAGUGAUCCACGUGAUUCCUUUUAUCCUUACAGCAGAGCAUUUCUUGCUGAAUAGCCAUGUCAAAUGCUCGUUUAUCAAGGACACAUGUCUUGUCGUCAGAACAUACUAAAAAUAUGACAUGCUAACCCAGAUGCAUUUAUGAAAAAUAACAAUAAAUAAAAGGAUCCCCUAAGUUACAGUUCACGUAACUUACAACCAACAGCUUUUGUCUUUUUCAAAUCGUUACUGUAAAAUAUCGUUGAGCCCGUCGCACUCUGUUUUAUUUAUUAAAGCCCAUAGAGUAUCAAAUUUAUUUC